CUAAGGCCAACAUGAAAAACCAGGACCCUUUUUCAGUGGAUAUUACAGGUAUACUAUGUGGUAAUAUAAUAUGUGUUUUAUCAAUUAUAAAGGUUAAUGUAAUGUAUUGGUUGAGUUGUUAAUAAAACUCUCAAUCAUAAUUAAUUAGGAUUUUAAGGUUGAUCUUUAUACUAGUACUCAUAUCAUAUUGUGUCUAAGAUAUGUGGCUUUCUAUCUUUAUAUAUACGUUUGAAAUCUAUCCUAGCAAUUUCUAUCUUUAUAUAUGUGUCUAACAGUCACUACUAGAAAAUCACCUACUAGCCACUGAUAUAGAUAGAAAUUCAAAUAAGUGACUUUAAAUUUUUGUGUGGAUACUAAUAAUACCACCAUGCCUAUUAAAGUAAUUAGGCAUGGACAUGAGUGUCUAAUACAAUUAAAGUGAAUUUCAGACUUUUACUUAAUAUUUAGACUUCUUUAUUAGUCCCAAAUGAUGUUGAAAGAAGCUGUCAGCUGCUCCAAUGUUUUAUUCAACAAUGUCCUCUUUUUGAAACUCUUUCAAAAAUAUCCUCUAUAAAACCUCCUUAUUGGCCCAGUAUCAUUUUUAUCACUUUUUUGGUCAUGUGAAAUUUGUCUCUGCUACUGCUCUCUCUCUCUCUCUCUCUCAAUUUUGUUUUCUUCUUCUUCUUCUUCUUCUUCUUCUUCUUCUUCUUCUUCUUCUAUGAUCUGCUAUCUCUGAGAUGACACCCCCAAUUGCUUUCUUCUUUGCUUCUUCUUCUUCUCUUCUAUGAUAUGCUCUAUCUAAGAUGAAAUCCCAAUUUUGCAUAUCCUCUCUCUCUCUCUCUCUCUCUCUCUCUCUCUCUCUCUCUCUCUCUCUCUCUCAUUGAUUCCCAACCCUAAUUCCCAAUUAUCCAUUUCUUCUUUUCCUAGGUCCAAAGACCCAUCUUCCUCAUCCACAUCAUUAGCCACCGCAAGCACCACCAACGAGUUUGCAAACCCAAUUUGUAAUAUUUGUUCUUGAAAUGGGUAGAUUGGCAUUGACUUUAAAUUUUUGUUUGAAACAGAAGCAUUUAUUUAUCUGAAACCCAACAAAAACUUUCCAAGACAGACUUGAAAAAAAAAAGUGAUACGAUGAUAAAAUAGCAAUACAGGGCCAAUACGAUGACAAUAGGUAAGACAAUAAAAAAAACUUAGAAAUUUCAAAUUUAUUGCAUAUAUAUUGUCUGUUUAUUGCAAUAAACAUGCUCAGCAAGAUAACUCUACAAGCUCUCUCCCUUCGCGUAUAUUGCUUGUAUAUUGCAUGUUUAUUGCAUGUAUAAUACAUGUUUAUUGCGUAUUUAUUGCAUGUGUAUUGCUUGUUUAUUGCAUGUGUAUUGCUUGUUUAUUGCGUGUAUAUCGCGUGUUUAUUGCAGACCUCACCAAAGAACCCAAAAAGAAUCAGCUGCAAGUUGGAAGAGAUAACUAAGAGGAGAGGACCUGCGAGUCAAACCUCACCGAAAAACCCAAAAUUUGUUACACAAUCCCAAGACAAAUUGAGAAAAAUUUGUUGCACAAUCCCAAAAUUUUAUAAACAAGCUUCAAGCAUAAUAUUCCUAAAAAAGUUAUUGUAUAAUCCCACUGAAAUAACAUUCUCUACACAUGCUGAAAAUAUUAAUUUUAAACCCAGAGAGUAAAAUUUUAAAUUAAACCCACAAUUAUGUUUCAACAAAUUUCUGUACAAUCUCACUCAAAUUUGACUUGGAGGGACUUGAACUCACAUCAAGCACCAAAAAUUCAAACCCAAAUGUGAAGGAGAAAAGCUGAGCUGGCUACCUGAGACGCCAUGCAUGGAGGUCGAAAGAGGUGAUAGAGAGUGAGAGAUGGAGGUGGAAAGGGUGAGGUCAUUGUCGCCGAUGUGGGUGCAAGUGAAAGAGAGAAGAGAGGAGAGAAGGGCUGAGAGAGUGAGAUUGAGAAAUUGUGAAAGAGGAUUUGGGAGAGCUCAGAACGAGUAAAUAAAAGUGAAAGAGGGGCAAAAGGAAGAAGAAGAAGAAAAGAGACUAGAGAGAUGAGAGUAUUUUAGAGAACAAUGACUCAGAAGAAAAAAAAAACUAAGUCAAGGAUGGGCAAUAGGCCGUCAAUAAGGAGUUUUUAUAAGGGGCAUUUGUGAUUGGGUUUCAAAAUAAGGAUAUUAGUGAAUAAAUUAGGUGAGCCAGGAGUAAAGCCGCCAAUUUCCCUACAAAUAACCCAAUUCAGCUUGGCUUCCCUGGACUCGGAGCUUCUUCUGGCUUAAAUUAGUUGCUGACUUUUAGGGUAGUCCCAAUCCCAAAGGGCUUUGAUGACAGAAGUAUUCCAAAUUAGGUUGCUUCUGCUUUCAAGAGAUGCAAUGGGCUUCCCAGCUUCCUCCCUCUAUGGUGCUUCUACUUUCAAGAGAUGGUCUUCUAGGCCCCCUUGGUGAUCCUUCUUUUAUGUUAAUAUCUUCUGUAUAUUUCUGCAAGCUUUUUGUUGGCCUCAUGGAUUUGUUUCUACUAUGUCGUUGCUUGCCUGGGUUCUUUGGGUUUCCUUACUAGAGUUCUAGCUAGGGUCGUUUACCUGAGUGUAUUUAUCCACGUUGUACUCUUGUGUAUCCAUCUCCUAUUGCUGGAGGACUCAUGUAAAGUAAUGAGCAUUAUGUAUCUGAGGUUUACCAAAUUUCUAUCUCUCUGCAUUUGGCCUUUUGUGGAAUUAAUUUUGGAAACAAGAUAAUUAAGGGGAAGAAACAAGAACAAUUGGGAUGUAACUACCUUGAGAAGGUACAAUUUAACUAACGACAAGCUGAUGCACCACCAAGACUCGUAAGACUAUUUAAUUAAAGAAUUUUACAUAACCGUGAGGGGUUUAAUAAUUAAAAGUUGUUUAGAUAAUAUGAAAUAUUGGCUUUUAAGUGUAUAUUACAUAAAUGAUAGGGUGCUAUUAAAUGGGUACUCAUACAAUGGGGACUGAUAUUGAACCAACGUGAACUGCUGUAUUUUUGCGUUUCUAAGGGAGAAGAUACUAAAACUCACAUCUGUCUUGUUUGAAGAGUACACAAUUGCAAAUUGAAAUGUCAUGAUUAGUGCCUAAUAUAAUAGACACCAUUCCAAAUAUCAGAUCCCAAGCUUGAAGCCAUUGAACAUGGCUUGGCUUAACUCAAAUGGCUUGUAUCUUAAAAGGUAUUUCUUUAAUGGAAAAUAGGGAAGGACUGACUCAAUAAAUGGUACCCAAACAACAAUAGCAACCCCAAACUAGGAUACUGAUUUAAAAAUAGUGGCUGCAUAGCCUCUAUUGGUUAAUGGAGACAAUUUAUUGUCUCAAAAUUUAACUUAGGGGACAAAUCUGGAUCAGUACAGUGUGUGUUUUUUUAGUAGUGACUGGACUUGUGCAAAACUAAUAUCAACGAUGUCCUAAUCCAAGUUUAAUAGCUUCAGAUGCAUGACACCAUCGCUCGUCUCUUUUUCAUUGCUUCACUCCCAAGUCUUAGUCUCUUCCUCUACUUUUGGUAACCAUUUCGUUUUUAGUAUUGAGUUUUUGUUUUGAAACCCAAACUAUGAUAGCAGUUUAAACUGUUCUUAGUUUUCAGUAUUCGUUUUUAUUUUUAUUUUAUUUUCUUGUUUUUUUAUUCACCAAUUUUACAUAACCACACAUACAUUGCGCUCCAUUACCACAACGUCAAUCAUUAAUCCUAUAUGCACUGUGUUUUGUUGUAUAUUCUAAUAAUAGUAUAUGGUGGUAUAAUGAACCUUUUAGCUGUACGUAAGAACAUAACUAUACACUGGAGCACUGGCAUGAAUUUAAGCACCUACAAAAGAAACGUGUCAAAAGAAGGGCAGCUGCUCUUGACAAACAUACCCACACAAGGUGAUUAAAAAACAUGCUUCUCGUAAUAGAGGAGAGGUCAUAUAACUCUUGAAUUAUUUCCAGUAGAUAUUUAAUCCACACGGUUGACUUGUAAGAGAACACUUCUUGACUUUUAUUAAGAGAUAUAAAACCAUAAACCUAGCUAGUGAUUUAAGAAAUUAAGCGACAGCAGAGAGGGCACAUGAACCCUCAGGUAUUCAAACAGAAAGCUAACACACAACUUGACUUCUACGAGACACAACCAAACAUGGAGCUGUCUGUUUUCUUACUACAUUCACAGGCUAUUCCAGAACUUGUUUACCCUUGUCCUUAUUAAGCUUAGGGCCCUCGAUUCCUUACACGCUUUUAAGAAGAGGGUCUUGCAUGGAGCUGUCUGUUCUGCUGCUAGGUCCUGCCUUGCCCUCCCCACCAUCAUGGUAGCGCUGAUCAUUUGUUUCUUUGGUCUCAAGAAAAGAGGUAAACUCAUCCUCAUGCUGAUAUACUGGACGGAAAACCACACAUUUUGGUGUACAGCCCUCCCCUAUUGCUUGCAAGUUGCAAAUGAAGCAUUUAAGCGACUACACCCAUUCAACUGAUCUUGAAACCACUUCCGUGGUAUAUAGGACAGCCAAAUGAAUCCUCCAUCUUCUGAUCACUUUAAUUCUCCCCCCGUUGUUUGAUAGGGGUAGAGAGAAUAUUCCAAACUUGUGUUGUCAGUUUCCAAGUGACAAAUCAGGCAGUGAGGAGUUUCUGGAUCCAAUUUGUCGUGGCAGGUAGUUGGAUUCUCAAGCUCUGAGAAAAUUGCAUAAAGCGCCAGUCCCAUCCAAUUUAUGUGACUACAUAGAGAUGGCGGUAACGGGAUUUGCCCUGAAGGACCAAUGACAUGAAAAGGACUGAGGGAAAGUUGCUUGAAGUAUGAUGUCUCGAUUAAAAUCCUUCAAAAUAUAAAAAUCAAGAAAUAUUAUUGGAUUCAGAUAGCUGAUGUGAGAGAGAGAGAGAGAGAGAGAGAGAGAGAGAGAGAGAGAGAGAGAGAGAGAGAGAGAGAGAGAGAGAGACCUGAAAAUGUUGUGGUUAGGGUAUUAAUAUUCCACUGGUUUGCCCCAUAUGAUCUUGAUGUGGCUGCUCAGGAGAGAGAUCUUCCACAAACUGAGUAAUGAGAUCCACAUUGUCAAAGGAGGAGGUCCAGGACUGGAUUAUUGCUUUCUUAAAUUCCUCCUCGUCUUGCUGGUACAAGAAACGGAUACCACAGUUGUCCACUGUGAAGGCUGGGCAAGUGUUGUAAAUUUUGGGCACUACAAUAUCAGAAUUAGCAGCACUAAACUCUGAUAGACAAACACGGGGUAUGUAAGUCACCCAAAUAAAUCACCGCACAUGUAACCACUUGAAUUUCUCUUUUGUUAUGGAACACAUGGCAACCGGAUUCAAGCAAUGUUCACCCAUUCUUAAGGGACACAGAAGUUUGACAGUCAUUUUGGAGCCCAGAUCUUCAAGCGUGGCAGCUGGAUGCUCAUGGACUGAAAAAGAAGCAAUUAUAACAAGUCCCCUCCAAUUUUUAUCAUCAUACAGUGUGGAAAAUGAGGGGGAGAAUAUGUUUUCUCAUUAUAUUUUGUUUACAAGAUUACACAGGUAUAUAUGUAUAAGCUAGGGAAGGCUAAUAUCCACUGGCCAGGUUAAGAACCAUUGGCCAGUCUAAGAGCUGUUGGCCAACACACCACAACCUUAACUUUAACCCCUAAUUAUAGGAAAACUCUAAUUACAAGCAACAAGAUCAAAUCCCCUAAAUUAAGGACGUGUAAAUCAAGACGUGUAAAUCAAUCACUAAAUCAAUCAUAGGUAGCAGCCACCAAGCUAACAACAGCUAUCAGCUUCCAAUACUUCCAAUACUCCCCCUCAAGCUGGAUCAAGUGGAUUAAUUGAUCCAAGCUUGGAGAGCAAGCGUUGAAACUGAGUGGAAGCAAGAGACUUGGUGAAAACAUCAGCAAGUUGAUCAUGGCUCAAAGUGAAUGUGGUUUGAAUUACCUUGGACUGAACCUGUUCACGAACAUAGUGACAGUCAACUUCAAUGUGUUUGGUCCGUUCAUGGAACACGGGAUUGGAGGCAACAUAGCUGCCUGAUUGUCACAAAAAAGAGACAUAGGUUUGUUGCUCAAAAAACCCAAGUCUGAGAUAAGGCUCUUGAGCCAAAUGAGUUCACAUGCAGUGGAAGCCAUGGCUCUAUACUCAGCUUCGGCACUUGAGCGAGCAAUUACAUUUUGCUUUUUGCUCUUCCAUGUCACGAUGUUUCCUCCAACAAAUGUGCAGUAGCCAGUAGUGAAUUUUCUAUCAAUAGCAUUCCCUGCCCAGUCAGCAUCGAUGUAUGCCAUGAUUUGAGUAUGACCAUUGUUCUUCAUGAUAAUUCCACGACCAAUGGAGCCCUUGAGGUAUCUUAGAAUCCUUUUAACAACAUUUAAAUGAGCCUCAGUGGGUGCAUGCAUGAAUUGGCUUACAAGACUGACGGCGUAAGUUAUAUCCGGUCUAGUAAUGAUGAGAUAUAUAAGCUUACCCACCAGUCUUUGGUAGUAACUUAUAUCGCUGAGAGGCUCUCCUUCCAAGUCCAACUUCAAUUUGCUAUCAAGAGGUGUACGGGCCGGUUUGCAAUCUAUCAUCUUCACUUCUUGAAGCAAGUCAAUCACAUACUUCCGUUGACUUAAAAACAGUCCCUUGGGAGAAGUAGCCAUUUCAAUCCCAAGGAAGUAUUUUAACAUUCCUAAGUCUCUAAUGGCGAAUUUCUGAUGAAGAGAAUGCUUAAGAGUGUUAAUCUCAUCAAUAUUAUCACAUGUGAUGAUGAUAUCAUCAACGUAGAUUAGAACAACUAAUUUGCCAACUGAUCCAGUUUGAACAAACAAGGAUGAAUCAACAUGACUUCUCUUGAAACCAAACUUUUCAAGUACAGAGCUUAGCUUGGCAUACCAGGCACGUGGAGAUUGUUUCAAUCCAUAAAUGGAUUUGUGAAGCUUGCAAACCAUCUUGAAUUCUGUGCUUGUGGAUGACCAGGAGGUAAUUGCAUGUAAACUUCCUCUUCAAGGUCUCCAUGCAAAAAAGCAUAUUUUACAUCCAUUUGUUACAACGGCCACUCAUGAUUAACUGCAACAAAUAACAAAACCCUCACUGUUCUCAUCUUAGCCACAGGAGCAAAUGUCUCCUUAUAAUCAACUCCAAACAUUUGAGUAAAACCGCGAGCCACCAACCUUGCCUUGUGUCUUUCAAUUGAACCAUCAGAAUUAAGUUUGGUUUUGUAGAUCCACCUACUGCCUACCACCUUCUUUCCCUUUGGAAGCUGGACUACACUCCAGGUUUUAUUUUCAUCCAAAGCCUUGAGUUCUUCUUCCAUGGCUAGCCUCCAAACAUCUUGAAGAUUGGCUUCUUGAAAAUUCCUUGGUUUACUUUCAUUUGACAAUUACUGAGAAAAAUUGCAUGGGAGUGAGAGACUUUGGAGUAAUUUACAAACUUGUGAAUUAGGUAUCUUACAUUGAACGUUACAUAGUCUUGUAGCCUUGAUGGUGGAUGUCUAUCUCGAGUUGGAUUCCUCCGAGGUUGAGAUGGGAUCACAAUAGGUUCAGCUCCACUCUCUUCUAUAGAUGAUGUGUCAUUGUCAUGAGGAACAACUUGUGCUUCGGAGGCUUCAGUUUCAUCUCCAAUAAUCACGUUGUCAAUAUUGGUUGCAUGAGAGUCACUGUUGUGAGGUACUGAAUGAACACAAUCACUUGUUUCGGCUGGAUUUGGUAAUGGAAAGAAAUCCAGUAAGUGCUCCCCCUGACGAUUUUGAUCUGAUGGUUUGUUGAAAUACGGUUUGAUCUCAUCAAACCUUACAUCUCUUGAGACAAAUAGCUUCUUGGAACAUGGAUUGUAACAUUUGUAACCUUUUUGAGUGGAGGAGUAACCAUGAAAACACACUUAAUUGCCUUGGGAUCUAGCUUGUCUCGGUGAUGGGAUUGGAUAUGAGCAUAACAAGUACAUCCAAAAAUUCUCAGAUGGGAAAGGUUAAUUUUUUUUGUUUUGCAUGACCUCAUAUGGUGAUUUUGAAUCCAGAACCCGACUAGGCAGUCUGUUGAUGAGGUAGGUAGCUACAAGAAUCCUUGAGACCAAAACCUCUUAGGCACAUUCAUUUGUAACAUUAGAGCCUUGGUUUUCUCAAGUAGAUCCCUAUUCUUCCUUUCGGCAAUUCCAUUUUGCUGAGGAGUACCUACAUAACUUGUUGGAUGUAUAAUGCCAUGUGUGCUCAAAUAGUUAGUCAUAUUUUUGGAUGUAUAUUCAGUGCCAUUAUCAGACCUUAGUAUGUGAAUUUGAGACGAAAAAUGGUUCAUGACAAGAUUAUGAAAAUUCUUGAAAGCAUCCAUGACUUCACUUUUGAAUUUUAGGAGGUACAACCAAGUGACUCUUGAAAAAUCGUCAACAAAGGUAACGUAGUACCUAUAACCAUCAAAAGACUCUAGAGGUGCAGGUCCCCAAACAUCGGAGUGCACCAUCUCAAAAAGCUUGCUAGCUCUAGAUAUGGAAGAAUUAAAUGGAAGUCUAGUAAAUUUUGACAAAUGACAGAUUUCACAUACAAGUGAGGAUUUGCAUAAGCUAGGGAACAAAGUAGACAAAACAAAUUCUGAGGGAUGUGCUAGACGUUGGUGCCACAACUGAUGUUCUAGAUUUGAACUGACUUGGAACCCUUUUGGAACAUUAAGGUUCUUUGAAAAAUAGUACAGCCCAUUUAGGUAGUGACCUUCACCAAUCAGCUUCUUGGUGGCUAGAUCCUGAAAAACAACAUUGUGAGGGGAAAAAAUUGCACGACAGUUGAGAGAAUUUGUAAUCCUUCAUACGGACAGCAAUUGAAAAGGAAAGGAUGGAACAUAAAAUGCUAUGGACUCAACACUAUCUGAAAUCAGUUUAACUUUCCCUCUACCUAGAACGGGUACACCUCUACCAUUUGCUAUAGAAACUAGUGAUGAUGUAGUGUAGCUUUCAAAAUUGUAUAGCUUUGAAUAUUGAUUUGUCAUGUGAUUAGUGGCACCUGAGUUUAUAAUCCAAAAAUCAUGAGAAUGACUAACAUUUGGAGCAGUUGAAAGAGCAUACAUAAUACCUGGAACAUCUCCUUGAGGUACAUGAUUAGACUCAGCUAAGAAUCCUGCAAACUGCCUAAGGAGAGCAGUUUGAUUUCCACCAGUCAAUACUUCGCCUAUGCUUCCUUUUUUGGUUUGAAGAUAGGCUGAGAAUUCAUUUAUCAAGUCAGCCGGAUUGGCUGUGAAGUUCGUCAGCCGGAUUGGCUGUGACGUUCGUCAGCCCAUCAAUUGAUGUAGCAGCAGCAGUAACAUGGUUUUUGUUUGUAUUUGAUCUGGUUUGUGAGCCCUUGUAGCCUCUUGAAGGCUUGUUCUCAAACUUUGGCUUCAACUCAGGGUGUAAUAUCUAGCAUCGAUCUAUUAGAUGUCCAAUAUUAUUGCAAUGUAAGCACUUCAGAUCUGGCCUUUUUCCCUUGUACAUUCUAUCUCCAGAUGACUUGUGGUUUGUCACAAAAGCUCUAGCCUCAGACACACUAGAUUUGAUGUCAACAUUCAUGACUUCCCUACGUACUUCUUCUCGUUGGAUAGUAGUGUAAACACUUGCAAAUGAUGGAAGUUCGGGGUUCAUUAGAAUAUGGCUUCUAAGAUCUUCAUAUUCAGACCCCAAACUUGCAAGCAAAUGAAACUUUUUGUCUUCCUCAGACCUCUUUAACAGUAUGGCAGCAUCGAUAGUAUGUGGUCGAUACAUAUUUAGUUCGUUCCACAUAUUUUUCAUGCAACCGAGAUGAUGAACAAUGGAUUUAUCACCUUGUUUGAGACUUGCAAGAUUCCUCUUAAGUUGGAACAUUCGAGCUGCAUUGUUUUGAUUGCCAUACAUAUCUUUGACUGCCUUCCAAAGAGAAAGAGAGGAUUCUGAAAAACUGAAGAUUUCAGACAGCUUAGGAUCCAUGGAGUUAAGGAGCCACGACAUGACCAGUUGGUCUUUGCACAGCCAUGCUUCAUACUCCGGAGACGAAUCUUCAGGUGCCUCAAUGGUUCCAUUAACAAAUCCCAGUUUGGAUCUUCCUCCAAGGGCAAGAGUUACUACUCUAGAACAUGGAAGAUAGUUAAACUCAUUUAACAACACAGAGCACAGUCGCUGGUUUGGGUUGACUUCAGCUUUUGGAAAACUAGAAUGAGGUACUGUGAAGCUUUCAACUUCAGAGCCAAAAGGAUUAUCUUCAGCCAUUAUUGAAUAGCAUGUACAGAAGAAACAAAGGUAAAAUGGAGACAGGCCGGUUAAGGUUCCUGCUCUGAUACCAUGUGGAAAAUGAUGGGGAGAAUAUGUUUUCUCAUUAUAUUUUGUUUACAAGAUUACACAGGUAUAUAUGUAUAAGCUAGGGAAGGCUAAUAUCCACUGGCCAGGUUAAGAACCAUUGGCCAGUCUAAGAGCUGUUGGCCAACACACCACAACCUUAAUUUUAACCCCUAAUUAUAAGAAAACUCUAAUUACAAGCAACAAGAUCAAAUCCCCUAAAUUAAGGACGUGUAAAUCAAGACGUGUAAAUCAAUCACUAAAUCAAUCACAGCUAGCAGCCACCAAGCUAACCACAGCUAUUAGCUACCAAUACUUCCAAUAGUUUUGGAGGUAGUUGGAUUCCUUCCCAGGAUGACAUAGCAGUCCAAUGUUUGAAAUACUCUACCUUCCGUGGGAAACAAAAAUUGAAGGCAUUCCAAGAAAUUUUAUCUCUUUUAAUACUGAGUGUUGCCACCUGGGAGUUUUGAAGGAAAGCCUGCAGGUACCUUUGCCAUUGUGCUGGACUAUAGCUUCCAUAGAGUUGAGUCUCAGCAAAUACAUGCACUGUUAAUGUUUUGAAUUUUUUGAACGAAGAAAUCACAGAAGGAGAAAAGGAGAAGAAGCAAGAAGAAUUGCAUAACGCUGCUCUACUAUACGUGUAGCAGAGAGAAUGUUCAUUUCAUUCAGUCUCUCUCUCUCUUACAACCUCACGCACUUAGAAUGAGGGAAUAUUGCCGUUAGGCACAGUAGCUGGAUCCCUUACAUCACAAGGUGAUCUCAGCCAUUCAUCUAGGCAUCCAAUGAGAUCCUUACACUUCGCUUAUAAGGCUUAAAGAAACGAAAAACUAAAUUAAGUCAGCUUAAGGCUUAUAAUUCAACACUCCCCUUUAAGUCUUGGGCAGAUCGAAUAACAUAUGUUUCUCUUCCUCUUCCUUCAUUUCCUCUUCUGCAUGCGUGCUUGACUUCGGUCUUUUGUGGGUCAUUUGAGUGAAAACGGGUUAAAACUCUGAAACAAUCACAGUCGCACAAUCUCAUUAAAAGACAUCCAACGGUUGAGCGCCCCAUCCCUCAAAUAACACUAUUUGAGGGAUCCCUCGACUGAAGGGAACUGUAUAUACAUAAAUUCCAUAAUCCGAACAAUCUAUAUUUAAUGCAUAUUAUUUUAAUCCAUAAAAACCAUGCACUUUCAAAACAAAGUCCACCCACUUCUUAAUAAUCAUAUAUUUUAAUAAUCGUAUAUUCCAAAUUUCAAAUAUUGCAUGAACUUCAAAUAACAAUAUAACAUCCGACAAUCCCCUAAUUUAAAACAAUAAAUUAAUCUCAUAGUCCCAUGUAAUCAACAUAACUCAAAUAACGAUCAAGACUCGUCAAUAAGGUCGUUCUAAUACUCCUCGAAAGGUGAAACUACCUCGGAAGACUCACGGUCAACUGAGGGGUCAAACUGCCCAAACUUGGUCAACGGGUCUACGACCUCCGUUUUACGAUCCAAAAGUUUUUAUGGGUUCCACAAGGUUUAGGAUGAACGUCCUGUAAGUUUGGUCCGGAUCGAACUGUCGGAUCGCUCGCGAUCGCAUGAUGAGAUGGUUAUCGUUUAACGCAAACUUUAAGUUAUUGAAUUGGAACAUCCGGGGCUCCAAUUCACGAUCCGCAAAAUCCUACACGUUCCUAGGAAUUCCUAGAUCAACAUAUAUCAAAUUGGAGUCGAUCCAACGGUCCGAACAUAUCGAACCCGGAUAACGCCUAAUAUGCGAUAUCCGAUCGAUGAUCAAACGAUAACCAAAUUCAUAUCUGAGCAUACCGUUGUACUUGGGACGACACGAGGAUGAUUUUAGGACUCAAGGACAGGCCAAAAAGUGGCCCACGCCCCACCCCACGAGCCGAUAGUGCGUGGGUGUCCAAAUCAAAUUCCAUCGAUCAGAAAAACUCCAAACCACCAGUCAAGACUUAUACCUACAUGAUCACCAUAUAGAAUGGAGCAACUUUUGUUCUUGGACCUAUCCCAAAAAGUCGAUGGAAGUGGUCGGAAUCGGAGGCCAAAAAUUGGCCAAACUAUUAUCACUUAAAUUCGUUUCCAAACGUAGAAAUUUCUCCUAAAUACUAUAACCAGCAGCUAGAACUCAUUGAAAGAUUGAAAAGCAUACCAAAUUCGAAGAAAAUGGUGGCCGGAGGCGUCCAAACGAGCUCCCAAAAAAUUACGUAAAGUCUAUCAAAACCGGCCAGUUUAUCUCGAUUUUUCGGAGACCACGACGGCCGAUCGAGGCGGGAAUGGGCUGCAAUUGGAAGAGGGAAGUGAGGUGGUCCUUUUGGGACCGUUCCGCCAGGAAUGGCGGCGUGUGGCGGCGGUAGUGGCUCGGAGAAGUUGCUGCCGUUGCAAGGGAGGGGGUUCUGUUUUGCAGAGAGAAAAAAUGGGAGAGAUCAUGAGGGGGAGAGAGAUAGGAGAGAAUUUCAUAUAUUUAAAAAAAACAUCAAAAGAAAAUUACGAUUUUGCCACUGAGUCUAUUUUGAUCGUAUUUUCUUCGUUACAACUCCGAUUCGAGCCUACUAUGUGUCUACGGACUCAUCUCAGUACGAUCUACAUAAAAAUACCAGUCACUUCCCCAAAAUCCUUUCAGAUUAAAAAGUGGCCAAAUUACCCCUACUCCGAGAGCAAAAUUGAAAUUUCAUAAUUUAUUAAAUUAAUUAAAUUAUUGAAUCUUUUAAAUUUGGGUCGGCAUGUUACAUUUUCUCCCUCUAGUAGUAUCAAUAACUAGUGAGCCCAUGCCAGCCAUAUUCACCAGCACACCAGUUGCCAUUUACACAUUUCCAACCACAUAUGUUCUCGCAUCAAUAAGCAAAUCAACAUUGCCAGUCAUGUGAUUGCUACAACCACUGUCAAUGUACCAUUCCCCAUUUGUUUUUGUCUCAGUGGUUGCCCAAUUUGCAUAGAACAAAUUUCCAGUCACCACCAUUUGGUUUGCACAAUUUGCCUUUUGCACAGAUUUUUCUGCAGUGCACUCUCUAGCCAAGUAACCAAAUCUGCCACAAUUGUAGCAUUUUGGCUUGUCUUUAUACCUGCAUUCUCCAAAAUGAUACUUUGAGCACACUUUGCACUAAGGCUUUACAAUUUCUUGAUUUGCUAGCUAUGAUGAACUGAAGUUGUAAUUUGAUGCAGGAUUGUUCUGUUGAGGCUUUCCUUUUGAUUCCCAUGGUUUCCCCUUAGGAUUCCAAUUCUUUUGAGACUUGGAUGAACCAGAUUGCACUACAUUCUUGUUCUAGCCUUUUAGACUCAUUGUGAAUGAGGCAAAAGCCUUCUCAGUUACAUCAGCAUUGUGCAACUCAAAUCGUUGCUCUUGACUUUUCAGAAUGCCAAUUACUUCUUGUAAUUCCAGUCUCUAGACUCUUAGUGUUCUCAAUCACCAAACAGAUAAGGAAAUAUACCUUGCUUAGACUAAUCAAGACAUUUUGAACAAGCCUCUCAUUCGAGAGCAUUUCACCAUGCGUUUUAAUUUGAUUAAUCAGAUCAUUGAGUCUAGUAAGGUAAGCAGACAAAGAUUCAUUAUCAUGCAUUCUAGUAUAUUCAAAUUCACGUCUAAGAUUUUGAAGUUUUACGGAUCUAACAUGAUCUCCACCAUGAUAUUCUCUAUACAACAGCUCCCAACCUACUUUGGCAGAGUCUGCGUUUGCAAUGCGUUGGAAAAUUUGAUAUGAGACUGCAUUUUGGAUAAUACCCAGAGCUUUUGCAUCCUUAAUGAGGAUUGCAACUGAUUUCUCAUCGUCUUCUUCUUCUAAGGUUUCCUCAGAUGCCUUCUUCUUCUUUGUAUUGGAGACUGGAAUCCCCUUUUCUACCAGAUUCCAUAGCUCAUACGAUUUGAAUAUGGUCACCAUCUUAAUUCUCCAAAACUCAUAGUUUUCGCCAGAGAAAAUCGUGGUUCUCACAGUAGAGCUUCUAGAUCCAACCAUGUCUGAUCGAAGAUGCUUCUGGAAAAUGAGUUGUUUUCAGAUUUGGAGAGAAAUCGAGCUCAAGCAGCUUCGUGAGCUUUGAACGAACUUCAGAAUAUAUCCCGAUCUUUUCUUCACAGUUCAAACUCCAGCUUCAGAUGAUUGAACUUGGCUCUGAGGCCAUGUUAAUGUUUUGAACGAAGAAAUCGUAGAACGAGAAAAGGAGAAGAAGCAAGAAGAAUUGCAUAAUACUGCUCUACUAUACGUGUAGCAGAGAGAAUGUUCAUUUCAUUCAGUCUCUCUCUCUCUCUCUCUUACAACCUCACGCACUUAAAGUGAGGGAAUAUUACCGUUAGUCACAGUAGCUGGAUCCCUUACAUCACAAGGUGAUCUCAGCCAUUCAUUUAGGCAUUCAAUGAGAUCCUUACACUUGGCUUAUAAGACUUAAAGAAACGAAAAACUAAAUUAAGUCAGCUUAAGGCUUAUAAUUCAACAUGUACAUGACCAACCAACAACGACACCAGCAGUGGAGCAUUUUCUUCUACAACCUUUUGUUGGGUGAAAUCCCUUUUGACCAACAUUAAGGGUUUUGGGUGGCCUAUUAAUAUUGCUUUAUCACAUUCCUUGAGAACAUCUUGCUUUUGUUUGAGAUAGCAUCUAUACUUGUGCAGUAUUGAAGUAAAAUCCUGUUCUGGUAUCAGAAGCUCAUUUCCAGAUUCAGCCAAUAGUUGUCUAUAAGUACAACUUAUAGUAGUCCAAGUAAUUUAAAGACGUUUAAAUAGUUAGUGUGUGUGAAUGGAGAGUGACGAAGGAGAGAAAAACGAAAGAGGAAAGAUUGGCAAAAACUGCUUUGCUGGACGUGUAGCAGAGGAAUGUUCAUAUCUCAUCAGUCUCACAGCCUCACGCACUUGGAGUGAGGGAAUAUAAUCAUUAGGCACAGUAGCUGGAUCCUUUACAUCUCAAAGUGAUCUCAGCCAUUCAUCUAGACAUCCAACAAGAUCUUUACACUUGGCUUACAAAGUUAAAGAAAACGAAAACUGUUUUAAACUAACUAACAAGCCAGCUUAAGAACUUAUAAUUCAACACUCCCCUUUAAGUCUUAAGCUGAUUUAACUCCAAGCAUACUCCUGAGAUAAUUGAAUCGAUCCUUAGCCAAUGGUUUGGUGAAGAUUUCAGCAAGUUGUUCACUUGUAGGACAGUACACCAAAUCAAAGGUGCCUUUUUAUAAUGCAUCUUUGAUGAAGUGAUAUUUUCUAUCAAUAUGCUUUGUUUUCUGAUGGAACACAUGGUUCUUAGUGAUGGCAAUUGCAGAUGUGUUGUCACACUGUAAUGGAGUUGCUUCUAUCUGAAGUUCCCCAAAGUCUUCUAGCACAAAUCUAAGCCAAAUGGAUUGUGCAGCGGCUUCUGAUGCGCUUAUGUACUAUGCCUCUGCAGUAGACAAUGCAACACAAUUUUGCUUGACUGAAGCCCAAGAGAAAACACCACUACCAAAAGAGAAUGUAUUACCAGAUGUGCUCUUACUGUCCUCAAUUGAUCCACCCCAGUCACUGUCACAGAAGCCAAUCAGCAUUGCAUUUUUCCCUUUCACAUAUCUAAGCCAUAGUCUAGAGUCCCCUUGAUAUAUUUUAGCACUCGUUUAGCAAUUCCAUAGUGUUUGCUUAUAGGACAGUGCAUGAAUCUGGGAAGUAGACUAAGGGCAUACAUGAUAUCUGGUCUAGUGGCAGUUAAGUACAAGAGACUACCUACAAUACUUCUGUACUGUUCUUUGCUUGUGGCUCCACUUCCAUCAUAUUUAGUCAAUUUCUCAGUUCCUACAAGGGGUGUGGUCAUAGUCUUGCAUUCAUUUAAUCUAAACUAGUUCAGUAGAGAGCUUGCAUAUUUCUUUUGGUGAAUGAAUAUGCUAGAGCUUGUUUGAACCACUCCCAUACCAAGAAAAUGAUGUAGAAGACGCAAAUCUAUCAUCUCAUAUUUCAUCAUCAUGUCUUCCUUGAAUUCAUCCAGCAGUUCCUUGCUACUUCCUAUAUACACAAUGUCAUCUACAUAAAUAGAAACAAUUAGGAUGUCUUUGUCUCCCCUUGUCUUGGUAUACAAGGUAGCUUGUGCAAGCUCAUUUUGUCUUGAGCUGCCUCUGCAUAUUUCUUUGGUUCAAUGAUCCACAUAUUGCAUUAUGCAAGCUCAUCAUCUAGCCUUCUCUAUUUCAAUGGUGAGUGAUCAUAAGCUUGAGUAUUCCUCUCUUCACUGCUUAUAUCGCUUCACCUGUGUUGUGAUGAAGUGUGAGAUAACAAUGGACUCCUUUCUUGUUGAAAUUGAGUCUGAGGGGAUAGAGUAGUACUCUCAUCUUCAUUUUCCACACCAAGAAACCAUAUUCUUGAAGAAACCAAUCAAGAAUCUGAUUUUGAUAUAAACAUAUGAAGAUGAUGAAAUGCUAGAUGCAGAUUUUGAAGAACAGAAGUAGAUUUUAAAAGCAAUACGGAAAUCUCAAUUAAAAAAUCAUGGCCUCACCAAGUAGAAAAUGCAUUGUAAAAGUUUUUUCUCAAAAAAUUCUUAAUGGGUGAAGUCGAUUUCAAAAAUAGAAGCAGAUUUCAAGAGCUAUUGAAAAUCUCAUUUUAAAAACCAUGAACACUCUCACAGAGAAAAUGGCAGAGCUAAAAGAUGCAUCUCAACAAUCCAGAAAUUAAAGAGUUGGAUGCUCUCUAUCAUUAGCCACCCUUUUGAUAAAUUAGGCAUCACAAAAUAAAGACACCUGUGAGCUAAUGAUAAGAGCUAGAAUUGGACAAAAAUGGUUAAGAUAGAAAACCUACAGCUGGCAACAGAGGCAAGCUCACGUGAAAAAUAAAUGAUGUGGCAAUAACACGUGACAAACAAUGAUGACUACUCAUGCAAAAGAGAACACUACAAUGCAUGCAAUGCAAUCAAAGAUGAAUUACCUUCAAUGAGCUUUGAGAGCUUGAAUCCAUUAUGAAGCUGAUCUCAGCCAUCCUAGAUUAUCUUAGCGCUAUCCUAGAUUAGUCUAGCUUCUUGAGCUUGAUUAAGUGUAUAAAAAAUUAAAAUCAAAUUUCAUGUUUGUCAAGGAAAACUAAAAAUUUAGUUAACCAAAAAACCUAACAACCCACGACCAUACCCCAGACCACACGCAAUGAAGUGACUUUAUGCUACAACUUAGGAACACAUACACAUAGCAUAAAAACGACGCGUUAAGACUCGGUCAUGGUUUUGCUAAAUAACGAAAAUUAACCUGUGUAAAGAGCACAAGUUUUAUAUUAUUUUCUUUGCCAAAUAAACAAGUGAUGUUGUAGUAUAUUCUUUUUUAAAACACACAAAGAUAAAGUGAAUCAAUCUUAAAUAAAUAUAAGAUUAAAAUAAACCGUGUUAGCAUAUAUAUAUAUAUAUAUAUAAUUGUUUUCUUAUUCGAAUAUCCAGACGUUAUUAUUGUGCGGAUGCCAUUGUAAACAUGGAGGAAAACUGAGAGGGAUAGUAAAAAAUAGAUGUUGUUCAUAUGAUAAUAACCUCUACAAGUCCGAAUGGUAUAAAAUCUAUAUAUAUUGUAUAUGUCUAUAUAUAUGGAACUUUUUGAGAACAAGAGUUCAUUCAUAAAACCGAAAGGCAUACAAAGACAUUUGAAACUUAUUUACUCAAGAUAUCUGUGUAUACUUGAUUUUCUUCUCUGUUCGUUAAAAGAUUUAUAAAAGGAGACAAACCAUCAACGUUUGUGGAAAAAAAAAUUGAAGGACAAAAAGAAAAUGAACGUUUGUCCACGAGUAAGCUAACUAUGAAUGGGUAUGCAAAGACUUCAAAGUAAGUCUUUUGUAGACCCAAAAAAUUGGAAAAGCAGAAAAGAAGAAAUCAACGUCCGGACAUGUGUGGGCCAACAUGACUUUUCAUACGAAGACUUGAAAGUCUUUGGAGCCACAUCUCUUGCCUUGUGCUUUAUUUGAAGCCAUAUUGGAAGGAAAUUGAUGGACGUAGACAGAAGCAGCAACCAGCGCAUUGCUUCCCCAGAGUUCUUUUGGCUUUUGUAUGAAAAUAUCCAAGAGAAUAGUACUUCCCUUCCAAUUAAUUUUAAACAAAAUAAAUAUGAAAUUUUGAACUUGUGAUUUAUUUGUAUAUUUUUGAGUGUUGCUAAAAUAUGAAAACUAUGAGAGAAUAUUUGUUUGUGGGAAUUUUCUGUGUAGUGGGAAUUUUCUGUGUAUUCUUCUCUUUGUAGGAGGUCAUAUUUAUAAUACAACGAAACUUGAAUAGGCAAGCAAAUAAUAAAUUCAUAAAUCUAUUUACAAUAGGAAAUCAAGAAUUAAAGUAAAUCAAUUACAAUUAUAAUAGGAAUUCUUGGUGUGUAAGGAAAGUAAGUCAAUAUCCACAAGUCACGCCAACAUUUUUUUUGUCAAAUUAAGUCCACAAAAUGUGAACAACUAGGUUUCAAGUGUUCCUCUCCUUUAGGCGUACGUCUUCAGUUCAACGAUGUCCCCAAAAAUUCUUCUUUCUCCUUCUCUUCCCCCACCACCCCACUCUAUCCUCAAGGGUCUAUAAAUUGGUUGAGGCCAAGCCGCAUUAAGUUCACACAACAAUCUUGUCUUCCACCUUAAUUGUGUUGUUAAGAAAAACAUGGCAUCAUCCUCCAAGACUUUUCUUCUUCUUGGCUUUAUGUUUGCUCUUGUGAUCCUCAUCUCCUCUGAGGUCUCAGCUCGUGAGCUAGUGGAAAUUACGAAGCCAGCAACCUAUAUUGGUGAGUUUCUAAUUUGUUUUUUAAACUCAGAUGUAUGUUUAUAUUUUUUAUUUCACCGAUCUGUGAAAAUAUAUUUAUGUGUGGGUAUAUGUGGAUGUUCAUAUUUAUGACCUCUACUCAUGUUACUCAACUCAUUAUUUUCUUCGUGUGUGUUGUAUUAUGUAUUAUCCUUACAAAUAAUACAAACUAAAAAAUUUCGGCAAACAUUAAAAUGACCUUAAAGAUAAACUAUGUCACAUAACCCUAUGCUUGUCAACUGAUAUAAUUAUUAUAUAUAUAUAUAUAUAUAUAUAUAUAUAUAUAUAUAUAAAGGACGACUUACAUAUAUAGAUUACUCUUAUUUCAGGGGUUGGAGCCUUAACACCCGGGCCAGCCUUCGCUUGCGGUCGUAAGGCGUAUGCUAAAUGCAUACCUAAACCGAGAGGGUAUGGCCCCCCAGCCCCUGGCCCCGGGAGAGUAUAGGCACGGCCAAGGGCACCAUGAAAAACCAGGACCUGGUGUUGCUGAGACUGAAAUUAGGAAUUAAAUAGUUACCCCUUUUCAGUGGAUAUUGGUUGAGUUGUUAUGUGGUAAUAUAGUAAGUGUUUUAUCAAUUAUAAAGGUUAAUGUACUGUGUUGGUUGAGUUGUUAAUAAAACUCUCAAUCAUAAUUAAUUAGGAUUUUAAGGUUGAUCUUUGUACUAGUACUCAUAUCACAAUAUGUGUCUAAGUAUGUGGCUUUCUAUCUUUAUAUAUGUUUGAAAUCUAUCCUAGUAAUUUCAAUCUUUAUAUAUAUGUCUAACGCUCACUACUAGAAAAUCACCUACUCGACACUGAUAUAGAGAGAAAUUCAAAUAAGUGACUUUAAAUUUUUGUGUGGAUUACUAAUAAUACCACCAUGCCUAUUAAAGUAAUAAGGCACAUGGACAUGAGUGUCUAAUGCAAUUAAAGUGAAUUUCAGACUUUUACUUAAUAUUUAGACCUCUUUAUCAGUCCCAAAUGAUGUUGAAAGAAGCUGUCAGUGGCUCCUGUUUUAUUCAACAAUGUCCUCUUUUUGAAACUCAUUCAAAAAUAUUCUCUAUAAAACCUCCCUAUUGGCCCAAUAUCAUUUUAUCACUUUUUUUGGUCAUGUGAAAUUGGUCUCUGCAACUGCUCUCUCUCUCUCUCUCUCUCUCUCUCUCUCUCUCUCUCUCUCUCUCUCUCUCUCUCUCUCUCUCUCUCUCUCUCUCUCUCUAAAUUAUUAUUUCUUCUUCUUCUUCUAUGAUCUGCUAUCUCUGAGAUGGCACCCCCAAUUGCUUUCUUCUUUGCUUCUUCUUCUUCUCUUCUAUGAUAUGCUCUAUCUGAGAUGAAAUCCCAAUUUUGCAUAUCCUCUCUCUCUCUCUCUCUCUCUCUCAUUGAUUCCCAGCCCUAAUUCCCAAUUAUCCAUGUUCUUCUUUUCCUAGGUCCAAAGACCCAUCUUUCUCAUCCACAUCAUUAGCCACCGCAAGCACCACCAACGAGUUUGCAAACCCAAUUUGUAAUAUUUGUUCUUGAAAUGGGUGGAUUGCGCAUUGACUUUAAAUUUUUGUUUGAAACAUAAGCAUUCNNNNNNNNNNNNNNNNNNNNNNNNNNNNNNNNNNNNNNNNNNNNNNNNNNNNNNNNNNNNNNNNNNNNNNNNNNNNNNNNNNNNNNNNNNNNNNNNNNNNNNNNNNNNNNNNNNNNNNNNNNNNNNNNNNNNNNNNNNNNNNNNNNNNNNNNNNNNNNNNNNNNNNNNNNNNNNNNNNNNNNNNNNNNNNNNNNNNNNNNNNNNNNNNNNNNNNNNNNNNNNNNNNNNNNNNNNNNNNNNNNNNNNNNNNNNNNNNNNNNNNNNNNNNNNNNNNNNNNNNNNNNNNNNNNNNNNNNNNNNNNNNNNNNNNNNNNNNNNNNNNNNNNNNNNNNNNNNNNNNNNNNNNNNNNNNNNNNNNNNNNNNNNNNNNNNNNNNNNNNNNNNNNNNCAUGUUUAUUGCAUGUAUAUUAUAUAAUACAUGUUUAUUGCGUGUUUAUUGCAUGUGUAUUGCUUGUUUAUUGAUGUGUAUUGCCUGUUUAUUGUAUGCAUAUCGCAUGUUUAAUGCAGACCUCACCAAAAAACCCAAAAAUAAUCAGCUGCGAGUUGGAAGAGAUAACUAAGAGAAGAGGAGCUGAGAGUCAAACCUCACCGAAAAACCCAAAAUUUGUUACACAAUCCCAAGACAAACUGCGAAAAAUUUGUUGCACAAUCCCAAAAUUUUAUAAACAAGCUUCAAGCAUAAUAUUCCUCAGAAAGUUCUUGUAUAAUCCCACUGAAAUAACAUUCUCUACACAAGUUGAAAAUAUUAAUUGUAAACCCAGAGAGUAAAAUUUUAAAUUAAACCCACAAUUAUGUUUCAUCAAAUUUCUGUACUACCUCACUCAAAUUUGACUUGAAGGGACUUGAACUCACAUCAAGCACCAAAAAUCCAAACCCAUAUAUGAAAUUGAAACAAGGAGAAGAAAACCCAAAUGUGAAGGAGAAAAGCCUAUCUGGCUACCUGAGACGCCGUGCAUGGAGGUCAAAAGAGGUGACAGAGAGUGAGAGAUGGAGGUGGAAAGGGUGAGGUCAUUGUUGCAGAUGUGGGUGCGAGUGAAAGAGAGAAGAGAGGAGAGAAGGGCUGAGAGAGUGAGACUGAGAAAUUGUGAAAGAGGAUUUGGGAGAGCUUAGAACGACUAAAUAAAAGUGAAAGAGGGGCAGAAGGAAGAAGAGGAAGAGAAAGAGACUAGAGAGAUGAGAGUAUUUCAGAGAGCAAUAACUCAAAAGAAAAAAAAACUAAGUGAAGGAUGGGCGAUAGGCUGUCAAUAGGGAGUUUUUAUAAAGGGCAUUUGUGAUUGAGUUUCAAAAUAAGGAUAGUAGUGAAUAAAUUAGGUGAACCAAGAUUAAAGCAGCCAAUUUCCCUACAAAUAACCCAAUUCAGCUUGGCUUCCCUGGACUCGGAGCUUCUUCUGGCUUAAAUUAGUUGCUGACUUUUAGGGUAGUCCCAAUCCCAAAGGGCUUUGAUGACAGAAGUACUUGGCAACAUAGGUCCCAAAAUAAGGGCCAUAUUUUCCCGCUGGUUCCUAUUACCUUGACUAUGAAAUUUGAAACCAGGCGGGAGAAUAUAAACACACACAUAUUUGAAAAGUAGAGCAGCCUAUAAAGUGGAAUUAUUUAAUCAUACAUGCAUUGUAUUCCAAAUUAGGUUGCUUCUGCUUUCAAGAGAUGCAAUGGGCUUCCCAGCUUCCUCCCUCUAUGGUGCUUCUACUUUCAAGAGAUGGUCUUCUAGGCCCCCUUGGUGAUCUUUUUUCAUGUUAAUAUCUUCUGUAUAUUUCUGCAAGCUUUUUGUUGGCCUCAUGGAUUUGUUUCUACUAUGUCUUUGCUUGCCUGGGUUCUUUGGGUUUCCUUAUUAGAGUUCUAGCUAGGGUCGUUUACCUGAGUGCAUUUAUCCACGUUGUACUCUUGUGUAUCCAUCUCCUAUUGCUGGAGGACUCAUGUAAAGUAAUGAGCAUUAUGUAUCUGAGGUUUACCAAAUUUCUAUCUCUCUGCAUUUGGCCUUUUAUGGAUUUAAUUUUGGAAACAAGAUAAUUAAGGAGAAGAAACAAGAACAAUUGGGAUGUAACUACCUUGAGAAGGUACAAUUUAACUAACGACAAGCUGAUGCACCAACAAAAAAUUACAAUCAAAUUAGUCUAGCUUAGCGCUAUCCUAGAUUAGUCUAGCUUCUUAAGCUUGAUUAAGUGCAUAAAAAAUUACAAUCAAAUUUACAUGUUUGUCAAGAAAAACUAAAAAUUUAGUUAACCAGAACCUAACAACCCACGACCACACCCAAGACCACAUGCAAUGAAGCGACUUCAUGCUACAACUUAGGAAAACAUACACAUAGCAUAAAAAUGAAGCGUUAAGGCCUGGUCAUGGUUUUACUAAAUAACGAAAAUUCACCUGCGAAAAGAGCAGGAGUUUUAAAUUAUUUUCUUUGCCAAAUAAAUAAGUGAUAUAAUAGUCUUUUUUAAAACACUCAAAGAUAUGAGUAAUCUAUAUUGUGGCCAGAGCCAAGAAUUAUAUGAAAGUGAAUCAAUCUUGAAUAAAUAUAAGAUUAAAAAAUAAUUUUGUUAGCUUAUAUAUCUAGACAUUAUUACUAUGCGAACGCCAUUGUAAACAUGGAGGAAAGCUAGGAGAGGUAGUAAAAAAUAUAUGUCGUCUAUAUGGUGAUAACGUGUGAACCUUCGCAUAGAAGAAAAUCUGUAUAUAUUGUAUAUGUCUAUAUAUAUUUGUAUAUGAAAGUUUUUGAGAACAAGAGUUCAUUCAUAAAACCAAAAGGCAUACAAAGACAUUUGAAACUUAUUUACUCAAGAUAUCUGUGUAGACUUGAUUUUCUUCUCUGUUCGUUAAACGAUUUACAAAAGGAGACAAACCAUCAACGUUUGUGGAAAAAGAAUGAAGGACAAAAAAGAAAUGAACGUUCGUCCACGAGUAAGCGAAAUAUGAAGGGGCAUGCAAAGACUUCAAAGUAAAUCUUUUGUAGACCCAAAAAAUUGGAAAAGCAAAAAAGAAGACAUCAACGUCCGGACAUGUGUGGACAACCUGACUUUUCAUACGAAGACUUGAAAGUCUUUGGAGUCACAUAUCUUGCCUUGUGCGUUACUUGAAGCCAUACUGGAAGGAAAUUGAUGGACGUAGACAGAAGCAGCAACCAGCGCAUUGCUUCCCCAGAGUUCUCUUGGCUUUUGUAGGAAAAUAUCAAGAGAAUAGUACUUCCCUUCAAUUAAUUUUAAACAAAAUAAAUAUGAAAUUUUGAACUGGUGAUUUAUUUGUAUAUUUGAGUGUUUUUUUGUCAAAUUAAGUCCACAAAAUGUGAUCAACUAGGUUUCAAGUAUUACUCUCCUUUAGGCGUAUACGUCUUCAGUUCAACGAUGUCCACAGAAAUUCUUAUCUCUCCCUCUGUUCCCCCACCACCCCACUCUAUCCUCAAGGGUCUAUAAAUUGGUUGAGGCCAAGCCACAUUAAGUUCACACAACAAUCUUGUCUUCACCUUAAUUGUGUUGUUAAGAAAAACAUGGCAUCAUCCUCCAAGACUUUUCUUCUUCUUGGCUUUAUGUUUGCUCUUGUGAUCCUCAUCUCCUCUGAGGUCUCAGCUCGUGAGCUAGCGGAAAUUACUAAGCCAGCAAUUCCUAUUAGUGAGUUUCUAAUUUGAUUUUUAACUCAGAUGUAUGUUUAUAUUUUUUUAUUCCACCGAUCUGUGAAAAUGGUAUAUGUGGAUGUUCAUAUUUAUGACCUCUACUCAUGUAACUCAACUCAUUAUUUUCUUCGUGGGUGUUGUAUUAUCCUUACAAAUAAUCAGUCAAAUCAUUAAUCACAAAAAUAAACUAAAAAAUUUCGGCAAACAUUAAAAUGAACUUAAAGAUAAACUAUGUCAUUAAUUAAAUUUGUUGAUCAUUCGUAGGGAUGAUUUAAGAAAAGGACCUAAAAAAUGAAUAUUUCAACACAUUUUCAACCCACAAACUUUACCAUUCAAAUCAUAGAAAUAUAUACAUUACAUAUGUAUCUAUGUCAUUUCUUUUGAUUCGAAAGGAGAAGGGAUUCGAAUUUGAGAUGCAUAUUUUAACAGUGAGAACAUAUGUACUAUUAGACUAAGUACUUAUUGGCAUCUAUGGCAUUUUUUAAGAGAACUAUCUUUGUAGGUUUGAGUAUAAAUGUGAAUUAUGUCCCUAGUCUAGAUAAAACAAUUUGAAUAUUAAAUUUAAAAAUUAAGGGCAACAUAGUAAUUAGCAAACCCUUAAUCUUCACUCACCCAUUUUUACCCUCCUAGACUAGACUCAACUGUGGCUCUAUUCUAAUUUCUACCUUUAUGUGAAUUAAUAGUCUCAAUAAUUUUAUUAUUAUUAUAUUUUUUUUAACAAAAUCAUAUGAAAUUUCUUAAUCUCUCAAGAUCUUCUCGAUGUUAAGUUCAUUUUACUAGGCUGCUGUUUGCAUGGCUUUGCUCCGUACAAAAUACAAACCGAUCUAUGCACCGUCAAAGUGAUAUACAUUUUUAGACUUAUAUAGAUUACUUUUCUUUCAGGGGGGAAACCUUAUCCCUUUAAAGGCCGACCAGGUACGCUAUGCAAUAAUCCGUAUAUUAGAGGAUGUAACCCGCCCCCGCCCCCGCCAUGCAGGAAUCCGUAUGGUAGAGGAUGUCACCGGCCCUCGCGGGCCCCCGCCCCGGGAGAGUAUAGGCACAGCCAAGAGCACCAUGAAAAACCAGGACUUGGUGUUGCUGAGACAGAAACUGGGAAUUAAAUAAAUAAUCCUUUUUCAGUGGAUAUUGCAGGUACUAUGUGGUAAUAAUUAAGAGCUUGUUUUGUCAAUAAAGGUUAAUGUAAUGUAUUGGUUGAGUUGUUAAUAAAACCCUCGAUCAUAAAUAAUUAGGAUUUUAAGGUUUAUCUUUGUAACUAGUACUCAUAUCAUACUGUGUCUAAGAUAUGUGGCUUUCUAUCUUUAUAUAUACGUUGGAAAUCUAUCCUAGCUAGCAAUUUCUUUUUCCAUAAUUUGUGUAUCAAUGAAAAUCUCCAUUAAGAGUAACUAUAUGUUGAUGGAAGUUUUAAAAUUAAUUCGAGCAAGCCCUUUCAUAUCAUAAUGUAUUAAAAAUAAGUAAUUUCGACUCAUUUUCUUUACAAUAUAAAAAUAAGUAAUAACGACUCUCAGGCUAAAUACUUGGGUAAGAAAUCCUGGAAUUCAUCUCAGCCAAAUGGACCCACUUGACAGAAAAUAAAAGGACCCGCUCGACUUUCUUUGGCUCUACGUGAAACACUGGACUUGUGCAAAAUGAAUAACAAUGAAGUCCUUAUACAAUUUUAAUAACUCUAGAUGCCUGAUGCCAUAGCUCUUCUCUUUUUUUCUUUCUCGUUUUUUUAUUCUCCAAUUUUACAUAACCACCAGUACCACAAUGUCAACCAUUAAUCCUAUAUGCACCUUGUUUUGUUGUAUUAUAAAUAGUGAAUUGAGCUUAACCUCUUCAAAGUCAUUUUUCCUCAACUACAACCGAUCUCUUUAUUUUUGUUUGAAUAAAAUCCUGUUUUUUUUUUCUAAAUAAAACCCAAUGACUAGGAUUCAAUUCGACAAGUUACCUAAUCAAGGGCAAAAUCGAAUUUAUUGUGCUUUUUCGAUUCCUAAAAUGCCCCCAACUAAGCCAUUAUUGUAUUUUGUAUAUUAAUGUAGGAACCAAUAUAGAAACAAAUUUUAAUUGGAUUGUAACUAUACACAUUUAAUUUGAAAAGAUCUCCAAAUGGAUGUAGGAAUUAAUUUGGAAACUUUUUAAAAAUUUAACAAUAAAUUCAUAUUUAACAUACCUAAUCGGUUUAUUUAAUAAUUUUUAUUUACUUAUGAAAUAUCGUGAUUAAUUAUUAAUUAUUUUAUUAUUUUAUAAAUAUAAUAGCAUACAUACAAUUUUAUGUUGAAAAAAUAACGUACCUAUUACUUAUUUUACGAAAAAUAAUGUACCUAGUAUGAAUGUACUUAUUAUUCAAAUAAUAUACCCAACUUUUAUAAGAGCAUUUUGGAUAUAAUUUACCUAAUAAUUUCCUAUUAUGCAAUAAUUUAACUUGUAAUUUAACUAUUAUGGGUAUAUUGUAGGUAUAUUAAAGCCAACACAUUUAUAGGUAUAUUAUGAAAAUAAUUUCCUACCUGAAUUGGAUAUAUACAAGAUAGGUACAUUAUAUUGUAUUGAUAAUAAUUUACCUAUUAUAUUUUAUUGGGACAAAAUUUGAGAGAUUUUUUAUUGGUCAAAAAUUUAAAGAUUUAUAUAUUGGUAAAAAAUUUAAAUUUUUUUUUUAUUGGUUGAAAUUUUAGGGAUUAGAGGGAAUGCCCCAAAAAAAAGAAAAAAAAAGAUAUGCUAUAAAUGAGGAAGUAUUAAUUAGAAAUGAGAAUCUUAAUGACAUGCUUGAAAAUUGUCAUGUUUACUUAUUUGAUUUAUGAUGGCAAACAAUGUAAAUAUGUAGAAGUACUAUGAUCUUUUAUAUAUUUUAGUUUGAAUUUGGGUUUUUUUACAUAGAUUUCAAAACUAAUGGGUUGAUGUCUAGCAAAUAAAAAUUAUACGGACCUAAAUAAAAAUUAUACGGACCUAUAUUAGACUAAUUAACCUAGUAUAAUGAACCUUUUAGCUGUAAGAACAAAUUAUACAUUGGAGCACGGGGUUCUUUUGGCAUGAAUUUAAGCACCUACAAAAGAAGUGUGUCAAAAGAAGGGCACUGUCAUUCACAAGCAUACCCACAUAAGGUGAUUAAAAAACAUGCUUCUCGUAAUAGAGAGGUCAUAUAACUCUUGAAUUAUUUCAAGGAGAUAUUUAAUCCACACGGUUCACUUGUAAGAGAACACUUCUUGACUUUUAUUAAGAGAUAUAAAACCAUAAACCUAGCUAGUGAUUUAAGAAAUUAAACGACAGCAGAGAGGACUCAUGAACCCUCAGUUAUUCAAACAGAAAGCUAACACACAUCUUGACUUCUACGAGAGACAACCAAACAUGCAGCUGUCUGUUUUCCUAUUACAUUCACAGGCUAUUCCAGAACUUGUUUACCCUUGUCCUUAUUAAGCUUAGGACCCUUGAUUCCUUCCACGCUUUUAAGGAGAGGGUCUUGCAUGGAGCUGUCUGAUCUGCUGCUAGGUCCUGCCUUGCCCUCACCCCCAUCAUGCUAGCGCUAGAGCUGAUCAUUUGUUUCUUUGGUCUCAAGAAAAGAGGUAAACUCGUCCUCAUGCUGAUAUACUGGACGGAAACCACACAUUUUUUCACGUACAGCCCUCCCCUAUCACUUGCAAAUGAAGCGUUUACGCGACUACACCCAUUCAACUGAUCUUAAAACCACUUCCGUGGUAUAUAGGACAGCCAAAUGAAUCCUUCAUCUUCUAACCACUUUAAUUCUCCCCCCGUUGUUUGAUUGGGGUGGAGAGAAUAUUCCAAACUUGUGUUGUCAGUUUCCAAGUGACAAAUCAGGUAGUGAGGAGUUUCUGGAUCUAAUUUGUUGUCGCAGGUAGUUGGAUUCUCAAGCUCAGAGAAAAUUGCAUAAAGCGCCAGUCCCAUCCAAUUUAUGUGACUACAUAGAGAUGGCGGUAACGGGAUUUGCACUCAAGGACCACUGACAUGAAAAGGACUAGUUGCUUGAAGUAUGAUGUCUCGAUUAAAGUCCUACAAAAUAUAAAAAUCAAGAAAUAUUAUUGGAUUCAGAUAGCUGAUGUGAGAGAGAAAAGGAGAGAGAGACCUGAACAUGUUGUGGUUGGGGUAUUAAUAUUCCACUGGUUUGCCCCAUAUGAUCUUGAUGUGGCUGCUCGGGAGAGAGAUCUUCCACAAACUGAGUAAUGAGAUCCACAUUGUCAAAGAAGGAGGUCCAGGACUGGAUUAUUGCUUGCUUAAAUUCCUCCUCGUCUUGCUGGUACAAGAGACGGAUACCACAGCUGUCCACUGUCAAGGCUGGGCAAUUGUUGUAAAUUUUGGGUGUGAUAACAAGUCCCCUCCAAUUUUUAUCAACAUACAGUUUUGGAGGUAGUUGGAUUCCUUCCCAGGAUGACUUAGCAGUCCAAUGUUUGAAAUACUCUACCUUCUGCGGGAAACAAAAAUUGAAAGCGUUCCAAGGAUUGAAAUGCUUUGAAACUGAAAUUUUAUCUCCUUUAAUACUGAGUGUUGCCACCUGGGAGUUUUGAAGGAAAGCCUGCAGGUACCUUUUCCAUUGUGCGGGACUAUAGCUUCCAUAGAGUUGAGUCUCAGCCAAUACAUGUACAUGACCAACCAACAAUGACACCAGCAGUGGAACAUCUUCUUCUGCACCCUUUUGUUGGGUGGAAUCCCUGUUGGAAUCCCUGUUGGCCAACAUUAAGGGUUUUGGGUGGCCUAUUAAUAUUGCUUUAUCACACCCCAUGAGAACAUCUUGCUUUUGUUUGAGAUAGCAUCUAUACUUUUGCAGUAUUGAAGUAAAAUCCUGUUCUGGUAUCAGAAACUCAUUUCCAGAUUCAGCCAACAGUUGCCUAUAAGUACAACUUAUAUUAGUCCAAGUAAUUGAAGGAUGUUUAAACAUCAAGAGAAACUAUAAAAAAAUAAAAAAAUAUUCCACCUUUUGAUUCUCAUGGAAUCAAGAGCAAUGCCCAUUUCUCCUUCCUCUGCAUCAGUAUUGCGCACAGUUUGGGCUUCCUGAAGGGGAUUUUCCAGGGUUUCUUCAGAAAACAUUUGGGCAUACGCAUAAAGCUCAUCAAGCAUAUCUGCUCUCCCAAAUGUCAAGUCUGUGUUGGGGGAAUGAUCACAAAACUGAAGUAUAUGAUGGAAAUAUAAAGUGAGGCAGAGAGUGUUUGUAAAACAGAAAAUUAUUCAAAGUGAUUUUUGUUAACUUCUUUGAUAUGUCUACAGCAGCCUAUAACAUGGCUAUUUAUAAUAACAGUCAGACCUUUUGAUAAACGGACACAACUCUUGACUUCUAAAGAGAUACAACUCUUCCUAAACAUAACUUUUCAUCAAGAGACACAACUCUCUUCUUUAACAACUGAUACAAAUGCAUUACGUUUAACAGUCUGUUAAUGAAUGGAUCAAGCCUCCCAAGUCUUCCUCUUAUACUAAACGGGCCCCACAGACUUCAACGUCCACAGCUGAGUUGGUGGUUCUAAAGAAUGCCCUAAUAACCUGACAUUGAAGCCACUCAUGUUGUAGGAAAUGCACACGUGGCACGUGUAACACAACAAGUUCAUGAGACCUAGUAACUUGCUGAGGGAAGGGAUUGCUUAUCUGGACAUAUCUUGGUAUUCUACUGCUUUCUUGGUCACACAAACCAACACAAAGGAAGGAAGGAAGAAGGAAGAGCCUCGAAAGGGAUGGACGCCAAGAAAGUAUAACAUGUAGCUCUAAUCCUACCCAUCUCUUUUCAUCAAAUAAGUUUUGAGGAAGGUCACACAGUGCUACUUUCCCCAAGUAGUGAUGGACGAACCAGUUUGGAAUUCCUAAUACUUCAUGACGAAAACAGAAAAGCAAAUGCUUCUCUCAUCCAUUACGACCCUGUACAAUGUACAUAUACAGCGCACAAGUAAUUAAUUAAUUAAUGGGUGGGACCUUCAAAAAAUAACUGUCUUAAACAUAAAUUUUGAUGCACAAGCAGUAAUAGAGAGAGAGAGAGAGAGAGAGAGAGAGUAAGCUCAUAGAGCUUCAACAGCAACGAUUGUACUGGCUGGAUGCAAGAAUCAGUACUAAUUGUGGUAGAGCUGCUGCCGCCCUGAUUCACAGUACUAAUUGUGGAUGGUGGUUCCCCUAGAGGGUAUUCAAGUUCCGUCAUGUCCCCAGAGCUUUCUAAUCUCAUUGCCUCAUCCAUGAUAUCCUUACAAUGUUGACUAAAAUUCGAAUCCAUGUGUUGACUAGCAGUCUGACUUAAAUUCUGGGCAAACUGUGCUGCAUCUUGAUGGGAUAUUAAAUGUAUUCCGAGUAGAAAUAUAUGUUUAGGUAAAACUGAUACUUUCUAUUCAUCUCCAUAAUGAGUUAUUUAUAUGUUUACAUAGGGUUUUACAGGUUUAACAAGGAAAUAAAAUAAACUAGGAAACAAAGUCCUAAUUGUACAAGAAUUAGUCAACUACACUAAUUAGGAAAUCACUUUCCUGAAUUCACGCACACGCCAACACUCCCUCUCAAGUUGGAGCAUAAAUGUCACCAAGGUCCAACUUGCUCAGCGUGUCCUGAAAUAUUCGACUUGAAACUGCUUUCGUCAAGAUAUCUGCCAAUUGAUCUUCUGACUUUACAAACGGGAACUGAAGCGUCUUGUCUUCUAAUCUUUCUUUGAUGAAAUGCCUAUCCACUUCAACAUGUUUAGUUCGAUCAUGUUGAACUAGAUUAUGAGCAAUAUUAAUGGCCGUAAUAUUAUCGCAAUAUAAUUUCAUGGGUUUUUUAGGCUUUAAACCUAACUCCGUUAGAACAUGCUUAAUCCAUAACAACUCACAAACACCAUGUGCCAUACCUUUAUAUUCUGCCUCCGCACUUGAUCUUGCAACAACAUUUUGUUUCUUACUACGCCAAGUAACAAGGUUACCUCCUACAAAAGUAAAGUAACCUGAAGUGGAUCGUCUGUCUGUUUGGGACCCAGCCCAAUCCGCAUCUCUAUACCCAAUUACAUCCAGAUGUCUUUGCUUUGAAUACAUUAACCGUUUACCAGGAGUUGAUUUCAAAUAUCUCAAGAUGCGAUUCACUGCAUCUCUAUGAACUUCACUUAGAGACUGCAUAAAUUGGCUUACAACACUCACAACAUAUGCAAUGUCCGGUCUCGUAUGUGACAAAUAAAUUAGCCUCCCAACUAGGCGCUGGUAUUGCUCCUUGUUAGUUGGUUUAUGAUCAGUACACUCACCAAGCUUGUGAUUUUCCUCCAUAGGUGUAUUAACUGGUUUACACCCCAGCAUCCCUGUUUCAGUUAAUAAAUCCAUAACAUAUUUUUGUUGAGACAAGAAGAUACCUUGCUGUGAUCUAGAUACUUCUAUCCCGAGAAAAUACUUAAGUGUACCAAGAUCUUUCAUCUCAAACUCCUUAGAUAAGUACUCUUGCAAUGCUUUUCUUUCAUCAGGAUCAUUGAAAAGACCCGCCCCGAAUUUUUCAAAACCUGAGGCGAACCCUUUGGAAUUCCUGACAUCAUCCCGAUGCCAGUGCCCACUUACUAAAGACCGAAACUUCCUACCGAAAUUUCGGCAGAGUCUCCCCUAUAAAUUGGACAUUUUUCAAAAUUACAACCUGCAUAAAAACGCAUUUAAUAUCCACAACUGGCAGUAUGCAUAAUAAAAUUUCAUGCAAUUCACAUAAAUGGCCUUCGGCCUUCCAAUAAUUCUCAACCAAUUACCCAAACAAUUCAAAUAUAAAUUAUGACUAACAUUUAGUCUGCGGCUGCAUCUAAUAACCUUAGGCUGCCUACGUACCCUCCUUGAGGGAUCAAGCCACACGUAGUUCUUCCAUAAAACCCAAUUCCACACUUAGGCAAUACCUUAUUUCAUUUCUCUGUAUUUCACAUAAUCUCCCCAUACGCCGGUACAACCAACGCCACGUAUGGGGUCUGUCAACACGCCGGAUAACCUACGCCACAUGCGACCAUGCCAUACUAUCAUAAUAUCUCCCCAUACGCCGGUACAACCAACGCCACGUAUGGGGCCUGUCUCAACGUCGGAUAACCUACGCCACGCGAUACCUACACAUCAUAUCACAUAACUCCCCAUACGCCGGUACAACCAACGCCACGUAUGGGGUCUGUCGACACGCCGGAUAACCUACGCCACGUGCGACCUCAACAUCAUAUCACAUAUCUCCCCAUACGCCGGUACAACCAACGCCACGUAUGGAGCCUGUCUCAACGCCGGAUCACCUACGCCACGCGAGACCUGAACAUAAUAUCACAAAUCUCCCCAUACGCCGGUACAACCAACGCCACGUAUGGGGCCUGUCCGCACGCCGAAUAACCUACGCCACGUGGGACCUCACUUUCACUUGGUGGUACUUGUAGUAAAUCCAACAUCUGGGGAGGUACCUAAGAUAGUGCGUAUAGCACUCCAAACUGACAUUCUAGACUCUGUUGUACCCUUGUACAACCAUAUAUAAUUAUAUAUAAUAAUUCUAAUAUUGUGUAACCCUCCACAAUAGUCUAGCUCCCGAUAAUCCCCCUGGAAGGGUGAGAUUACUCCGGGAGACUCACGUUCAACCAAGGGUCAAACUACCCUAACCCUGGUCAAACGGACAUGCGGAGCCUACGACCUCCAACUUCCGAUCCGAAAGUCCCUAUGGGUUCUACAAGGUGUAGGACACUCGUCCUGCAUGUUUGGUUCAGAUCGGACGGUCGGAUCGCUCUCGAUCGCACGAUCUGACGGUUAAUAUAAAAUAUAAACUUUAAAUUAUUAUUCGGAACAUCCGGGGCUCCGAUUCACAAUCUGCGAAUUCCUACACGAUCCUAGAAAUACCUAAAUUAACAUAUAUCAAAUUUGGGACCAUCCAACGGUCCCAACCUAUCGAACCCGGAUAACGCACAAUAUGCGAUCGUCCGUUCGAUUGUCGAACGACGUCCGUUCGAUAGUCGAACGACGUCCGAAUUGAGAUCCGCGAAAUCCUACGCACUCGUGACAACCUAAGGAUCUCAUCGAGACAUAGUGCCACUUUUGCUACAGUGCCCACGCACCGCCGCAAGCGCCGGCAGCGCGUGGGUGCCCAAAGCGAUAAGACUUCGCCAGAAAAUCUCAAAAUCACGGCUCCAAACUCCUACCCUAGGUAUAACACCCUAUUUGGAGCCACUUUUGUUCUUGGACCUACCCCAAAAACUGACCGGAAGUGGCCAGAAUCGCGAUCCCAAAACCGGCUGAAUUUCAAUUCGAAAAUCGAAUUGGCUACGCUAAGAAUCGAUCCAAUCCUACCCAAUAGGGAGCUAGGGCAUGAAAAGUAGGUGAGAAACCAUACCUUGCUCGUCGGAUUUGGUGGCCGGAGGAGGGAGAUCGACUGCGGCGAAAAUCGAACGACGCCGGCCGCUUCUUCUCCAUUUUCUGGCGAAACCGCGGCGACUUGAGGCGGGAGACGGCUGGGGCUGGAAGAGGACGACGCCCCGGUCAUUUUGGUACCGGCCCCAUCCACAGCCGUGGUCGGUGGUCGGAGUUACGAGGAGAGAGAGAGAGAGAGAGAGAGACCGACGGGAGAGAGAGAGAGAGAGAGAGAGAGAGAGAGAGAGAAAUCUGAGUUUUAUAAAAAAUCCCAUUUCGAAAUAUUUACGAUUGUGCCACUGGGCUUCUUUUGACCAUAUCUCUCUCGUUACAACUCCGAUUCGAGCCCACUACGUGUCUAUGAACUCAUCUCAGUACGACCUAUCCAAAAAUACUAGUCACUCCCCCAAACUCUCUCUGGUUAAGAAUAUGACCAAAAUGCCCUUUUCUCAAGGAUAGGUUUAUAAUUUUCCUUAAAUAAUUAAAUAAUUUAAAUAAGGGUUAAAUAUGGGGUCGGGGUGUUACAAUCAUCACCUGUUACGAUCAUAUCAUCAACAUAUACUAUCAAAGCUGUAAUUUUAUUUUCCUUAUGCUUCAAGAACAAAGUAUGAUCAAAAUUACUUUGUUUAUAUCCAAAUGCCCUCAUAGACUUUGUCAACCGCCCAAACCAUGCUCGAGGUGACUGUUUCAAACCAUACAAAGACUUCUUUAAUUUGCACACAUAGUGUUUCGAUUCGGAACUCAAGUUACAACCAGGCAGAUGAUCCAUAUAAACUUCUUCUUCUAAAUCACCAUGUAAAAAAGCAUUUUUGACAUCGAAUUGGUGUAAUGGCCAAUCCAAGUUUGCAGCAAGUGAUAUCAGGAUUCGUACAGUAUUGAUUUUUGCUACUGGAGCAAACGUCUCUUGAUAAUCUACUCCAUAUAUCUGAGUAUACCCUUUUGCCACCAAUCGAGCUUUGUACCGUUCGAUCGAUCCAUCUGUCUUCAACUUAAUGGUAUAAAUCCAUCUACAACCCACAGUUCGUUUGCCACUUGGGAGCGGAACAAGUUUCCAUGUGGAAUUCUUUUGAAGAGCUUGCAUCUCAUCAUUCAUCGCUUGUUUCCAGUUUGGAUCCAUCAAAGCCUCUUCUACACUGCUUGGUGUAGACAAAGAAUCUAGUUGUUUGAUCAACAUGGCAUAUGGUGCGGACAAUCUAUGAGUGGAAACAUGGUUGCUAAUCGGGUACUUCACCUUAGCUUUGGGAUCCGCUUCAUAUUGAAUCUUUAGGAUACCACGAUUCUUACGAACAGGUAAUUGGUAUGGUUGUAGAUGUAUCUCAUUAGAUGGAUCGUUUGAAAACAAAUCAGUUAAAUAUAAAUCUUCAACAUCAAUGUUCUGGGAUAUUACCUAGGUUGUAGGUUCAGAAGACACCUCAGAAGAUAAUUGGUUAAAUGGUACAGAAACUUCAGAAACGGGCAUCAAUACAUCAUUCUUCUCCCCCUGACCGGGUGACUGAGUUGUGGGUGAGAAGACCAACCGUGACCGGUCAUCAAGACUGUCGUGCGUAGUUGCUGGAGUGGUAUCUGACGAGUUGGUUAGUGCAUCCUGAACUGUCAGAUGACAUAACGACUCCAAAGUAACGAAUCCUUCUAGGUCAAACUGAUCAUCAACAGUAUCUGGACUCACAUGUGCCUGAACGCCCCUAGAAAAAUACAUUUCUUCUUCUCGAAAAACCACAUCCAUAGUGAUGUAGAGCUUCUGAAUAGGGAGAUGAUAGCAGCGAUACCCUUUUUGAUGUUGGGCAUAGCCAAUAAACACGCACUUGAGUGCUCGAGGCUCCAACUUGUUAUGCUGAUGUGUAUAAAUAUGAACGAAAAUUACACAUCCAAAAACUCGUGGCUCCAAAUUGGGAGUGGAAUCAAGGGCACAAAACUGAUGAAGGGCUUGUAAUGGUGUUUGGAAGUUCAAGACACUGGAGGGAACCUGAUUAAUAAGAUACGCAGCAGAACACACUGCUUCUCCCCAAAAAGAACGAGGCAUUUAAGCAUCAAACAAUGAAGCUCGAACCACUUCUAACAAAUGACGAUUUUUGCUCUCCUGCUACCCCAUUUUGCUGAGGAGUAUAUGGACAUGUUCGUUGAUGUUCAAUUCCAUGAGCUUCUAAAAACUGACAAAGAUCAUGAUUCACAAAUUCACCCUCAUUAUCAAAACGAAGGAUCUUAAUUUUUGCAUGAAACUGAGUGUCUACCAUCUUGUAAAACUGUUGAAAUGUGGUACACACCUUCCCCUUGGUUUUUACGAGAGAAAUCCCAGUCAUACGUGUGCAAUCAUCAAUAAAGGUAACAAACCAACGAGCACCUGAAGAAGUAUAAAUUGGAGCAGGACCCCAAACAUCAGAAUGAACAAUUGCAAAAUGCACCGUACUUUUAUUCAUACUCAAAGGGAAGGAAACUCGAUGGCUUUUUGCCAGUUCACAAACAUCACACUUAAAAUCUGAAAGUUUACUAAACCAUGAAGGAAAUAACUUUUUAAGAUAUCCAAAGGAGGCAUGACCCAACCGUCUAUGCCACAACCAAAUAAAAUUCUGAUUUUUCUCAGUCGAAUCUCCACUAGUCUUGAAGGCUUGAGAAAUCCAAGUCUCACCACUUGUUGCCAAAUCCAGAAAAUACAGCUUGCCCUUUCUAAUACCAUAACCAAUUAUCUUCCUUGUGAGGAUGUCCUGAAAAAUACAACAAUUUGGCCAAAACGUUAAAGUACAAAAAAGAGCAUGAGUAAUUUGCGCAACAUAUAGCAAAUUAAAAUCCAAUAACGGCACAACAAGUACUGAAUCCAGGUGUAACGAAUCUGUAAAGGAUAAAGAACCCUCUCCAACAAUAGGAGAGGAACUACCAUUUGCAUUGGAUACUACCGACUGUGAAGAUGGAGACAAAGAUGUGAUUUUAUUUGAAUCACAUGUCAUAUGAUCAGAGGCACCUGAAUCAAUAAUCCAGACAUUACUGGUGGGUGAGGUGGAAGAAACAUUCAAUGCAGAAGGGGGGUCUCUUACAGGGGGUCUCUGGAGUAGCAGAGGCUUGGAGUGCCUUAUGACCAUUUCUUUUAUUCUUAGAAUGAUCCCACCAAGAUGGAAACCCAACUAAUUCAUAACAAUGUUCACGAGUGUGCUUUGAACCACCACAAUGAGUGCACUUGAAAACUGGUUUGUCCUUCACCCCUUGGGUCGAGGAACUCCCAUGAGAUGAAGGUGGUCCUUUGGAAUGUUGAGCCACCAUGACAGUAGCAUCAAGAGAGGCGGCAGCACCAGUAAAAUUGGCGCGUUGUUGUGCAUCACGGCGAACAUAAGUAAAACUUUGGUCAAAAUCCAAUUUAGGUUCCUUGCGGAGGAUUUCACUACGGACUUGAUCAAAUUCGGGAUCCAAUCCAGAAAGAAAAAUAUGAACUCGAAGACGGUCAAGUUUUUUUUGGUAUGUAUCAGUGUCAGCAGCGCACACCAUAGAUGGGGGGUCGCGAUGAUCCAAUUCCUGAAAAAGACUCUGAAGCAUGCUAUAAUAUUUGGAAACAGGUUGUCCAUUCUGUUUGAGGGUAAAUGCCUUCCUGUUCAAUUCGUAAACUUGAAAUUCGUCGGAUCCAUCAUAGAAAACUUUCUUGACAGCAACCCAAAUCUCCUUGGCAAUGCGAAGACGAAUAAAGCAGCCCAUCAACUCAGGGGACAUAGAAUCAAUUAACCAACCUUUGACUCGUAGAUUUUCAGUGGUCCACGCAUCAAAAGUAGGAGUAGAUUCGGCUGGCACAGAAAUAGAGCCAGUAAGAUAGCCUAACUUUCCACGGGUAGCAAUUCGAAUUUCCAUGAGUUGAGACCAAAGAGCAUAAUUGGUCUCAUUGAGAAUAACUCCUAUAGGCAACGCAGAAUUAUCAUUCUGGAUGGUGACAAUCUGUGGAACCGACGAAGUUGGAGGUUGUGCAGCGGAAGUCGAAGAACUAUCCGGGAGAACAAGGGAAGCCUCGGGUAUUGUCAUCGCAGCGGAAAUUGAUGGUGUGGAAGUAUGACUCAAUAUAUGUGGAGGAUGGAUGAAAAACUUAUGAACUCAAUAUAGGUUUGAAUUCAAUUAGAGGGUUUGGGAUAAACAAGAAAUCACCAGAUCGGUGGCUCUGAUACCAAGUAGAAAUAUAUGUUUAGGUAAAACUGAUACUUUCUAUUCAUCUCCAUAAUGAGCUAUUUAUAUGUUUACAUAGGGUUUUACAGGUUUAACAAGGAAAUAAAAUAAACUAGGAAACAAAGUCCUAAUUGUACAAGAAUUAGUCAACUACACUAAUUAGGAAAUCACUUUCCUGAAUUCACGCACACGCCAACAUUCCGCACCCUUUCACUUUCAAACUGGGUCGAUUUGUUGAGACUGAAGCUCGAAGCAUUCUUUGGCUUGCCCUUUUCAAAUGCCCUGCAAAUUUGCGUGCUGGCUCAUAGCAACAAACUCUAUGCGACCCAACCAUGAAGUUUUUAAAGUUUUGAAGAACCAUGCGAUUUUCAAGAUGGCCAUAAGAGGUAUUAAUAUGGAAAAACGUCUCUUCCAUUUCCGAACUCUGCUCAAGAAUAUCGAAAAAAACAAAAAGGGCAACUCCCAUCCACAAAGAAUUACUAUCUUCUGGAUCUGAUAGUUGGAUUGUUAAAGAAGUCCCACUCAACGGUUGGGUCACGGUCAAGACACGACAGGGACUAGUUUGAAAUUUUGAAAAUAAAAGCUAGGUCUAUACGUAAUUUUUGAAACUUGGGUGGACUGAUUUGAAAUAUUUUUUAAGCUUAAAGUGGAAAAAGACUUUUUAAAACCUAAGUCUCACCUUUUCUGCUGCCAGACUUCAUUGCCUCCGUCACAGCUCUUCCCCUCCCUUUCUCCUGGUUUUGCACAAGAUAAGUCUCUUUACAAUUUUUUUUCUCUAUUUUCAAAUGCAUUUAUUUAUGUUAUCUUCUUUUUUUUCAUAAUUAUUUAUGCAUUCCAUUUUCUUUUCUUAUCUCCCUCCACAUCAGUAGAAGAGUUGGACUUGGUGAUGAGGUGACAAUUCUUUCUUCCUUUUUUUUUUCUUUUUCUUUUUUUUUGAAGAGAAACAAAUAAUAAAAAGAAAUCGUGGCCAAGAAGGUAAGAGUUGGAUGUGGGAUAUGUUGGUGGGGAUGAAUUUGAUAAUAUGAACUUGAAAAAUGUAGGUAUGCUUGAAAUUGCAAACCUUUCACUUGAUGAACCAGAACGGCGUGUUAUUUUCUAAUAACAACAACAAUGAAGACAUAGAUGCUUGAAGAAGAUUGAGAGUUAGAUCAUUUAUGUUUUAUUUUGUGGUAUAUUAAUUAUCAUGUAUGGAUGAUGAACAUGAGUUAUUUGUUUUGUUUUAUGGAAUUAUGUGACAUUGAAGUAUUGAGCAUAAAUUAUUAUUUUAAUUGCCGUGUCCUAGCCGUACCCGUGUCCUAAUUUUUUGAGAUUUUUUCGUGUCGCCGUGUCACGUUCCUGUGUCCCCAUACCCAUGUCCCUGCAACAUAGGAUAUAAGUAUGAUGCAUGUACGUCAAAUUUCUACUAUAUCACAUAAAUGAAUUAGAUAAGUAAUAUAUUGAAAAAAGAAAAAAAUAUAUAUUAACACAUAACAUGCAUGUAUUAUGGCUUCAACUUUUAUGGAACAUCGAAUUACAGUUGCGAAUAAUUAGAUAGAAAAAUAAAAUAGCUUACUUACAGUCUAAGGAUGAAGAGAAUUCUUAAAAUGGGGAUUAUCGGAUAAAGGGAGAAAUUAAGGUUACAUAUAUAUAUAAAUGAAGUCGUUUCAUUAUAACAAACCCUAAACGAAAAUUCCAUGCAAACUCUUCUUCUUUCUCAAGCAAUUGCUUAGAGAAUACACAUUGGUGCCUCGUCUGCCUCACCACGCCUUGCAAUGUCUUGUCACGCCUUGCCACUCCUCACCGCACUAAACAUGCAACUUGCUAAACCGCAAACCACCUUAGGCGAUUUUCUGCCUCUUCACUCUGACGCACACGUCGACAUGCGCGAAAGCAUGCUUUUGGAAACACUGGUCACAAGCACACCACAAUCCGAUCAAAUAUAAAAAAUAGGCUUUAAAAUUCGAGCCCAUAUUGGAAAUACAAUCAAUAGAUGCUGAUCAUGUUACACAUGAUCAAAUAUUAUAUUGCCAGGUGUUACAAAAAAAUAUUAAUACUAGGUUCUUCUUUUCGUUGACAUUAUAGUGAAACAUUUGAUGAGUUGCUCAUGCUACACAUGAUCAAUAUUAAAUUGCUCAUACAAAGUAUUAGUAGUGGAGUUUCUUUUCAUUGAUAUUAUAUAAUGAAAAUUUUGACGAGGGAGUUGUUAUUACUAGUUAUGCGCAAUCCACUUUUAUAUUACUUUCUCUAGCGCCAUGCUUUACCUUCUUUUCUUUUCUUUUUUUUUUUUUGUACUUUGUUUCGAGCAGAUGCUUUUAUAAAAUAGUAUAAAGGAUAGCAAAAUAAUAAGAAACUCAAAUGUGAGAGGCAGACAUAAUAGCGUAGUCUUUAAAAAAUAUUUGCAGCAUGAACCAAAUACAAGGCAACAAAAGAAAAGAAAAAAGAGGAAUUUUGGACACCACUUCAAUCGAUCGCACCAAACAGUAGUCCAGCGACUGAAACACCCUAUAGAAGAAAAACUUCAAUUUUGAGACCUUCAAGAUCUGGGAAGGAAACAUGACAUACUCACAGGCAAGCAUCUAUACGCACCUUUCAAAGAAAUUGCAACCCAUAGAUUUGGAUCAAGCUAGUUGGCUAUGACAAUGAAUCCGUCACAAUAACUUCAAGCUUAAUUAUCUGUUAAUUGAUUUUUAUGUGAGACCAAUGUGUUACGUAUAUUAGAGCAAGUCCAAUGUGUUAAUUGAUUUUUUGACUCUCAUCAAAUACAUACAUUCAAUGAUUCCCUAGCUUUAAUUAAUAUAGGGUUUUUAUCACAAAUGAUUCUUGAGGUUUGCGAAAUUAUCAAUUUUAGUUUUUUUUUUCCUGACUUUAUUGGUCUUUUAUGUUACCUUUAACACAUCAAUUUAGUCAUGCCAUUAGGUUCAGUCUAUUAGAUUGCUGAUAUGGAUUAAACAAUAUUUUUAAAAAUUAAAAAAUUAUUAAAAAUUGAAAAAAAAAAAUAUUAGAAAACAAAAAAAAAAUCUGGCUAGGGGAUGGGGGAUGGGUCUUGGGGUGGGGCUGGGUCUGGGUGACCAAGUCACUGGUCACUAAGAGCGUAGGAUCAGUGACCAAAUAAUGUUUGUUGACCACAAUGAAUUUCUUUUACACAUUUAUUUCCACCUUUUAAUCACACCAAUAUUUAAGAUGGGAGUUGAUUUUCUCACUCCUCUUUUAUCCUCUUACACUCCUCUUUUCUCCACUUACACUUCCUUUUUUGUUAUAGUAAAAACUAUUAAAAAAACAAAAAGGAGUGUAAGUAGACAAAAGAGGAAUGAGAAAAUCACCACCUUAUAAGAUAAGUAGUGAUCCAUUUUAGUUGCUUGCUUUUAAACCAAAACAAUGCCGUUCUAUUUUUAGUGACCAGGAAUGAAAUCAAGAACAGAAUUUGCCUCUAUACAAUGGGGAGGGGAGGGGGCUGUUGCCUCACCUUUACAAAGUUCUUAGAAUGAAUGGAUAUAUACAAGGCAUCUUUUUAUUGUUUAUCAACAAUAACCAAGAAAAAAAUUAUAUCUAUUAUUGUUUAUCAGGAAUCUGAUGAAAGAUGAUACCACAGAAAAGGAAUGUUCUAGUAACUAUACCGACUGUCCGUCACAUUAAUAUAAAUAAAAUAUCUCUAGCAGACAAAAUAAUCCCAAAGACUUACCUUUGAACUUCUCCCAAAUGAAACUAGCCACCGCAAACUCCACUGGUACACUUAUUGGAGCAAGAAGGCGCAAUCUGUUAGUUCCAGAAUUCCAAAACACAUAUCAACAUACCACAAAACACAACAAAGCCCCAAUAACAACAUUCAUAUUGUAAUUCACUAAAUUCCCAAAAGAAAAAAAUCCCCCACUUCACUGAAUCACUGUUUUUGCUCACACACCAACCCAGGAACAAAAGUUAGGUGGUCAAGAACAUCAAAAUAGUCCAGGCAUAUGAGAUCAAGUUAAAGUUACAGAUCGAAUUCUAUAAUUUUAAUUCUAAUCUCAAGUCAUACUAAAUUAUCAUAAUAAUGGACCAGAAAUCUUACAUGGCUGUGCCCUGAGCAGUCCUACAUUGCGAAAAUACAUUGGAUCCUUGUACUGUGAAGUGUGUGUUUUUAUUGGUUAUCACCCUCAUCAGAAGGGUUAUCGGUGUUUUCAACUGCCUACUCGGCAUUUUUAUGUUACUAUGGAUGUUAUAUUUUCUGAGGAUGGGAUGUAUUUUGCUCGUCCAGUUUCCCUUUCUCCUUUUAUAGGGGAAAGUAGUGUUAAAGAGUUGGAGUGGAUGGAGAUAUUUUAGGAUAACAUUGAGGUUAAUUGGCCCACAUAACCGGCCUGUACAACACCGACCAAUCGCUCUUCCUGCAGCUGAACUAGUCGGCGUCGCCCCUCUGGCAGCUGAACCAGUCAAUAUCAAGAGAAGGGGAGGUUUUGGUAGAGUAGGGGCCAGCGAAGGGGAGGUCUUGGCGGAGUAGGUGACUGUGUGGGUGUUGUGCUUGGGCUUGGGAGAAGAGAGACAAAGGGAGGUUGGGUAUCUUGAGAAGUUUUGUGGUGAGAGGGUGGUUGCUGGCCAGGUGAUGUUGGGCAGUGGCUUGUUGGGUGAUGUUGGAGUGGUGAGGGUGAGGGUAGCUUUAGGUUGGGUGGUGGUUGUGGUUUGAUGGUGAAGUUUGGGAGGGGGAGGGGACGGGAGAGAAAGGGAGAAGAAGAGAGUUUUUAAUUUUAAUUUUUAUAAAUUAAUUUUUUCAUUUUGUAUUGUUUAUUUUUAAAAGGAAUGAAUUUUUUAAUAAUUUGAUCGAAUCGGUUCUCCACAAGUAACGGAGCAGACAUGAGAGAUUGUCCUUGAAUUGCUUCAAAUAUAAAUCACAGGGACAAAAUUGACCAAAUUGAAACAACAAGAACCAAAGUGGUAAAAAUGGCAAACUGCAAAGACUAGAAGUGACUUUUUGCCUUGUUUUUAUUGUGUUAGUUUGUUUUCCUCUUGAAAUUGGUGCUUUAGAUGUCAUGUUGAUGUUUUUAAUUGUACUGUUGAAGUUUAUCAUUAAUAAAAUAAAAUAAAAGUCAUAUACUAGCGAUGUUUGAAAUUGAUUCUAAUAACACAUAGACCUGUUAGCGAUGUAUGAAACAGAUUCUAGCCAAGUCAUAGACGCUGAUUCUAAUGAAGUGGAUCUCAAGAUCCACUUUAUUAGAACCAUGACAUUUUCCUUUUGGCCCUCUCUAAGAUUGUUAUUGAUGACACAAAUUAGAAAAGGGAAUUGUGAGGAUAGAUUUCAAAAGGAAAUCAGCACACAAACAAAUUAAACUUCAAUUGCUAGACAUUUUGACACUAUGAUCAUUAUGUAGAGUACAUAGAUAAACCUUAAUUAAAACCAGGCUUUAUAAUUGAGAGUUCAUUAGACAACUCAACCAAAUGACCUUUUAUUGACAUACAAAAAUAUAGUAGUACUAUGACGACCACGCGUUAUCUUAUUCUUUGUUUCAGUCUCAGCAGUUUCAUGUCCUGGUUUUUCAUUGUGGCCAUGGUCUCGACCAUGUCUAUUCCCUCCUCAACUGUAGGGGUCAUGCUCACUUUAGAGACGUACCUUUUUCUUCCACGGUUGUAGUUGUUGCGUCCAUAGUUACCUUGUCCUCCUUAUCCAACUUUCUCGUAGAUAUAUACUAUAUAUAUAAAGCAAAAGGAAGAGAAUGGUAAAACAUUCAAAAUACUAGAAAAUGCCCUUGGUUAAUGCAAACUUUAAGAAUUGAAAUAAUUAAUUAAAUAAGGAUAAUAUGGUAAAUUCACACUUUUCAUAUUAAGAAAAAUUAAAAUUAGAAGAAAAAAUAAGAUAUGCAUCCUAUUUUUAUGAAACACGACUACCUAUUAUUUUUUUUAAUUCUAAAAUAAAUUUUAAAUUUUUAUUAAAAAAGGCAUCUAGCAAGCGCGGAAACGCAUGUAAAGAGGCUAGUUAUUCAUAAAGAAAGAAUUGCACCAAAAAAAGAAAAAGAAAAGGGGUCGAAUGUCACUUAACAGAACCUUAUUGUUCAGUUUGCAUUCUGUAAGGAGCAAAGCAUACAAUAUUCAAAAUUACUAAACAUCCACAUGUUCCUAAUCAUAAGAAGUUCUCUUCUGACCAUGAUAUCUCUCAUGUACAUCUUUUAUUAUGUGAGAGGUCACUUAAAUAAGGUUAUUUGAACAUAUAUAUAUAUAGAAGCACAUAUAUAAGAUAUUCGUAUUAAUAAAAAAUAGGCUUAUUAUCACAAAACGUCCUUAAGGUUUACAAAACUAUCAGAUUGCAUCCUUAAAGGUUUUUUGUGUCACUCAUGGUCCUCAAGGUUAGUAUGUGCAAUCACAAAUGAUCCCUGCCAUUAGGUUCCGUCAAAAACUCCGUUAGUUUGCUGACGUGGCAUACAUAUAUAUCACAAAACAUCCCUGAGGUUCACACAUCUAUCACAAAUGGUCCCUACAAAUUUUUUUAUUUUUUAAUUUAAAAUUCAUAAAAUUUUGGUUUUCUUUUUAAAAUUAUUUAUAAAUGAAAAAACCAUUUAUAGAAGGAUUUUAAUCUUGAGGACUAUUUAUGAACCCUAAACCCUUAGUUUUUUCAUUUUUAAAUUUUAAAUUAUUUUAAAAAAACUCCAUUAGUUUGUUGAAGUGGCAUAUAUAUGGAGCCCACAUCUACAAUAAUAUAGUGUCACAUGUAUUUAAAAUAUAAUAUAUUUUUUAAAAUAAUUUAAAUUCAUAAAAUUUUAAAAAGAAAACAAAAAUGUUAUCAAUUUUAAAUUAAAAAAAUUUCGUAAGGACCAUUUGUGAUAGGUGUGUGAACCUCAGGGAUGUUUUGUGAUAUAUAUAUAUGUCACGUCAACAAACUAACAGAGUUUUUGACGGAACCUAACGGUAAGGACCAUUUGUGAUCAUGCAUACUAAUCUUGAGGACCACGAAUGACAAAAAAAAAAAAUUAAGGAUGCAAUCUGAUAGUUUCGUAAACCUUAGGGACGUUUUGUGAUAAUAAGCCUAAAAAAUAAUAAAAAUAAAAGAAGACAUAUAUAUAUAUAGUCCCUUUUAUUCAAGGAUUUCUCAAAUAAUUUUAUUUGAGGGACAUUUUUUAGGGAAUAAAAUGCGGAGUGAGCCCUACAAGAGUGUCCCUCAAUGAAAGCUCUAGUGUGUGUAUGUGUAUAUAUAUAAUGUAUUCCAGAUUCGUAGUUUAGCCUAAAAAAGGAUGUUCCAAGUUCAUAGCAUGUUAAUUAUUGUGCAGAUUGGAAUGCGCCUAAUUAAAUUCACAAACCGGUGGAAAAAAGAGACAAAUAUAGAUGUUUAAGUUAAGAAAGAGAAAAACUCACGAUUAUUCUACACACGCAGCAGAUAAAGAGAAUACCAGCAGUCACAAGGCCAAAAGGAAAAAAAUAAAAAUUCGAGGGUGGCAUAUUUUUCUCAACAGAAGGUGAAGAUAAUGUGUCUUGCCUCUCCCUAUUUAUAGACCCUUUAAAAGCAUUAUAUUUUCGUAACAACACAAGAAGACGAAAAGUCUUCGAAGAUACCGUAUCAAUUGAUCACACCAAUAGAAAAGUCUUCCAAGAAGAAAAACAAGUGGUUGUCAUGUGAUAUUUGGAUUACGUUGUUGAGCGAACAAUAUUGACUCUUGCAGGUUCCACAGACGUUGACGACCAAAAAGGACAUGUAAGUCAAGCUAGUAGAUACAAACCCAGCUGAAGUCGAAAGGGUAUUAUUUAUUUUAAACGUGCGGCCCUUUCCCUACAUUAGCAUACGCAGCCCUUUCCCUAUGGCCCUUUCCCUACGUUAGCAUACGCCCUUUCCCUACGUUAGCCCUUUCCCUAUGGCCCUUUCGCCCUUUCCAUUAGCCCUUUCCUUAUGGCCCUUCCCCUACGUUAGAAUACGCCCUUUAUUUUAAACCCAGCUGACAGUGGAACAGCAAGGAAAAUUCUACAGUGCGUCUGGCGCACUGAUGCGCCACUUAUUAUAGGCCAUUGGAUGAGUAGCUGGGGCAUGUGGGGUAAUCCAAAGCGUUGAUUGUUGGUUACCUGUUAAAUUGGUUGCUGUAGGUAAAACCAAAUACAAAAUACAAAAAUACUUGCUCUCUCAGUCAAAGACAUUUCAAGUUUAGGGUUGGGUUUCUCAUUUCUUUCUCUUCGAGUUCGAUUCCUUCCACAACAGCUCCUCUCCUCCUUCUGUGACGACGAGACGAUGCCGGCGACAACAUCUCCUCUCCUCUCAAGUAGGUCAUGCUCCUUCUUCUCCUUCUUCAUUUCGUUCUCCUUUCUAGGGUUUUUGGUCUGGGUAUCUUCCUUGUUGCUGCUGCUUCAUCGCUGAUUUCUUUGUUUUGUUUUUUUAGGCUUGCACAGUUAUGAUUUCCCUGUCUCACUCUCAUCUGGCUCUCUGUGGCUGGCUUUCUCUCAACCUCUCUGUGGCAGGUAAGAACUCUAAUUUUCUCCCUCUCUUUCUAACUGUGCGAUUUAGAUGAUUCGCAUCAUAGCAGAAAGUAUUUCAACUUUGAAUUUUGGCCUAGACUUUCUAACAAAAUGAUUUAUAUGUCCUAUUUUAAUUUAGGGUUUAAUGAUUUGGGUAUUGAAUCGCAAGUCCUUAUUUAUUUUUUUUGGUAAUAUUUUGGAUUUAUAUAGGAAUUUGGUAAUUUUUUGAAAUUAUAAUUCUGUUUUUUUUUUCCUUUCGAAUUGUUCUCUCUCCCACCUCUCCCCUUUCUCCCUCUCAGAUAUAUCGUUGCUAAUUUCUUACUUUUUUUAUUAUUAGAAUGUGAGGGUUGGAAGCUUGAGAGUUGUUCAUUCUUGAUAAUGAUAUGGGACUUUAAAUUGAUGGCCUUGAGACUGCAUAUUGUUCAAACCAAAAGCACUGGGUUCUUGAAGGAAGAUGCUAGAAGAUGCUUGGUAUUGAAAAUGUAAUCUUCAUCAGCAUGAACUGAAACUACUCAGUACUGGCUUUUACAUUGGGAGAAUUCAUAAUAUUUUAUUCGAUAAAAAAAUACCUUGUGAAAUACAAUUGAAGCUAACGAAAAGCUAGGUAAGUAUACUUAGAUUUAUAGUCAAAGUAUUCUAUUAAAAAGGGAGAUGUGCCCCUCUAUAUUCAGUUCAUCCAGCAAUUCUGUUAGAAAAGGGAUUUCUUAUAGCAUCGCUUGUUUUAAGUCUUUCAAGUGCUGAGAAGAAAAGAGUCAGUGUAAACAAAUGCCUAUGCAUGAUAGGGUUAGUUAUAUAUAUAUAUUAAAAGAAGGAAAUGAGAGCAAUGGAUAUUCAGGUGACAAUACAAAGCUGCAUUUGCUAGCUGAUAUCCUCUUACUUAAGUUAUAAGGUGGUAUUGCUUAAGUUAUAAGGUUGUGUUGCUCCCAAACCUGAAAAUGUUGAGGCACUAAUUUGAACACGAGACUGGAUAUUUAUUUGUUUCUUUUUAUCAUCAUCUAAAGUCUUAUUUGGGCAGUUAGCUAUAACUAUUGUUUUAUUUGACUUGUAUGUUUUCAUGUUUACAGGACUUCCCAACCCACUGAACAUGAAACUUCACUGCAAUCAAUGGUACCAUGCAUAUGAAGAGUCCUAAUUUACACGACUUCUAUAUCUUCUACAUGGGAAAGGGACUCACUCUUCUUCUUGUGCUUCUUAAUUUGAAAUUGGUUUUGAUUAUGUUUUUCAGUUAGGUAUUGUUUUGAUUUUGAUUUUGGAUUUGCAGGUAUUCCAACUAGCGGCCCAUCCACCCUUCCCAGCAUCUGAUAAGGGUAAUUUUUUUUUUUUCCUUCAAAUUUAUCUCUCUCUGUCUUUCAUUUUGGUGAAUGGUUGAGCAUGUUAUUUAUUUAUUUUAGUAAUGCAUGAGGAAUAUAUAUAUAUAUAUUGUGAACUGCAUGUUAAAAACUAUCAUGCUACAUUGGAAGUGGUAUUAUUUGCCUAAUCUUGGCAUAGUGCUACGAAUAGUUAAGUUUGGAAUCACAAAAUGAGAACGUAAAGACAAACACCAGGCCAUUGUACAUCGCAUUGGAGAUAUGGUUGAAGCUGGUCCCAGCUUUUGGCUGCUUUCGUUACACUUUUUGUUUGAUAUUCAAAGCCUAUAAGAUUGAUGAUCGUUAUUCAAUCCAAAAAGUAAAAAAAGGAAAAAGAAAAGAACAAAUCUCUACCCCGAACUGGCAUUUUGCUUUCUAUUCAAGUUAAUUAUGUUGUAGGUUUGUUCUUUUUUUGUUUACAAUGAUGAAUUUCUAAUUGUUUUCAUAUUAGCAUAUUGCUUUAUGUUUCCAUUCAUUUUAUUGAUAGUUUCGUGAUUGUUUUUCAGGUUGGGGUAAAGAAUUAGGCCAAGUACAAGACUAAUAUACUAUUUUGGAGUCUAUUUAUUUGGCUACUUGAAUUUGUAAUAUUUUCAUUGUAUCUGGAGAUUGUAAUUUUUUUUUUAAUUAUACAUGAUGACUUAAGAUUAUAGAUUUAUAAUUAUUGGUUAUGUAGAGUGAAUGUAUUGAACAAUACUUUCAAUUACAUGAAUGAAGUUUAUGUUGGCUUUGAUAAGGAUAUAGUACCAUUGAGAAUAAGCUUUUAAAGUAAAUUUGACUGUUAUAUCAUAGUUUAUGUGCCAAUUGAAACAAUCUUCCCAUUAGCAUUGUGAAUAGGCAUUGUACCAUAAAGAUGUAUUACGAGAUUAGUGUAUGCAUGCAUAUUGUCAUGUUAUUGGCAGUCUUUUCAAUUUUAAGAAAGUAAUCACAAUAUGUGAUUUGUCAAUGCAAUUGACAAACAGGUAGUGCCAUUUGCAUUCUAGUCGUGCAAUUGACAAAGAAAGUAGUACUAUUUGCAUUCCAGUCGAGCAAUUGCCAUUAUCUGUGCACAAUUAAUUGAAAAUGUAAAUUUAAUAUGUGAUAUGUCAAUGCAAUUGAUAAACAGGUAGGGUAAUUUGCAAUCUAGUAGUGCAAUUGACAACUAAAGUAGUCCCAUUUGCAUCUGAGGCAAUAUUAACAGCUCAACGACAUCGAAAAUAAGCUUUUUACAAAGCAAAAAAAGCUCCCAACCCUAUCCCCCCUCUCUUCUAGGGCUGCCAGGGGGGGAAGUGGUCACCUACCCUUCUCCCUUCCCUUUUUUGCCUCCUUGUUCCUCAUUUCCUCCCUUCCCUCCNNNNNNNNNNNNNNNNNNNNNNNNNNNNNNNNNNNNNNNNNNNNNNNNNNNNNNNNNNNNNNNNNNNNNNNNNNNNNNNNNNNNNNNNNNNNNNNNNNNNCGUUUUUUUUUCUUUUGCUUUUGCUUUCUUUUUCUUUUUCUCUUCUCUCCUUAUUUAAUGAAACUCGAUUUAGACCCCCCCCCCCCCCCCCCGUAGUCCCAUUUGCAUUUCAGUCUUGCAAUUAUCAUUAUCUUUGCUCAAUUAUGAAAUGUAGAAUCUCUCACUAAUGAUAAAUCCUUCGUAAUUAAUUGUAUGUUCAAAAGAUUGUAAUCCAUGAGCAAAAAACUUAGUAGAAUGCAUAAAAACAUUGCUUAAUAGAAUGCAAUUCGUAAUUUUGUCCUCGCAAUUGAAUUUUAUGCACAUUAUUGCAAACAUGGUUGCAAUCAUGUUAUACAUUUUAUUCCUAGAAAUGCAUGGUUUAUAAGUUUAUCUUGAAAAUACAAAAUAAAAUUAAACUAUAUAUUUGGAUAAGUUUAUUUCCGAAAAGGAACAUUUGAAUUGAUUAAGGGUAAUUUGUCUCUUGUUUGACAAUUGCUUUUGAUACAAUAAAAAAAAGGAAAGAAAAAAAAAGGGUAUGAUUUACGAGGUUUUGCAUCAUGAUUACAACUUAAAGGUUCUUCCUAAUCCCUAAUCUUGUAAUGUGGAUCCAUAACAUUGCAAAAUGGUGAUUUACAAUAUUAUGGAUUUGGUGAGCCCUAAUGUUGUAAUCUAUGAGCAAAACCUUGUAAAUUGUUACCAAAACUUGUAAGUUACGAGUUUAGGGAUUCUUUUUAUGACGUUAUUGUGCACUCAGUCCUUAAUCUUGUAAAACAUUUUUUUACUAGAAUAAUGAUCCAUUUUACAUCACUAAGGUCCACCAUUACCAAUUCCUUGUAAUGUGGAUCCAUAACAUUGUAAAAUGGUGAUUUACAACAUUAUGGAUUUGGUGAACCCUAACGUUGUAAUCUAGGAGCAAAACCUUGUAAAUUGUUACCAAAAACUUGUAAGUUACGAGUUUAGGGAUUCUUUUUACGACGUUAAGGUACCAUCGGUCCUUAAUCUUGUAAACUAUUGUUUACUAGAAUAAGGACCCAUUUUACAUCCCUAAGGUCCACCAUUACCAAUUCCUUAUAAUAUGGAUCCAUAUCCUUGUAAAAGGCUGAUUUACAAAAUUAUAGAUUUGGUGAACCCUAAGCAAAACCUUGUAAAUUGUUAUCAAAAACUUGUAAGUUACGAGUUUAGGGAUUCUCUUUACGAUGUUAAGGUACCCUCGUAUCCCAAAAUUGUAAAAUCGACCCUUAAUCUUGUAAACCCUCAUUUUACUAGAAUAAGGACCCCAAUUUACAUUCUCAUGGUCCAAACUUACCUAUUCUUUAUAAUUUGGAUCCAUAUCCUUGUAAAAUAAGGAUUUACAACGUUAAAGAUUAUGAGAACCCUAAUGUUGUAAUCAUGGUGCAAAACCAGUAAAUCACUACCCAAAUUGUAUAACCUACAUGUUUAUGGAUCCUCUUUACAACGUUAUGGUACCUUUGUAUCCCAGAAUUGUAAAAUCGGCCUUUAAUCUUGUAAACCCUCAUUUUACUAGAAUAGGGACCUAAUUUACAUCCUCAUGGUCCGCACUUACCAAUUCCUUGUAAUGUUAAUCCAUAUCCUUGUAAAAUAAGGAUGUACAACAUUAAGGAUCAUGAGAACCUUAACGUUGUAAUCAUGGUUAAAAAACUUGUAAAUCACUACCCAAAUCGUGUAACUUACAUAUUUUUUGAUCCUCCUUACAAGGUUAUGGUACCCUCGUAUCCCAAAAUUGUAAAAUCGGCCCUUAGUCUUGUAAACUCUCAUUUUACUAGAAUAAUAACCCUUUACAUCCUCAUGGUCCGGAGUUACCAAUUCCUUGUAAUAUGGAUCCAUAUCUUUGUAAAUGAGUAAUUUACAACAUUAUGGAUUAUGUGAGCCCUAAUGUUGUAAUCCUUGUUCAAAAACUUGUAAAUCGCUACUCAAAUCUUGUAACUUAUAAGUUUUAGGAUCUUUUUACAAUGUUAUGGUACUCUCAUAUCCAAACUACUGUAAAUCACUAUCCAAUCAUAUGCCAAUUGUCAAACAGGAAGGGCAUAAUUGCAUGACCCUUAUACAAUUGCAUUUUCAAAAAGUGGAAACUUGAUAACUUGUAUAACCAGUAACCAAUGUUUUAAAAAAUUUAAGAGCAUCAUAAAGGACAAAUGGUGUAUGGAUGCACCUGGUGCACUAUAGAAGCUGCCGAAAAGCAAAGGCUGGCUGCACUGUUUCACUGUGUGCAUGUGGGUUUGUGUCUGCAGCAAAGUCAAGAAAGAGCGGCUGACUUCUUUUUCCAAUGCUGGUAGUUGUGCACUUUCAGCAUAUUAACGGUCCUUGUCUUGUAGAGCAAUUUGGAAGAGCAGGACCAAAUCCUUUGGCUACAAAAGAGGAGCAAGCCAUGUGUAAUUUGACUGGGCAUUUGUGCCGCACCAUUUGGAUGUGCCAUGAGCACUAUUGCUCAGAGAGGCUAAAACAGAAGGAAGGGACACUUCCACACAUAAAGAAAUACUAGAGAGCAUCACCAUAAUGGUGGAGAUAAACUCCUCUUUGACUACACGAGAUGUUGAAGGAAGAUCAAGUUGUUUCCCUUUUAAGGCUGGGUAGGCCGAUUGAAGGAGUUUUUGGUCCUUCUUCUUUUAGAUUGCGUAGACGUGUCACCACCAAGCCACUGACUGGCUUGAAUGGAAAAGGUUGGAUUGUUGUGUUUGCGCUUCUGACUUCUAACCAGCCGAUUGAUAGGCCAAGCAAGGAACCUCCUCUUAGCCUAGGUUCUUUCACUUCCUCGGGGUCGAGGAUGGUUAGGUUUCGUAUAGGUAUUUUAGUAUUUUAGAGAUUUUUAAUGAUAACGAUGCAAAUUAAAUUAAAAUAUGCGAUUAAACUUAAAGACGAGAAUUGAAGUGCAAUAAAGUAAUCAAAGCGAUAAAUAAACUUAAAUUAAACGAAGAAUGAAAUAAGAACGAUAUAAAUGAUAAGAGCAAUAAAAUAAAGCAAUUUGAAAUUAAAUUAAUGCUUCAAGAAAAUUCAAUAACAAUUAACAAUAAAGUGAUAAAAUUGAAUCUUAAAAAAACGUGAUGGAAAAUACAAUAAAUUAAACUUACACUAACGAAGGUGAAGAACUGAUCUAGUCUACUUGCUUGGAAAAUAAAAACCUAGUAUAGGGAUAGAAAAUUGAAAGACAAAAAGUAGGUUUUUCUGUCUGAUUUCGGGGCUUCUCCCUUCAUCUGAUGAGGUUUAUAUAGAGGCAUUUGUCAGCCCAUGGAUUGACCAUUAAAUGUCCAAAGGUCAACUUCAUUCAAAACCUUUCCUUGUGAAGCCUUCAAAUCUGUGGGAUCACAAUGAUGGAGACCUUCUGAUUGCUUGAUUCUCUCUUCUUUUGAAAUACUCCGGAUUGUCGUCAAUCUCCUUGAUUUCCUUCCUUAUUAAGCCUCUAUCACGUGCACGCUAUCUCCGAAAAUCAUGGGUUCUAAUAUGUGCCUUGGGCUUAGACCUCCGAGACUUUAACUUGACAUCUGGUGAAACAUUGUAACUUCUAGAAUUCUGAUCUUGGUUAAAACACCCAUUGAUGUUCAUGACUUGGAAUUUCUUCACCGGAACUUGGAGUUGGGUUUGACUUGGCUGAUCGAAGGCCAAGAUCUUAGCUGAUCAGAGGACUUGACCUUGGCUGAUCAGAUGACUUGGCCUUGGCUGAUCAGAGUACUUGACUUUUUGGCUGAUCAGAGGACUUGAUCUUGGCUGAUCAGAUGACUUGGCCUUGGCUGAUCAGAAGACUUGAUCUUGGCUGAUUAGGGGACUUGAUCUUGGCUGAUCAGGGGACUUAACCUUGGCUGAUCAGAGGACUUGACCUUGGCUGAUCAGAUGACUUGCCCUUGAUCCACUUCAGAAGUUCCAGAUGUUUCGACUUUGGAAGUCAGAUGUUUUCAACCCAUUGUUAGAAGGUGGGUUUCGACUUCUAAGAUCUUAGUCUGAAUUGUGAUUGAACAUCGUGUAUCUUAAGCUAUACACUUUACUGAAGAUUAAACGACAUAGGAAGCAGGAUGACCCCCAAGUUCGACCUUCUUGUUUCGAUUUGGCCGUUAGGCACCUUGAGCCGCCAAUUUGCAUUUUGGCCUAUUGGUUUUCCAAGACGCAUGGUCGAACUUCGACCAGGGUCACACACAAGCCAUUUCAAAGGUUGAGUCUUCUUCAUUUGUUCCUUGUGUUUGUGAGAGGUUUAUUUAUUUAAAUUGUUCUUAAUGUAUUCUUUCCUAGUGAGCAAGAACAAUUCCUGUGUUCUUGGCUCUUGUGUGUGGUUAGCCAGUGAGUGACUUGGGUGUAUUUGGGAUUUGGGUUGUGAGAGUUAAACUCUGUAAUUCCUAGGAUAGGUGAGAUGAUUAAUCUCCUUUGGUUGCAAUCUCUUUUGAGAUACUAGUAGAAUUUCUCACUGUCUUCGAACUGGAGGUAAACUACACACGGGCUGAACCAAUAUAAAUCCUUGUGUCGUUUGGAUUUCUGUAUUUCAUAUUUUGCUCUUGUUGUUUCAAUAGUUUCAUAUCCACCAUCCAUGUGCAAUCCGCUUUCGCUGUGCACAACAACAUUUAUGAGUUGCUCAGGCUACACAUGAUCAAUAUUAAAUUGCUUAUACAAAUUAUUAGUAGUGGAGUUUCUUUUCAAUGAUAUUAUAUAGUGAAAAUUUUGAUGAGGGAGUUGUUAUUACUAGUUAUGCGCAAUCCACUUUUAUAUUACUUUCUCUAGUGGCGCUAUGCCUUACCCUUUUUUUUGUUUGGAGCAGAUGCUUUUAUAAAAUAGUAUAAAGGAUACUAAAAUCAUAAGAAACUCAAAUGUGAGAGGCAAACACAAUAGCGUUGUAGUCUUUAAAAAAUAUUUGCAGCAUGAACCAAAUACAAGGCAACAAAAGAAAAGAAAAAAGAGGAAUCUUGGACACCUCUUCAAUCGAUCACACCAAACAGUAGUCAAGCGACUGAAACACCCUACAGGAGAAAAACUUCAAUUUUGAGGCCUUCAAGAUCUAGGAAGGGAAAAAUAGCAUUCUCACAAGCAAGCAUCUAUAUGCACCUUUUAAAGAAAUUGCAACUCAUAAAUUUGGGUCAAGCUAGUUGGCUAUGACAAUAAAUCCGCCACAAUAGCUUCAAGCUUAAUUAUUAGUUAACUGAUUUUUAUGUGAGACCAUUGUGUUACGUAUAUUAGAGCAAGUCAUGCCAUUAUGUUAGACCAAUGUGUUAAUUGAUUUUUUGACUCCCAUCAAAUGCAUACAUUCAAUGAUUCCCCAGCUUUAAUUAAUAUAGCAUUUUUAUCACUAAUGAUCUUUAAGGUUUGCGAAAUUAUAAAUUUUAGUUUUUUUUUUUCCCCUGAUAUCAUUAGUGCUUUAUAUUACACCUAACACAUUAAUUUGGUCAUGCCAUUGACGUGGAUUAAACAAUGUUUUUAAAAAAAUCUACGUAGGGGAUGGGGGAUGGGUCUUGGGGUGGGGCUGGAGCUAGGGCUAGGGGUGGAUCUCGGGUGGGGAUGGGAGUGGUUGUAUGGUGGUGUUGGCCUUGGGGGUGGUCUGGGUAGAGAAAAAACGGAGGGUGAGAGAGAGGAAGAGAGGGAGAAAGGGAGGAAGCGGGUCGGGGAAGGAGGGGAUUGGGGUUGGGUAGCGGAAGUUGGGGUCUAUGAGAGAGAGAGAGAGAGAGAGAGAGAGAGAGAGAGAGAGAGGAUGGGGAGAGAGAGAUAAAAGGGGGAUGAUGGGGGAGAUGGAAGGGGAAGGAGGGGAAGGGGAGGAGGAAGAGGGGAGACGGAAGGGAAAAAUGGGGAAGGGGAGGGAGGCGAAAGGGGAAGUAACGGGAGGCUUGAGUUUUUUUUUUCCUCUUUUUUUAUUUUUUAUUUUAUUUUUAAAUUUCUAUUUUUUAAGAUUUUAAAUGUUAAACUGUUUUAAAAUAAUUUUUUUUUUGUUUAGAUCUACGUGACAUUCUCUCAUUGGAUAUAUAGGCACUUUAUUUAUGUCACAUCAGCAAUUUAACAUAAAUUUUUUACCGAACUUAACGACAAAACCAAAUUAAUGUGUAAAGUGACAUAUGAAACUAAUAAUGUCAAGAAAAAAACCAUGACCAAAAGUGGUAAUUUCACAAAUCUCGAAAUUAUUUGUGAUAAAAGCCCAUUAAUAUAUGCAAGAUCUACUUACACCAAAGCACGUCCAAGCAGCUUCUUGGCCUCCCACUUUCGGGGAAAUGGAAGCAAAUAAUGGGUUUUAAAACUUUACUUUUUCUGCAGCUUUUGUUGUCUGAAAAAUAAAAUAACAUCACAAAGAGGAUCCCACAAGAAUUCUUUGAAGAUACAAAAGUCUUAUAGCUAUUUUAUUCAUAUAAUUAUGAAACCAAAUACAAAAGUUCUAUUAAUGAUGUCCAAAAUUUGCAAAAAGUCAAUAAAUGGAAUAAAUGCCACUGUUGUAAAAGUUUAGUAUGUUUUUGACAAAAGUAAAUUUAGGUUUUACCCAUAAAAAAACUUUCACUUUUGGAAAAAGCCAAAGCUUUUUCAAAAAAGACAGAAAAACCUCUCAACUUUCAAACCAAAGACAUGCAAAUGUAAAGGUUUCCUUAGGAAAUCAAAAAAAAAAAUAAGGGCAACUUUGUCUAUUUUGGCUUCUUUUAAAAAUUUUCUCUCUCCUUUGGGCUUUUCCAAAGUCUCCCUUUUGACAAUCACUUUCAACAAAGAGAUUAGAAAAACGCUUCGUUAAUGUAAUUACAAGAAAAAAGGUCAAUAGUGACUAAAUCACCGGUUAAGAAAAAAGGUCAAUAGUGACCAAGUCACCGGUCACUAAUAGCGUAGGAUCAGUGACAAAAUAUGCGAAUUCGGUCACUAAUGUUUGUUGACCACAAUGAAUUUCUUUUACACAUUUAUUUCCACUUUUUAAUCACACCAAUAUUGAGAUUAAGUAGUGAUCCAUUUUAGUUUGGUCACUGAAAGCUGCUUGCUUUUAAACCAAAACAAUGCCGUUCUAUUUUUAGUGACCAGGAAUGAAAUCAAGAACAUAAUUUGCCUCUAUACAAUGGGGAGGGGAGAGGGCUGUUGCCUCACCUUUACAAAGUUCUUAAAAUGAACGGAUAUAUGCAAGGCAUCUUAUUAUUGUUUAUCAACAAUAACCAAAAAAAAAAUUAUAUCUAUUAUUGUUUAUCAGGAAUCUGAUGAAAGAUGAUACCACAGAAAAGGAAUGUUCUAGUAACUAUACCGACUAUCCGUCACAUUAAUAUAAAUAAAAUAUCUCUAGCAAACAAAAUACUCCUAAAGACUUACCCUUUGAACUUCUCCCAAAUGAAAAGAACGAAACGCAAACCGCAAAAUCCACUGGUACACUUAUUAUAGCAAGAAAGCGCAAUCUGUUUAUGCCAGAAUUCCAAAACACAGAUCAACAUACAACAAAACACAACAAAGCCCCAAUGACAACAUCCAUAUUAUAAUUCACUAAAUUCCCAAAAUAAAAAAAUCCCCCACUUCACUGUAUUUGCUCACUCACCAACCCAGGAACAAAAGUUAGGUGGUCAAGAACAUCAAAAUAGUCCAGGCAUAUGAGAUCAAGUUAAAGUUGCAGAUCGAAUUUUAUAAUUUUAAUCCUAAUCUAAAGUCACACUAAAUUAUCAUAAUAAUGGACCAGAAAUCUUACAUGGCUGUGCCCUGAGCAGUCCUACAUUGCGAAAAUACAUUGACGAAUGUAAUAUUCUCCCACAAACUUGUAUUCUGUCAUGAAAACAACAGAUAAAUUACAAAACCUAGCUUCUUGCACAUGAAUGAGUAGUUAUAAAUCAACGAGAUUCCCAAUCCUUCAAUUUCUUGCUUCCUUUGGGUUUUGCAAUAGGCGCGUUCAUUCCUGCCAUUUUAGCAUUAUACUUUGACCGAAGAGGAUCAUUGUAUGUCCAUCUGAAAUACAGAAAACGGUAAAUAAAUGUGCUUGUUUGGCAAAAAAUUUCGGGAUCAAAUAAAACGUAUUCAGAUGUACCUAGUCUGGAAUUUAAGAUUAAAAGAGAAGCCAAAGUGGAUCCUAUUACUGAUGAUACAGUUAUAUUCCCCAAAAUACCUAUAAGGUAUUCCAAGCCACUUCCUUUACCGAAAAGGGGAAAAAGCCCUAUGAAAAAUUCAUCAGAAUUUGUAUGGUAUGUUCACCUAUUCACAACUCAACUUUUGUUCUCCCUCAAACAAAAUUCAUAUCAAUUUAAUAUAUAUUCAUACCACAAGACAGCACUGAUCUAGACUUCAUUCGGUUAGUUUAGAGUUGGUGGAACAUCCUUCUUUGGACACAACCACCAAAAAAUAAUACUUAUACUGAAAUAUAGAACCCAUCCAAAAUAUGUUGAUAUAGAAAUGAAAGUAAGAAUAUGAAUAUGACCAUAACAAAUUGCUAAUAAAAUAGAAAAGAACAAUAACUUUUCCCAUGUUCUAUUACUUCAAAGUUAAGCCACCAAUGCUUUGUUCCAAAAUUUUAAAUUAUUCCUAUGACCACAACAAUAUCAAUGUAGUUUUUCUAUAUAUUGUUGAAGAAGUUUUAGCUUAUUAUCCAAAAACUUUGACUCAACCCAUGGCUAUUCUUUUUUAUUUUUGUUUUCCUGUCAUUCCAUUUACAGAUUAUGGAUUCCUGCCCAACCGGACUUUGGAGUCUUGAAAACAUAUACAGAUAUAAUGAUGUAGGACAAAGAAGAAGUGCAAAAAGAUAUGGAAUUUGGCAUCACUACUAUAAGUUUCUUGGAUCACUCCUAACAAUAGAUCAGAAGGUGUCUUUGGCUCUCUCCAAUAUCAUUCAAGCUACACAUGAGAGCCGGAAAUCAUAGAAAACUUUAUGUGAUGUUCACUAAUUUUCAAAUCUUACUAACUAGUCCUUUUUAAAAGGACUAUUUACAUGAACCAUUGGAAGACUCAAAUUAACAUGUUUAGGAAUACUGAAUUAUGCCUAUACCAUUGAUCAUGUGACAGAGACUUAAACACGAUUAUUAAAGAGCUCCAAAAUAAUAAACGUAAAUGACAUCUAUAAAUUGCAUUAACUACAGAAAAAUAAAAAGACUCUCAAUCAUCUGGUCCUGGGUAGUUGGAUGGGAUCAUUUAUCAUACUUUGAACUUCACUCUUGAAACAUAUAGAAUUAUCGAAUCUCUCAACAGGUAUAGGUGAAUGAAGUUACAUGGGCUUCUAGAUCAAAGUGAAAGACAGUUUUUGGUUAGGAAUACUUGUACAGGUGAAUUAAGUGAUGUUUAUGUCCAUCUUCUGACCCAAAAAAAAAAAAGUAAAAAAUGUUGACCAUCAGUAAAGUCAAAUACAGUGAUAUUAUACAUUUACCAUAACCAAUUUUCUUUUUGAUUCCCUAAAGCAUUUUAUAAAUCAAAUUUUACUUAUCAAUGAAUAUAACCUAUUUGUUUAAUUAUUAUAUCAAACUAUUUAAACUAAUAGACAUAUGUGCUAAUAAAUCACCAUACUGCUAUUGGACCACACAUACUUUUCUACAAGACUAAUGCUCAUCAAGUGCUACGUGAAUGUCCUCAAAUCUUACUAUUCUCGAACCCAUAAAAUCUUACGAUUUGACUGAGAAAUUCAGUAAGAUUAGCCCUUCCGUUCGUAUUCACUUCAAAUAAACUGUGGGUAAACUGACACAAACUCUAACUUCCCUUAAGAAAACAAGAAAUAUAAUAGUGCUUGUGGUGUUUAAUGAAUUCAACACAAAUAUAAAAUAGGUAACCAGAGUGGUUAAUGCAUUAAAGAAAUUGAACUUACGGAUUGUUCCAAUCAGUCGUAUCCUCAUUGACAAGAUGAGUCCAUUUCGUCCUUCCACUACGACCAAAAUGUUUGACUUGCAUGACCUUGGGCAAUAUUGUUUUGUCCAUCUUAUCUUCUCCAGUUGGGGCAGAGAAAUCACGUGUGUAAAUUCCAUCUGUUCCAACAGUUGCAGCAUAGUCAUCAGGUUCUGACUGGAAGAAAGCACCCUUGUGGUAAUAUUUCUGCAUAAAUCUCCACUUCUGCUUUGGUUGUGGUGCAGCUUUCGGAUGCUUCCUCUCCCAGUCCCUCCUCUCUUCCUCUGUCAUGUUUCUAACCCUUUCAAUCUCUUCCUUCUCCUUAAUCAUUGCUUCCCGGUCCUCCCUAUCCCUCUUGAUCCUGGCUAUCUCUCUUGCCUUCCAAGCUUCAUACUCCUCUGCCUCGUUUAUUUCAUCAUCAGUAUCAAUAUCAACAAUAUUUCCUUCCUGUUCCAAACCCUUCUGAAUCUCUUCGUCCUUCCGAAUCUCCUCAACCACAAUCUGCUUUGUCUCUCUCUUCCUUUCCUCCAAAUUCCUCUUCCUUGAUUCCUCAAGGGCUCGUUCUUCAGCCUCAAGUCGCUCACGUUCAGCAAUAGUAUCUCUCUCUGACUUGGGCACAAAGACAGGCUUCAACAUCACCAUACCAGUAAGCUCUUCUUCUGAGUCAGUAUCAUACUCAGACUCCUCUUCCUCCUCUUCCUUUACUUCUUCCUCGUCUUCUGACAGAAGGAGUGGAGCUUCUUCUUGCUCCCUUUGACGCAACUUCUCCUUGAUCCUUCUUCUUCUUUCCUCCAAAGCAUCCGCGUCCUCUUCCUCCGCUUCUAAUCCUUCCUGCCUCUUGGCUUCUUCUUCAAUUGUUGAAACAAUCUCAGCUUGCCGGAUACGCCUAUGAUCAGCUCGAACAUCCUCACGAUUAUCUAUCCUGCUCUCAGCCAAACGGCGCAGUCUAGGAUCAUCUUUUCUAACAACAUCAGAAUAUUCCUGCGUGGGGAAAGCUUUCUCCAAUGAAGCAGCUGCAGACAUCCUAAUAUCCCCAUCUUCGUCGGCAUCAUCUGCCCACUCGGGAGCUUUUCCAGGCCAAUACCUUUUAACUUUUGUUUGCCCAAUUUUACCUCUGAGCUUAUCCCUGACUGCAAUCACAGUAUCACUAACACCUGCUGUUACCGACAUUGUUGCACUUUAUAGACACCCUCUAAACACUGGUUUAAAUCACUACACCACAACUUCUCAUAGACAGCGCUGAAAAAAACACUAUAAUAGGUUAUAAUAGAGUUAUAGAAAGCGCCGUGUCAGCCAAAGAUAUGAAAGCCUGAGCUAUAUGAUAGUGUUUUUUACUCGCUAUCGAAAGAACAUAAACUUGACAAAGAACAGUGCCAAUGACAAACGAUGCAGAUAAUUCAUCAAAUCUAUUGUUGUGGCUAUUAGAGCACAAAAAGCCAGAUAUUCUUUUCUUUUUUUAAUUGCCUGAAAACCUAAUAAUUCACUUUGAGCUAUCAGCAUUACGAAGGUAGAGGAGCUUUACACAAUAAAUUAAGAAAAGAAUUAGUUUUCCAACUCCAAAUCUCCAAUCCCCAACUUGAAUGCUAUUCUUAUUGUCUAUGUUGUAAUCACGAAUAAGAGCAAAGCUCCUUAGCUAGUCCUAUUUUCAAGCAAAAUCCAGAAAAAAUUUCAGAAAACUUGCCCCAACUCAAUAUUCAACAAAUUUAACCCUAAAUCAAAUUAGGGACACAACAAUUGUUUUGAUAUACUGAUUUGUUGGACGGCAAGACCAUAAUCCUAAGAGAAUGAGAGUUAUUACCUGUCACAGAGCUUCAGACGUUGGGACAAGAGCAGCCCGCAAGAAAGAUAGUGCGAGUUUGAUAAACAGACAGCAAGCUAGAGAAAGAUUUCCACCAUUAGAGAAAGAGAGUCAGAGCGGGAGAGAGACAGAGAAAAUCAGAGCGAGAGAGAGAGGGAGAAAGCUAGUGAGAGCGAGAGAACGAAAGAGAGAUCCCGGUUUUUUUUUUUUUUUUUUUUUUCGGGUCGAAAGAGAGAGAGAGUUGGAGCGAUGGAGAGAGAGAGGGUUUUCACGCCUAAUUUUUUUACGCCCCCUAAAGUUUUAAAUUGUCCGCUCUAUUUAAACCUAACACAACUCUUUGUUCACUUUAAUACAUUAAGCUAUUAAAUUUUAGGGUGAUUUAAUUGGCACCUCAUUAUUUGUUCUUUGCAUUCCAUACUAAUUUUAAACAUGAAUAACCUAUUUUAACAUUGUACAUAAUUACCAUUAAGAACAAAAACCAUUUAAAAUAAAAAUUAAAUUUGCUCAUUACAACCCACAUAUGUUCCUACAACCUUAAUUAUUUUUUUUUUUCUCAAACUAUCAUGUUCCUACAACCCAAAUGAGGUUUAUAAAUUGGUAAAAAAAAUCCUAUAUUUAUUCAUGAAGGAUGACACUGAAGUUAGAGAGGCUUUGAAAGGACCCGCCCCGAAUUUUCUCAAAACCCGAGACGAACCCUUUGGAAUUCCUGACAUCACCCCGAUGCCAGGCCCACUUACUUAAAACCGAGACUUCCUGCCGAAAUUUCGGCAGAGUCUCCCCUAUAAAUUGGACGUUUCCCAAAAUUUAUACCUACAUAAAAACGCAUUUAAUAUCACCAACUGGCAGCAUGCACAAUAUAAUCUCAUGCAAAUUCACAUAAAUGGCCUUCGGCCUUCCAAUAAUUCUCAACAAACUACCAAACACGCUAAUAAAACAAUUCAUGCCUUAAACAAGGCAAACACUAAAUUCAAAUAUAAAUUAUGACUAUUAAAUUUCAACAUGCAUCACUUAGCCCUUCACAUUUCAAUAUAUGAGGUUUUAGCCUCCUAACACAAUCACAUUUUCACCUAAAUUUCAGGACCAACAACAAGGUCCGAAUCAAUCUCUCUAAAACAACGUGUCUAACAUUUAGUCUGCGGCUGCACCUAAUAACCUUAGGCUGCCUACGUACCCUCCUUGAGGGAUCAAGCCACACGUAGUUCUUCCCAUAAAACCCAAUUCCACACAUAGGCGAUACCUUAUUUCAUUUCUCUGUAUUUCACAUAAUCUCCCCAUACGCCGGUACAACCAACGCCACGUAUGGGGCCUGUCAACACGCCGGAUAACCUACGCCAAGUGCGACCAUGCCAUACUAUCAUAAUAUCUCCCCAUACGCCGGUACAACCAACGCCACGUAUGGGAUCUGUCUCAACGCCGGAUAACCUACGCCACGCGAGACCUGCACAUCAUAUCACAUAACUCCCCAUACGCCGGUACAACCAACGCCACGUAUGGGGCCUGUCCCAACGCCGGAUAACCUACGCCACGCGGGACCUCAACAUCAUAUCACAAUAGCUCCCCAUACGCCGGUACAACCAACGCCACGUAUGGGGUCUGUCUACACGCCAGAUAACCUACGCCACGUGCGACCUCAACACACUAUCAUAUAGCUCCCCAUACGCCGGUACAACCAACGCCACGUAUGGGGCCUGUCUCAACGCCGGAUAACCUACGCCACGUGAGACCUGAACAUCAUAUUACAAAUCUCCCCAUACGCCGGUACAACCAACGCCACGUAUGGGGUCUGUCCCAACGCCGGAUAACCUAUGCCACGUGGGACCUAACUUUCACUUGGUGGUGCUUGUAGUGCGUCCAAAAUACAGGGAGGUACCUAAAGUAGUGCGUAUAGCACUCCAAACUGACAUUCUAGACUCUGUUGUACCCUUGUACAACCAUAUAUAAUUAUAGUUAUAUAAUUCAAUUCUAAUAUUGUGUAAUCCUCCACAAUCAUCUAGCACCUGAUAAUCCCCCCUAGAGAGGUGAGAUUACUCCGGGAGACUCAUGGUCAACCAAGGGUCAAACUACUCUAACCCUGGUCAACCGGACCUGCGGAACCCAUGACCUCCAAUUUUCGAUCCGAAAGUCCCUAUGGGUUCCACCGGGUAUAGGACAUUUGUCCUGCAAGUUUGGUUCAAAUCGGACGGUCGGAUUGCUCACGAUCGCACGAUCUGACAAUUAAUAUAAAAUAUAAACUUUAAAAUUAUUAUUCGGAACAUCUGGGGCUCCGAUUCACGAUCCAUGAAUUCCUACACGAUCCUAGAAUUAUCUAGAUUAACAUAUAUUAAAUUUGGGACCAUCCAACGUUCCCAACCUAUCGAACCCGGAUAACGCACAAUAUGCGAUUAUCCGUUCGAUAGUCAAACGACGUUCGAAUUGAGAUCCGCGAAAUCCUACGCACUCGUGACAACCUAAGGUUCUCAUCGGAACACAGUGCUAUUUUUCUACAGUGCCCACGCGCCGCCGCACGCGCCGGCAGCGCGUGGGUGCCCAAAGCGAUAACGCUUCGCCAGAAAAUCUCAAAAUCACGGCUCCAAAUUCCUACCCUAGGUAUAACACCCUAUUUGGAGCCACUUUUGUUCUUGGACCUACCCAAAAAAGUGAACGGAAGUGGCCGGAAUCGCGAUCGAAAAACUGGCCGAAUUUCAAUUCGAAAAUCUAAUUAGCUACGCUAAGAAUCGAUCCAAUCCUACCCAACCAUCAGCUAGAGCAUGCAGAAGGGAUGAAUUUCCAUACCUUGAUCGCCAGAAAUGGCGGCCGGAGGAGGGAGAUCGGCGGCCGUGAAGAUCCGGCGACAUCCGAGCGAAAAUCGCCAUUUUCCGGCGGCUGGAGCGGCGGCUGAUGUCGGGGAUGGGCUGGGUCGUGACGCCGAGGUCGAGCCGGUUCUUUUGCCACCGGCCCCGUCCGCAGCAGCGGCCGGUGGCCGGAGUUACGAGGAGAGAGAGAGAUGAGAGGCCGACGGGAGAGAGAGAGAAGUCGCGGGAGAGAGAGAGAGAGAGAGAGAGAGAGAGAGAGAGAGAGAGAGAGAGAGAGAGAGAGAGAGAGAGAGAAAAAUAUGAGUUUUUAUAAAAAAAUCCCAUUUCGAAAUAUUUACGAUUGUGCCACUGGGCUUCUUUUGACCAUAUCUUUCUCGUCACAACUCCGAUUCGAGCCCACUACGUGUCUAUGAACUCGUCUCAGUACGACCUAUCCAAAAAUACCAGUCACGGCCCCAAACUCUCUCCGGUUGAAAAUAUGACUAAAAUACCCUUAAAUAAUUAAUUAAGGGUUAAAUUUGGGAAAAUUUGGGGUCGGGGUGUUACAGGCUUCGAAUGAGGUAUUAGUUUAUUUUUUGGCGUUUUUCAAGUUUAGAAUUUUAUGAUGGUCGCUGGUUACGUUCAGCACACCAGUACUGAACGCGAUAGGUAAAUUCGGUGGGAUGUCAUCGAAACAUUGCACCUAUUUCGGUUGUGUUUGACCGGCCAUUAACUUAAGAUGCGAUGGAGAUCCACCAUAACAUAGAACGAUGUUCGGUGUUGUAUUACCGAAUUUUUACCUACAAUUUAGUGGCAACAAACCGAAAUAUAUUUAUUUUUUUAAUAACUUAUUGUCGACCACAAAUUUAAUGCAAGCUAUUUUGACCAUACUCCCAUUAAAAGAACAAAUACAAGGUAUAUGAUUUCGGUAACGAUAUUAACAAUAUCAAGUACAAACUCAGUAACGAAUUCGGCAUAUGAUCACUAAAACAAGAAACGAAUUCAAUAGACUACCCUUGAAAAACGGAAACAAAUUCGGCGAAGUACCACUAAAAAACUGAAGCAGAUUCAGUGGACUAUUACUGAAAAACGGAAAGGCAUUCGGUAGACAGCCGCUCGAAAACGGAAACAAAUUUGGUGGACUACCACUGAAACAAGGUCACGAUUUUGGUCACACAGGUAAGUUAAGAAAUGGGGUUCAUGAGUGCAAUUUAGGAAGAAAAAUGGAGUGUAGUGAGUAAUUUUAAAUUUUUCUAAAAUUUAGUGGGGUGUAAAGAGAAUGUGAGGUGCAAAGAGCAAAUUUUGGUGUGCUAGUAAAAUCACCCUAAAUUUUAUUAUUAUGUCAAAAAGCAAAAAGAGAUUUUCUAUUUAAACCCCACAGUUCUCUUAGUUCACCCCAAUACUUAAAUCAUUAAGCUAUAAGUUUUAUUAUUAUGUAAAAAGACAAAAAAGGUCAUCCAACUUAAUACUUAAUCCUAGUACAUCUAUACACACCCCACCACUCUUCAUAUUAAGUUUUAGAAAAAUACAAACUCCUCUACAUCGUAUUGCCAAAGACGUAAAACAUUGACGAGCAUGCCUCUUUAAAAUCUACGUGGGAGCUUAUGGAAAGACUUGUUAAUUGUUUGGCUGUAAUAAUCUUAUUCUCUUCCCUUUGUACUUAACCUUAGCACACCCCAGACACCCCCAUCACUCUUCAUAUUAAGUUUUAGAAAAAUACGAACUCUUCUACAUCUUAAUGCUAGAUUACUCUUCUCUUUUAAAAACGUAGAACGUUAGUUUGAUUGCUUGGCUGUAAUGAUCUUAUUCUCUUCCAUUUGUUUCAUAUAUCCAAUUUUUCAGUACAUAUGUCGUCCCCAAUAAUGAAAUUUAAAAGUUUAAUGAUUUAAGUAUUUGAGUGAACAAUGAAAAGUAUACCUAAAAAGUGUAGGGUUUAAAUAGAAAAACUAAAAAAAAAAAAAUAUCUUUUGGACUUUAAAACGCACUUAUUGUCCAUUGCAUUUGUUUCCCAUUCGAUUCAUACAGUUCAUAUGUCGGCCCCAAAGGUGAAGCUGCCAUAUAGUUUUCGAAUAAUUUUAACGUUUCUCUUCAUUUUUUUUUAUUAAAAGUAGGCGGUUUAAUUAGAAAAACUUUUUUGUUUUUUCUAAUGGAUGUGUAUUUAAGGGUAGUUUGGGAAGAUAGUGGGGUUUUCUUAAAAAUUGUGAAAACUUGAAUUAGAAGUUGAAGUGAACUUAGAACAUGAGGGUGAACAAACAGAACUGCGAAGUUUAAAUAGAAAAAACUUUUUUUUAAUGCCCCGUGUUUUUCAUCUCAUAGCGUUUUUCUGAUGUGCAUUAAUUUUUUUGUCAAUUCCCUAUCUAUUAUGCACUUCUGUAAAAACGCAAGGGGGGGCAUGUAGACCGCAAAACUGAAAAACCGAGCCGUAUUGAAUUAGGCAAAUUAUGAAUGCAACUGAUGGAUUACUACUUGCAACAACAGAUACUGCCAAAGAACUGAAAACUGGGAUUCACAUGGUACUCAUUUAUCUCUCACCUUUCUAACAUACAUUUAUGGGUGAUGUUGAAACUCAACAUUCACUUAGCUCCUGUUUCCAAUUAGCAUGUUGCAGAGAUAGCAUAUGAGAAUCAAUUUGUGACAGAGACGCAAAAAGUUGACCAUGGAACGGUCAUACACUUGGAGAAGAUACAGUUUCUUCACGACAAUUUGCUAGCGGCUCAUACAGUUUGGGUCAACCCUGCUGAGGUGAGUUGAUGUUUCUAUUCCUGUUUUGAACUCAUACAAAAUUUGUAAAACUGAUCACGUGGUCUUUCUUGUUUGUAAUCUGUUAAACAUAACAUAAAAGUGGGAUGAAGCUGUGUGUGUGUCUAACGGUAAAAUAUGUAUCCGAGUUUCCACGUCUGUUGCGUGUUAUGUACAUUUUUCAUCAACACAAUCAAAACUCACAUGGUUUUAAACUUGUUCUUAUAUUGUAUGGAUGGUAUGUAACUGUUAUUCAGUAUCUCCAGACUGAUUGUCUUUCAAGGGAUGGUGUCAAAGUAUCUCACUGCCCUGCUGUUGCAAUGAGAAUGCUUGGAUUUUCACCUAUAAGAGAUGCUUGAUGCUGGCAUCUGUCUCUUUGGGAACAGAUGGGGCACCCUCAAAUAAUAGAAUGAGCAGAGGUUGAAAUUCUGAUUGUCCAUUCUUGCAUCUUUUCCUUAUUUGUGGGUUUGCUUUGCACAUUGGAAGUAUAAUACUUGAACCUGGAAAUUCAUGCAUGAAUUUUGUUCCUUGCAGUUGAUGAGAUGUACCUGGCUUCUCUGAUUAACAAAGGACGGGAAGUUCAUACAAAUGGGACAACUGAUCCUACUGCUCUUCCUGCUGAAACAGUUCUCAAGCUAAAUGGCGACUUUAAACUCUGAUUUACCAUUCACAAACAGUAGACCCAAGGCUAUGGAGAACAAAAGACCGGCCUUCGUCAUACCCGCACCAAUUGAAUCGUGAUCGAAUAUAAUUAGAGGCCUUCAUCAUACCCACAUGAAUUGAUUAAUAAAAAGCAUGCUUCUUGUAAGAGCACAUAUAUAUAGCUCUUUGAAUUAUUUCAAGGAGAUAAUCCACAACGGUGACUUAAGACAACAUUGCUUGACUUGUAUUAAACCUAGUGCUUUAAGAAAUUAAACGACAGAAGAGGACAUGAAAUCAAUCCUCAAUUAUUUCAAAUACAGGACACAAACCAAACACCUAAAUUAAUAUUGCAUGCAUGCCUUUAAGAAACGACACGUAAUUACUAACGAACAUUUUAUUCCAAACAGUUCAAGAUAAUGCAGACCCUGGUGAAUCAGCUCAUAUCUCAAAUACAUCCGCAGCCUAUUCCUGAACUUGUUUACCCUUGUCUUUAGGCUUAUUAAGACCCUCGGCUCCUUCCAAUCUUUCAUGGUGAGCGUCCUGGAUGGAGCUGUCUGCUCUGCUGGUCCUACCUCGCUCUCACCAUCAUGGUAUUGCUGACCAUUUGUUUCUUGAUUGACAAGUAAUAACGAGGUCAUUCUGAUACAGUGCUGCUUAAACUCUUCCUCAUCAUGCUCAUGUACUAGACGGAAACCACAACUUUGUGCCGACAACCUUCCCCUAUCGCUUGCAAAUGAAGCCUCCAAGUGGCUACCCCCAUUCAACCGAUCUAGAAACCAAUUUCGUGGUAUAUAGGUCAGCCAAAUGAACCCUCCAUCACAUAACCACUUGAAUUCUUCGCAUGUUGUUCGGUAGAUGUGGGGAGAUUCCAAUCUAGUGUUCUCAGUUUCCAAGUGACAAAUGAGGUAGUGAGCAGUUUCUGCAUCCAAUUUGUCUAGGGAGACAGUUGGAUUGUCAAGGUGUGAGAAAAAUGCACAAAGAGCCAGACCCAUCCAAUUUCUGUCACUACAGAGAGAUGGCGGUAACUGGAUUUUCACCGAAGGACCACUGUUGUGAUGAGGACUGAACCACUCUAGAAUUUCAGUACUUGGAGGGAAAGUUGCAUUAUAUAUCGAGUCACGAUCAAAGUCCUACAAAAUAUAAAAAUCAAGUAAUGAUAUUCAAUUCUAAUCACCAAUGUGUGUGUGUGUGUGUGUGUGUGUGAGUGAGUGAGCGAGAGAGAGAGAGAGAGAGAGAGAGAGAGAGAGAGAGAGAGAGAGAGAGAGAGAGAGAGAGAGAGAGAGAGAGACCUUAACAUAUGUUCCUUGGGGCAUAUAAUAUUCAUGUGGGUGUUCGGGGGAAAGACCUUCCUCAAAUUGAAGGAAAAGAUCCUCAUUGUCGAAGGAGAUACAGGAUUGGAUUAUUGCUUGCUUAAAUUCUUCCUCGUCUUCCUCGUCUUGCUUGCUCAUACAGUGCUGCAUAAACCCCUUAUCAUGCUGGUAUACGGGACGGAAACCACACCUUUUCGCAUACAGCCCUGCCCUAUCGCUUGCAAAUGAAGCAUCCAAGUGACUACAUCCAUUCAACUGAUCUUGAAAACACUUCCGUGGUAUAUAGGUCAGCCAAAUGAAUCCUCCAUCUUCUAACCACUUUAAUUCAUGGCCAGUUGAUCGAUAGGAGUGGAGAGAAUAUUCCAAACUAGUGUUGUCAGUUUCCAAGUGACAAAUCAGGCUGUGAGGAUUUUCUGGAUCGAAGUUGUCUAGGGAGGCAGUUGGAUUCUCAAGAUCUGAGAAAUAUGCAUAAAGCGCUAGUCCUGUCCAAUUUCUCUGACUACAUAGAGAUGGCGGCAACAGGAUUUGCACUGAAGAACCACUGAUGUGAAAAGGAUACCACUCUAGAAUUUCGGUAAUCGGACGGAAAAUUGCGUGGAGUAUGAUGUCUCGAUUAAAGUCCUAAAAAAUAUAAAAAUUAAGUAAUAUUACUGGAUUCAGAUGGCUGAUGUGGGAGAGAAAAAAUGAGAGUGAGAGAGACCUGAACAUGGUGUGGUUGGGGCGUAUGAUCUUGAUUUGGCUGCUCGGGAGAGUGACCUUCAACAAACUGACGGAUGGGAUCCGCAUUGUCAAAGAAGGAGGUCCAGGAUUGGAUUAUUGCUUGCUUAAACUCCUCCUCGUCUUGCUGGUAUAUGAGACCGAUACCAGACCUUUCCACUGUCAAGGAUGGGCAAUUGUUGUAAAUUCUGGGCACUACAAUAUCAGAAUUAGCAACACUAAAUUCUGGUAGAAAAACACGGGGUAUGUAGGUCACCCAAAUAAAUCCCCGCACAUGUAAACACUUGAAUUUCUCUUUUGUUAUGGAGCCCAUGGCGACUGGAUUCAAGCAAUAUUCCCCCAUUCUUAAGUGACACAAAAGUUUGACAGUGAUUUGGGAGCCCAGAUCUUCAAGGGUGGCACUUGGAUGCUCAUGGACUGAAAAAGAAGCAAUUAUAUGCUAAGUGUUGUAAAGUAUAAAGUAGUGGAGCCCACUUACUAUUUGUUUGUAGACUUUGGUGCAUGAUUGUAUUGUAGAUUCACAGGUGGAUUGUAGAUUCACGGGUGUUAUCCACCCUUUCCCUAUAAAAGGCUUCUCUCUUAUGCAAAGAGAGAUAGAAGAGAAGACAGAAGAGAAAGGGAGAAACGGAAAGAAACAAAGAAGAGGAAAGAGAGAAAAGAGAAGAGGAAAGAAAGAAGGGAAAGAGAAAAGAAGAAAGAGAGAAAAAGAAAGAGACAAGAGGAAGAGAAGGAAGAAAGAGGAAAGAGAGAGCAGAGAGAAAUUCUCUUAGAGAGAAAAUUCAGUAAGCCACACAUAUUGUAAAUACUAAAGUUGUAGCCCUAUUAUUUUACAUAGUGGAAAAGUUACUACUGCUGCUCUCCGGGGACGUAGGCAUAGCCGAACCUCCUUAAAUACUGUGUCUCAUCUACUUUACGUGCAGCUCAAUAUUCACACAUAUUCCAGGUUAUUUUACAACACGUUAUCAGCACGAGAAGCUCUCAGGUAUAAUUUUUGUGCUGUACUAUUAUUUAUACUACUAACCAUUAUGUUGAUGUAAGGAAGAAAAGAAAAGCCAACAUAAUUUGUCUAGCUUUCAAACUAAUGAAUCAUGGUGUUGAUAAGAUUCCAACGAAAAAAAAAAAAGGAAAAAAAAAGGGGGUUGGAAAAGCUUCCUACAGUAAUUUUCACUUUCUUAUAUUUUUAGUGGUGGUUUUUAUUCCCACAUUUAUUUUAUUUACUGUAUGGUGUAGGUUUAUUACACAUACAACAUUAUCUAUUUAAAGGGUGGUGCGGGUUUAUCGUCCACGCCUUUACUUAUUUAUUUUAUUUAUGGUAUGGCGUAGAUUUAUUACCCAUAUGACAAUAUUUAAAGGGUGGUGCAGGUUUAUCGUCCACGCCUUUGCUUAUUUAUUUUAUUUAUGGUAUGAUGUAGGUUUAUUACCCAUACGACAAUAUUUAAAGGGUGGUGCGGGUUUAUCGUCCACGCCUUUGCUUUUAUUUAAAUGUAUGGAGCAGAAUUAGUGCCUAUACAAGCACGUUUACUUUACCGCACAUUUAAUUUUAUUUAAGGUAUGGUGCGGGAUUAACGUCCAUACAGCAAGCUAUUUAAUUUAUUUAAGGUAUGGUGCGGGAUUAACGUCCAUACAGCAAACAAUUUAAUUUAUGAAUUUAUUUUACCGCACAUUUACAUUUAUUUAAAGUAUGGUGCGGGUUUAUCGUCCAUACCAGUAAUUUAUUUAUCAGCAAUUUAUUUUAUGGAUUAAUUGUGCUGUAUGAUGAGUUUUUACAGUAUGCAGAUCAGGACCAGAAGUUCCUUGAUCCUCAUCAUACAAUUACAUCAGAACUUGAAGAUCCUUGAUGAUGAUAUUAAUAUGAGAGCUGGCAGUCUCUCCGGUACUGUAUUUGUAAACAUGUGAUCGGACUUAAGGGUCCUUAAUCCCUGACAUGUAAAUAAGGACCUAGAGUUCCUUAAUGAUGUAACAGUACCGUAUUGGUUCUUAGUGCCGUACACAUUGAUGAUAACUGUACUAGUAGAUGAAUAGAUACGUAUUUAUGACUUGAUGAAUAGUACUAUUCACAUGAAUAGUGACGUAUGCAUAAAUAUGAACCAUUUUGGGUAAACCGUCACUAUAUACAAAAGGGAACCUGCAGUUCCUUAAACUCAUGGAUGAGCAAUUAAAUGAGAUGCCAGAAGUUCCUCAAAAUAUGGACAAUUAUGUAAGGGCUUGAAGUCCCGAAAUAUGUACAGAAAAUUGUAAAAAUGUCCAUACCAUGAGAAUAUGUGGCUUUGGCCUGAAGUUCAAAAUUUAACAGUGUUGAGAACCUGAAGUUCCAACAAUUAAAUGGACAACCCUUGAGGUAUUAUUGCAAAUUGUGGUAUGCCACAUAUUUCUUUGGCAUAAGAAGAUGAUGAAUUUAAAGUUCGAUUUUGUUAUAAUCGACACCUCAAGGAAGAAAUAUAUUUUGUAAAUUCCGGUUGUUAAGAAUACACCGCGAAAUGGAUAAUAUCAAUAUAAACCUCAAAUAAUGAAUUGAGGCUCCCCACAUAUUUUGUUAUAUCUGGGCCGGAAGCCCAUGGAUCCAAAUAUAUGAGAGAUCCUGAACUUGAAGUUGUGGGUACAUAGUAGUUAAUGCUCUUCACUACUAUAUUGCGAUAUUAUCAUGGAUUUUACUCAAUUCAUAUUUCAUGUCCAUUUGAAAAGGGCAAAUAAAUUCUGAGUUUGUGCCCAGGCCAAAAGUUCCGGGAUACCAUGCAAUUUGGGAGAGACAAUGUGGUUAUUUGAACCUAUAAGGCACAAGGUUCCAAACCGUCAUUUUGAAAAGACGUAAAAACCACAGGUGCAAGUUUAAGAAUGUGCACAAUUAUUAUUACAGGAACAUACAACAGAUAGAUUUUUUUUCACCUGCAAUGAAGGUGCAGGCCCCUGUAAAAUCUAUAAAAUUACAUUAUGUUCUGGAAGCCUCUGAAGGAAGAGGACGGCGCCUCUUAAGCUUGGCCAUGAGCUUCUCGUGGUCUCCCAAAAUUCUUUCAUUGGAGACCUGCAGCAUGUCUAGCCUUCUCAGUGUAUCAACAGAGUACGAACUCACCAGUUUCAACAAGGAAUUAUUCUCUCCUUUAAGUUUCUCAACCUCCUGUUGAGACUCAUGAAGCAUUCUUUGAAGAGACGAAUUUUCAGUUGUUAGCCUCUCAACCUCGUUUGCUCUGGCACGCAAACGAUCAGCCAUGUUAGAAACAGAAGCAGCACUCUGAAUGCUAAAAGCCAUUGAGUCAUCAAUAGCCUCUUCCUCAGACCUCCCUGUUAACAGCAUUUCAUCCAUUGGAGUAAUGAAAUUCCUAGCUACUAUGACAGCAGUAGCAUCAUUCAUCAUCACAGAAUCAUUAACUGUGAGAUGACGAUUUUGGGAUACAAAGGAUGGACGCCAAACUUGGGCAUCAUUGGUAGUUGCGGGAGCAUCAUUUAAAUUGAAAUAAUUUGGGCAGGAAGAAGAGGAAGCCAUUUUUAAGAAGGUUUCGAAGAAAGUCUUAGGAAAACGAAAGUUUCAGAAAAUGAAGAAAUUUGAGUUGAAACGCAGUUGCUCCAAUCAAGUUUUGCAAAGGCCAUAUCUAUAGAAGGAAAUAUGGCUACUGUUUUUCAGGACCCCAAUAUCUUCUCGAAUCCCCAUAUUAUCUUUUUCUUUCCCAGAGUCCAAAACUUCACGUGGCCUCUAAUAAUGCCUGUCGGCACUUUCGGCGUUUUCAAGUAUUAUUUUCAAAGCCGAUCUUGCUUUACGGAUUUCACGGAGCUACUUUUUCAAAAGCAUCCCGAGAAUCUCGCAAUUUUCCUAUGGUUAAUUUGAAAUUCACCGGUUCUACCUAUUCAUUGUAUUUGUGUAUAAAUGUGUUACUAACGAAAUUUUCUUUGCAGAAGAUAUCCAGUUUACUCCAUACCUAGUGAUGCGAUAUCUACUUGUUUUUCUUAUCAGUAAGCACUCAAUAUGCACGAGAAGCAAGACUAUCUCUGAUCAUCCAUUCAGGAAGUAAGACUAUCCCUGAUCAUGUUUCUGCUACAUCAGGGAACUGUGAAGGCAACCUUAUGCUCUAAUCUCCGGAAGUUCUUCUAGACUAGAAGAAAUGAGAGCUUGUUGUUUGCUCCCACCAGCUUCCUUCCUUGAUUGCUAAGCUUGUUGUCUGCUCCCACCAGCUUCCUUCCUUGAUUGCUUACCUUACCUUGCAAUCAAUAUCACAAUUUUUAUAUCUUUUCUUUCUUUUUAUAACUCUCUGUUCAUAAGAGAUUUUAUUUCUUUAGAAUGAACAUCUGAAGAAUGAAUCCAUGCAGUGAUCCUAACUCUGAGAGUUAUUUGUUUUUGACAGAGAAGAGAAUUGUGAUUUUUGCUCUUGCAGGAUAUAACAAGAUCAUCAAGCGAUGGGUCGAUACGAGCUUGAAUGAUACUUGAGAAAAGUUUCUCCCACCUAAGGAUGUAAGCAAUACUUGUGUUAUUUUAUGCUUAUAUACCUAUUUGAUAUUUUAUCUUGAAAGGUAACCAAAUGGGGAGAUAAGUCCGUUCCAAAAGAAUGGCUUGUAUGUAUCCAUGAAUUAUUAACGCAAAUUUUACAGAUUGCAAGUUGGAUACAUUGAUAAUACACUGCACAGAUUAAAGUCUCAUAAGAACAAAAUAUGGGUAUAGCAGUGAUCAAUAUGAUGCACGCCUGUUGCGUAGCAAAUGAUGUGGAUUGAAGUCCCGAAAGGACAAUCCUUUGACAUGUCAAUAUUGAUAUUAUGCACGCCUAAUGCGUAGCAAAUUAUAUGGGUUAAAGUCCCAUAAUAUGGGUUAAAGUCCCAUAAAUUAAUUGACAUGUAUGUAUUAAUCUGUGGCAUACCUGCAGCAUGACAGAUAUAUGGGUUCUAAAUGUUCCAACUCCCUAAAUGGAGAAUAUCCACGCCCUACUAUAAAAUAACGCUCCAUUGGAGGUUAUAAUCCACAUUCUCACAUAAUAAAAGCCCCCUGCAGUGGCUUGGGUACCCAAAAGCAAAGAAAUGCUUAUAAUUGAUGCAUGCGCAUGCAAAUGAGAAUGGUGGGAUCAUGAAUUGAUGAAUGACAAUUUUUGGUUUUGGAGUAGCUACUCAAAUCAUCAAUGGGCUGUGUUGAUUGGAACCACGUUCAAUUAUUAAAUGUCGACAAUAUCAUUGGCCAAAAUGGAAUGAGGUAAUUCCAUUAUAGAUAAGAAUGAACGUGAAGGAACAACCCACAGUACGAACCCCAAAAUUUGUUAAUACUGAAAGUUAUACUUGGGUGUUCGGAAUAAAAGGGAAUAUACCUACUUUGUAUGACACACUGUUUCUGGCAGAAACAAGGAAUGUUGGGUUUUCUCCAUAUUUACAGAUUCAAUUGUGCCCCCCUUAUUACACAAUUACGGAGACCAACAUAUUAUCUUUAAGGGUUAUUAAAUGCACAGAGCAUAUCGCCAGAAGCGAUUUCCUAAAGAUGUAUAAAUAGCUGGGUUAAAGCUAUAUAAUGUGUCAUAAAGUUUAAUCCCUUUUAAACAAAAUCCGUUGAGAGGAUUGACAUUGCAUAAAGCAAGUCCCUAAAGGACAUGUGCUUGAAGCACAAAAUUUGUACUCAAUAUUAAUAUGCAUAAAUUACCUCAGUGAGUACAUUGAUUAGAAUGUGAUUGCAACACAUUAAAGCUUCUGCAGAAUUCACGAAAUAUUUGUCUCGACUUAAGGAUCGAGCAUUAUGCCAACGAGAUUCUUGCUUAUACUAAGAAAGUAUUGAAGCAUUUUUAUGAGAAUUAUCCGUUGGACACUUUAAGGAUUUUCCGGAAGUAUAUUGGACCGGACAUCAUAUUUUUCAGAUAUGGCUCAACUCCAUCACCAUCAUUUUGGGAUGAUGUGAGGUAUAUUUGAUGCUAUCUCCGCAUAACACCAUGUAUGGGCAUAUUCUUUCAUAUGAUCUUACAAAUAGCCCAGGUUUUGUUGGAAACGCGGACUCUGAAAAUUUCUAUGAUUUACAUAGAGAUAGCUCACUGGAAAUAUAUUUACUAUAUGAAUUGUUGGUGGCUACAUCAUUCACUCACUCCGAAAGAUUCUCACUCCAAAGAUAGUUAUGAAGACAUCAGGGGGAGAUAUUAAUUAGGGGGAGCAUCCAGAAGUAUGCUAUACAGAUUGUUGUACUCUUCUUUCUUCCUUCCAUCAGUUUUCUACCUCACUAGGUUUUCUCCAAGCAAAGUCUGAUGAAGCAACUGACAUAUUAUUUGUGGUCUCCAAGGGGGAGUGUUGUAAAGUAUAAAGUAGUGGAGCCCACUUACUAUUUGUUUGUAGACUUUGGUGCAUGAUUGUAUUGUAGAUUCACAGGUGGAUUGUAGAUUCACGGGUGUUAUCCACCCUUUCCCUAUAAAAGGCUUCUCUCUUAUGCAAAGAGAGAUAGAAGAGAAGACAGAAGAGAAAGGGAGAAACGGAAAGAAACAAAGAAGAGGAAAGAGAGAAAAGAGAAGAGGAAAGAAAGAAGGGAAAGAGAAAAGAAGAAAGAGAGAAAAAGAAAGAGACAAGAGGAAGAGAAGGAAGAAAGAGGAAAGAGAGAGCAGAGAGAAAUUCUCCUAGAGAGAAAAUUCAGUGAGCCACACAUAUUGUAAAUACUAAAGUUGUAGCCCUAUUAUUUUACAUAGUGGAAAAGUUACUACUGCUGCUCUCCGGGGACGUAGGCAUAGCCGAACCUCGUUAAAUACUGUGUCUCAUCUACUUUACGUGCAGCUCAAUAUUCACACAUAUUCCAGGUUAUUUUACAACACUAAGUAUUUAGAAAAAUAGAAGUUGAGAAUUCUAGAAUGGUGGGAAUCAAAUUUGUUUUUCUCCUUUUUACUAUACACGUACAGUGGUGCCUUUAUACUUGGACUUUGCUUAAUAGUUAAGCAUCUGAGCUAACAACCUCUAACAACCUUCACGUGCCUUCACGUGUUUAACAUAACCAAUUACAGACACGUGGCACACUGAUUCUAAUCAUUAGCUAAACAUCCCCCCUCAAUCUCAGAGUAGGGACCUAAUCUGAGAGUGGUACAAUGCUUAGAGAAAACUGGACUAUGAAGUCCCUUAGUCAGGACAUCAGCGACCAGAUCAUCAGUUGGGAUAUACUGAACUAAGAAAUCCCUGUGCUGCACACGCUCCCUGAUGAAAUGGAAGUCAAUAUCAAGGUGUUUGAUACGGGAGUGAUAUAUAGGAUUGGAGCUCAGAGCCAAUGCCGACAUAUUAUCGCAAUAUAGAAUAGGAGGCUCAGACAAAUAUACAUGUAGAUCAACAAGAAGCUGCCGAAUCCAUACGACAUCUGCUGAGGCAUUAGCAAGAGCCCUGUACUCGGCUUCAGUGGAACUGCGUGAAACAGAACCUUGCUUCAUGGAUUGCCAUGAGACCGGGUUAGACCCCAAGUACACCACAAAGCCCGUAGUGGAUCUGCGAGUGUUAAUAUCACCCGCCCAGUCAGAAUCACUAUAAGCAGACAAGAGUAUGGGACUUGAAGAAGAAUAAGUAAAACCAUGACUGAGUGUGCCCUGUAGAUACCGCAGAAUGCGUUUCACUAAGAAGAAAUGAUGCUCGGUAGGAUUAUUCAUGAACUGACAGACAGUAUUAACAGAAUAGGCAAUGUCGGGCCUUGUAAAUGUAAGAUACUGUAAAGCACCAACAAUGCUACAAUACUGUUUUGGAUCCUUCAAAGGGAUACCAUCAGUGAGUAAAAUCUGUGUGUGAGGUUUCAGAGGUGUAGGACAGGGUUUACAAGAACUCAUCCCAGACUUUGCUAACAAAUCAGUAGCAUAUUUUUGUUGACUAGCAAAGAUGUCUCCAUUAGACUUACAGGAAAUCUGAAGACCAAGGAAAUAAGUAAGGAUGCCCAUAUCCUUGAGCUCAAACACUGAACCAAGCUCUGUAAUUACCUCCUGGAUGACCUGUGGACUUGAGCCAGUGAGAAUAAUGUCGUCGACAUAGAGCAACAAAACCACAAUAGCGGAGUCGGAAUACUUCACGAAUAAACUGGGAUCACUGUGAGACAUCUUGAACCCAAGCGCUGGAAGAAAACCAGUGAACUUAGCAUUCCAGGCCCUUGGAGCCUGUUUUAAUCCAUACAAUGAUUUCUGAAGUUUACAAACAUAGUCAGGAUAGUGAGGAUCUUCGAACCCCUGAGGUUGCUUCAUAUACACUUCCUCCUCAAGUUCCCCAUGUAAGAAGGCGUUCUUUACAUCCAAUUGGCGAAGAGACCAAUGAUUGGAAGCUGCCAGACUGAGAAUGAUACGAACUGUAGCAUGACGAACAACUGGGCUAAAUGUCUCUUCAUAAUCAAAACCAGCCUCUUGACUAAAACCUUGGGCAACUAGGCGUGCUUUAUAUCUAGAAAUGGAACCAUCAGAGUGCCUUUUUAACUUAUAAAUCCAUUUUGAACCAACAAUGUUUGUAUUAGCAGGAGGAGGUACCAACACCCAGGUACCUUGCAUCUGUAAUGCGGAAAUCUCUUCGUCCAUGGCCUUUGUUCAAUCAGCUGAAAAAGAAGCAACACGAUAGCUAGAAGGUUCAUCCAGAGAAGUAGUAUCAUGGAUACUGGUGUAACACAUGUAGUCAGAAAAAUCCUUCUUUUGAACAACCCCAGUUUUAGACUGAGUAAGCAUAGAAUGAGAAGGUCCUGCUGGAGCAGAUCCAACAGGAACACUUGGUUGGACAGAAGCAGGAGAAGAAGAAGUAAUAUAAUCAAAAGAAGGUAGAAGAACUUGUAAUUGCUGCUCCGAAAGAACAGGGAUAUAAGGCUCAGACUGAGACAACCCAGGAGAGGCUAACAAAUCUUGUUGCCCCGACAGAACUGGUGUAUAAGGCUCAGGCUGAGACAACUCAAGAGAGACUAACAAAUCGGGAGCUGUAAUACUAGGAGCACUAGAGGAACUAUGAGAAGCGAGCACCAAAGAUGAUGUAGCAGACGGAGGUAACAUCAUAGGAAUAGGGGAGAGAACUGUUGAAGGAGAACAGGGUGAGGAAGGCAGAGAGAAGCGGUGCUUGAAAGGAAAAAUAGUUUCAUCAUGAAUAACAUAGCGAGACACCAAGAAUUUGCUAGUGGAACAAUUGUAACAUAACACUCCUUUAUAGCCCAGUAGAUACCCCAUGAAAACACACAUAACAGUUCGAGGUUGAAGCUUAGUAGUGUUAGUGGCUCUUAAACAAGGAUAGACACAGUACCAAAGACACGGAGGUGUCUUAUAUCAGAAUGCCUAUGAAGAAGCCUAUAAUAUGGAGAUUGAUUAGAAAGCACUUUACUAGGCAUGCGAUUAAUCAAAUAGGCAGAAUGAGCCAUAGCAUGAAACAAAAACUGAUCAGGCAUAGAGGCUUCUUGUAAAAGGGUUAUAGAGGUUUCUAAUAAGUGGCGAUUCUUCCGCUCAGAGAGUCCAUUCUGUUGGGGUGUGGAAGGGCAGGAAACUUGAUGGACAAUGCCAUGAGAUGCGAGAAAUUCAUUGAAUUGAGUGCUCAUAUACUCACCACCACCAUCACUUUGAAGAAACUUAAUAGAAGCAUUAAAAUGAGUUGUAAGAAAAGCAACCAAUCUGGUAAACAUUGUAAAGACCUCAGACUUGGCAUAGAGAGGAUAUAACCAUAGAAAACCAGUGUAUUCAUCAAUGAAAGACACUACAUAUCGAUAGCCAGAAAUGGAUUUACAUGGAGACGGACCCCAAACAUCACUGUGGAGUCUAUGAAAUGGAGAAGAAGCCUUAUUGUGAUGACUAGAAAAUGGUAACCGAUGCAUUUUACCAUCUAGACAAAAGGAACACAACUUAGAAAUUGAAUCAGAUACCACUUGGAUUUGAGCGGCAGUAAGCAUGAGUUGAACAACUUCAUUUGUAGGAUGUCCAAGCCUACUAUGCCAAAGAGAUGAAUUAACUUUCGGACCAAGAAAAGCACUUGUCUGUGACUGAGAGGCUCGACUACUAGUACCAACUGAUGAACUACUACUACCUGUACCAAUUGAGGAUAAAGAAGUAGGAAUAGGAUACAAGCCAUGCUCACUUUUGCCUUGGAGAAGCUUCUUGUUGGUGACCUUGUCCUGUAUUAAAAAUCCAGAUGUAUCACAGAUUAUGCGACAAUUAUUGUCAUGACAUAGCUGAUACACAGAUAAGAGAUUUGCUGUAAGUUAAGGCACAUGUAAAACUUUAGAGAGAGUAAGAGAAGAAGAGACAGUGGGAAUAUGAGAUUUGCCAAUAUGAGCAAUGUGCAAACCUUCCCCAUUGCCCACUACAACAUUCUCAGCUGAAGUACAAGGUGUAACAUUGUGCAUUGUAGUCAUGUGUGGCACCAUAUGGUGACUCGCUCCACUAUCGGCAAUCCACACUGCAUCAGGAGAGAAAGAAGCUUGAGCAGCCAUAGCAGUGAGAGAGGACGGUGGAGGAGAUCCCUGAUAGGCAUAGUUGGAACGAUGAUAGCAAUCCAAUGCACCAUGGCCCUUCUUGCCACAAAUUUGACACUCAAUAACGGAGGAGCCUUGAGAUGAGGUAGAAUCGUGAAAAAAGUAAUUGCAGCCGUGUGACCUCUCUUACUGCAAAUUUGGCAUUCUGGAACAAUUCCAGACUUAGGAGGACCUUGAAAUUUAUUCGGAAAACCGCGACCAAAAGGCCUAGAACCAGAAAAUCUGCCUCGACUACCAAAUGAACUAGACGAUCGACCAUGUGUAUGGGAACUCAUAUAACCAGUAGGAGAAAAGGAAGUCACAGAAGGAGUAGGGAGAAUACCAGCACCAGAGAGAUUAGGAGACGAUGUAGAAGAAGUAGAUUGGGGCAAGAUUACACGAGAAUCAGCGGCUUGUUCAGCUGCAAGCAAAUGAUUGCGGAAAUCUUUGAAAGACAGUGAAGUGUCACGAGCAAGAAGCACAGUCUUGAUCAUGUCAUACUCAGAAGGAAGACCAUUCAACACAGCAAGCAUCAAAUCAUCGUCAGAGACUGAAAUACCAGCGACAGCAAGCUGAUCACGGACAUGUUUGAGGCGAAGUAAGAACUUCUCGAUAGAAUCAGCGCCUUUUUGAGCAGUUUGAAGCUCCGUCUUCAAGAGAUUCACACGAGCACAAGACACGGUAGCAUAUCGAUCCGUCAAAUUCAUCCACGCCUCAGAGGCAGUCUUAGAUCCGAUCACGUAUUCGAUUGCCUCAUCAGAAAGCGUUGCAAUCAAUAAGCUCAGUAACACUUUGUCAACCUUCAACCAGGCUUUAUAUGUAGCGGUGAUUACCGACGUAACGCCUUCCUCAUCGAGAAGUGCAUAUUUCGGUGGAGCAACAAUGGAGCCAUCGAAAUUUCCGAAGAGAUCAUGACCUUCCAACACAGAUUCAAUCUGAUAUGGCCAUUUCAGAUAAUUGCCAUCCGUCAAAUGAAUGGUGAGCAUGCCAAGGAGGCCAUCAAGCUUGAGAGUUGAAGUCGCCAUAAAAAAACAAAGAGAAACAGAGACGAAGAAGAGGAAUUGCAGAAAAAUUCAAGAAUCAGAAGAAUCAGAAGAAUCAGAGGAAUCAGAGGAAUCAGAUGACAGAAGAAUCCAAGAAUCAGAAGAAUCAGAGAAAGCAGAUGAGAACGAGAAGAAAAGAAUCCAAGAAUGUCACAGAGAAUCCAAGGAGGUGCAGAAACAGAAGCAAAGAAGACUCAUAUGAGAUCUAGAAGAAGGCGGAAGCAAAAAGAAACCCAGAUCGGUCCAUGGCUCUUGAUACCAUGCUAAGUAUUUAGAAAAAUAGAAGUUGAGAAUUCUAGAAUGGUGGGAAUCAAAUUUGUUUUUCUCCUUUUUUACUAUACACGUACAGUGGUGCCUUUAUACUUGGACUUUGCUUAAUAGUUAAGCAUCUGAGCUAACAACCUCUAACAACCUUCACGUGCCUUCACGUGUUUAACAUAACCAAUUACAGACACGUGGCACACUGAUUCUAAUCAUUAGCUAAACAUUAUAACGAGUCCCCUCCAAUUUUUAUCAUCAUACAGCUUUGGAGGUAUUUCGAGUCCUUUCCCGGGUGACAUAGUAGUCCAAUGUUUGAAACACUCUAGAUAAUCCUUUCGAGGAUGUGUUCUGAGGAUCGAAAUGCUUGAAAACAGAAAUUUUAUCUCCUUUAAGACUGAGCGUUGCCACCUGGGACUUUUGAAGGUAAGCCUGUAGGUACCUUUUCCAUUGUGCUGGACUAUAGCUUCCAUAGAGUUGAGUCUCAGCCAAUACAUGUACAGGACCGACCAACAACGACAACGGCGGUGGAGCAUCUUCUUCUGCAACCUUUUGUUGGGUAGAAUCCCUGUUGGCAAACGUUAAGCGUUUUGAGUGGACUAUUAUUACUUCACCACGCUCCUUGACAUCAUGCUUUCGUUUGAGAUAGCAUCUAUACUUGUGCAUAUUGAAGUAAAAUCCUGUUCUGGUAUCAGAAACUCUUGUCCAGAUUCAGCUAACUGUUGCCUAUACGUACAACUUAUAUUAGUCCAAGUAAUUUAAAGACGUUAAAAUAUUUUGCCAGCAUUGAGAGAAUUUAAAUAUAUAAACAAUCCACACACACACACGCAUAUAUAUGACCUUUGGAUCCUCAUAGAAUCAGGAGCGAUGGGCAUUUCUCUUUCCUCUGCAUUAUUAUUGCGCAUAGCUUUGGCUUCCCGCUGAAGGCGAUUUUCCAUUGUUUGUGCAGAAAAGGCUUGGGCAUACGCACAAAGCUCAUCAAGCAUAUCUGAUCUCCCCAGUGUCAACUUAGUUAAUGAAUGGAUCAAGCCUCCCAAGUCUUCAUCGUAUACUAAACGGGCUCCACAGAGUUCAACCUCUACCGCUGAGUUGGUGGUUCUAAAGAAUGCCCUAAUAACCUGACAUUAACAUGUUGUUGAAAAUACACACGUGGCACGUGUAACACAACAAGUUCAUGGGACCUUACUUUCUGAGGGAAGGGAUUGUUUAUCUGGACACAUCUUGGUAUUCUACUGCUUUCUUGUUCACACAAAUCAACACAAAGGAAUGAGGGAAGAUGGAAGAGACUCGAAACGGAUUGACGCCAAGAAAAUAUAACAUAUAGUUCUAAUCCUACCCAUCUGCUUUCAUCAAACAAGUUUUGAGGAAGGUCACACAGUUCUACAUUCCCCAAGUAGUGAUUGUCGAACCAGUUCGGAAUUACUACUACUUUAUGACAAAAGCUAAAAAAUAAAUCCUUCGUGCGUCCAUUGUGGCCCUGUCGAUGUAAAGCACACAGUAACUAAUUAAUUAAUGGUUAAAACCUUCAAAAAUCAACUGCCUUAAACAUAAAUUUUGAUUUUUGUCCUCUGUACAUUAUUCUAACACACGCAUAUAUAGAGAUGGAGACAGAGGGAGUAACCUCAUAGAGCUUUGAAAGCAACAAUUGUACUGGUGGGAUGCUAGAAUCAGUACUAGCUGUGGUAGAGAUGCUGCUGCUGCCCCGAUGUACAGUUGAAGUUGAUGGUGGUUCCCAUAGACGGUAAUCAAGUAUCGUCACGUCACCAGAACUUUCCAAUUUCAUCACCUCAUCUAACAUAUGCUUACAAUGUGGACCAAAAUUCAAAUCGAGGUGUUGAUUAGCAGUCUGACUUAAAUCUUGGGCAAAUUUUGCCGCAUCUUGAUGAGAGAUUAAACGUAUUCCGCACCCUUUCACUUUCAAACUGGGUCGAUUUGUUGAGACUGAUGCUCGAAGUACUCCUUGGUUUGCAUUUUUCAAAUUCCCUGCAAAUUUGCGUGCCGGAUUAUAGCAACAAACUGCAUGCGACCCAACUAUGAAGUUUUCAAAGUUUCCAAUGACUACUCGAUUUUGAAGACGACCAUCCGAGGCGUGAAAAUGACAGAAGGUCUCUUCCAUUUCCGAACUCUGCUCAAGAAUUUCGAAAAACACAAAAAGGACGACUCCCAUCCAUAUACUAUCUUCUGGAUCUGAUAGUUGAAUUAUUACAGAAGUCCCAUCCGAAUACACACUGCACCAGUCUGGAAUUCUAGUAUACGGAACACGAAUUUCAAAAUCUUGCUGACGAUCAAUCAGAUCCUGUACAAAAUAAGAAAAACAAUAACAUUAUAUACAUAUAUCAUGUAUGUAUGAGCAGCCCCAGGAUCCCUUUUUGCAAUUCACUAAAAGAGGUCGUAGGUGAUCCAACCUGAUAUAGGAUCAUUAUAUGUAUGUAUGUAUAUACGUACAUAUAGAAAAUUCCCUUAUUGGGCUGGAACUGCAAGGCACCUUAAGGGAACUUACAAAUGUAUAUAUGUUGAGAGAGAGAGAAAGAGACCUCAAAGUAUUUAGGAAAGAAUUGUUCAAGAUGCUCUUCAUGAAUUGGCAGUGGGUGGUGGAUUAUCUCAUCUUCAACUCCCUCUGAUUCUCGGCAAUCUAUGAAAUAGAUACCAUCAUCAGAUGUCCAUAUGUUGAGGGUUUUUGGAUAGUUUGUCUGCGAAGGACAACCAUGUGCAUCCAAAUGUUUUAGGCUCGGUGGAAGAGGUUUUGGCAACAAUCGCAGAUUGCAACACUUGAACAAGGUAAGUUCUCUAAGCUCAGAAAGUUGAGAUAUGCUUUCAGGUAUGCUCUCAAAAUUGUUUUCACUCAAACCCAAACUCCGGAAUGAGGAUAAGCAUAUGCCAAUAUCAUCAGGAAUUGCUCCUUCUCCUAGACCGCAUCCGCUAAGAUUUAAGUAUACCGAAGAGGAUAAACCCGAGAACGAGUGAGGGAGCUGCAAACCUGUACAACCCAAUAAACAUAACCGUUGGAGGUUCUUCAGAAGUAAAAUAGACAAAGGCAAUCUUCUUAUGGCUGUUUGACAGGCAUCAAGCUCUUUUAAAAGUUCCAGGCUCCCUAUGUUUUCUGGCAGUUGGUCAAUCAGUGAGCAGCCUGACAGAAAUAGAUACUUCAAGGAUACCAAACUGCAAAUGAUGCUUGGAACACUCAAAAGGUUCUUGCAUUCUCUUAGAUUUAACACAAUAAGGCCAGUCAAGUGCUUGAUUGAUAGCGGCAACUCCCUUACCCCGGUCCCAUCUAAAUGAAGUUCUGACAAGUGUCCCAUGUUUCCCACAAUCUCUGGAAACCUUUCGAGUCUUGAACAUCCUGAAAGAACAAAAUUUUGAAGAGAUUCCAAGCAAAUGGAGUGGGGAAGGCUCUCUAGACAUUCACAACCCUUCGAGUUCAACGAAACCAGAUGUUGGAGAUCCCAAAUUGUUGGGUGAAGCUCUGAUAACUUUUCACAACCUUCAAGAGUCAAACCCAUAAGAUUUGGGACCUUACUGAAGUCUGGGGUCUUGGUCAAGCAUUUGCAGUUGGAAAGAUCGAUUAGCGUCAACUUUUCCAUCAUAGGAACGCGCUGUUAUGAAGGCAAGAAAACAGUAGUAAUUAGUUUUGGAAUUAAUAAUUUAUGUCUAAUUGAAUGCAAAAAAAACAUAUAUAAUUAAGUGAAAAGUUAUCGUAGUACCAUUUCAUGCCAUAGUUGUUUAAUGCGGCUGUUAGGCAACCUAAGUUCAACAAGGGAAGAUGGCCGAAAACUUGGGGGUAGGGACUCUGAAGGAUAUUCAUGCCAUUCCAAAAGCCGUAACUGUCUAGAGAAAUAUUCAGGACAUUCAGAAAAGUUGGCAUUACAAAUCUUCAACAAUUUUAGUCCGCGCAUAUUUGAGAAUGGAUCAGCAUCCAACUCUAUAUCUUCCUUUGCAGGCAAGGUUAGGAAUAUACCGUGAACAGCAAUUGUUCCCUGUACCACAAAAUCAUAUGAAAAAUUUAGGUUUGUUUCAAAAUGAGCAAAUAUGCGUACUAAGUUUUACGGAUUGAUAUAUACAAAGGCAGCCACAUUCACAUGUCGCCUCACACCUUUGAUAUAUAUAUAUAUAUAUAUAUUUUUUUUUUUGAAUAGAAACAUUUUUAUUCAAAUUGUAAGGAUCAAAACAAAGGCAUUUAGAACGCAGAUAAAAAGAAAAAACACUAGCCGGUGAACCAGACACAAUGCCACUCAACACAUAACUAACCAACCAAACAUAAAACAAACCCUUAAGAUACUACGGCCAGCAGAUUGCAAGGGAAGUUGAUGCCCAAAGGGCAGCCCAAAACUUCACUCUAUCCCAUUACUCUGCCACUCCCACUCCCUUAUAAUCCUCAAAAAUUCUCCUGUUACGUUCCAGCCAUAGGUUCAAAACCACUGCCUGCAUCAGACUACCCCAGAGAAUUUUGGCUUUCUUUCCCCUUCCCAAAGCAUCAAAUCUGAUGGAAAAAAGUUCAAAGCAGCCUUCUGGUAUUACCCACACCGUGUUAACUUCCUUCAACAGUGUCUCCCACAACUUUAGAGAGAAAGGGCAAUGAAGAAGGAGAUGGUCCACGCUCUCCCCUGCCUUAUUACAUAGAGCACACCAGUGAGGGCUAAUGCACAAAUAGGGACAACGUCUCUGUACUGUAUCACCUGUACUUAGUUUUCCCAACACCGCUUGCCACAUAAAGAUCUUAACUUUCGGAGGAGUCUUAGCGUUCCAAAUUUGAGUGUACGGGGAGAAUAUCUCCCCCUCACCACAAUUCUGAAUAGAGAACAGAGAGAAUGACAGGUGAAGAGACCAGAGGGGUCAAGCUUCCAUCUUCUCUUAUCCAAUCUGGAAGUGAUCACCCACACACCCACCAAUAAAUCCAACAAUCUAGCCGCCUCCGUUAUCUCCAAUUCAUUGAGAUUCCUCCUGAAACCAAAAUCCCAACUGAGAGGGAACUUCCUGGACAAAUUGAAGAGUCUUGGAAACACCUCUUUCAAAACACCACCCCGGCUCCAGUCAUCCUCCCAAAAUCUGACCCUAACUCCACAACCUACCACGAAAACACAACCUUGAAGAAACAAAUUAUAGCCGCUAGAAAUGUCCCUCCAAGGGCUGCGACAAGAUCCCCGAGUCGCAGGUUUAGCAUCCCACCCAUUUGUAUCCAUUCCAUAAAUACUUCUGAUCACUUUAUGCCAAAGAGCAUGAGGUUCGUUAGGAAACCGCCAAAGCCAUUUUGCCCGCAAAGCCGCACUCCUAGCCCUCAACGAACCCACCUCUAACCCUCCACAGAAUUUUGCCUUGCCCACAACCUCCCAACUCACAGCGUGGUUUCUUUUACCAUCCAAACCUUCCCACAAGAAAUCCCUCAUAAGCUUCUUGAUUCUAUUGGCUACUCCAAUGGGAAUAUCGAAAAGGGACAUGUAGUAGAUCGGAAUACUACACAACACAGCCUGAAUCAUUGUGAGUCUUCCCCCUUUGGAUAGGCAAGCUCGCUUCCAUUUUUGUAAUCUAUUCUCCACCUUUUCCACAACCGGAUCCCAAAACUUGAUAGCCCCGGGGUUCCCGCCUUGGGGAAGACCCAAAUACGACAUAGGCCAAGCCCCCACUUCGCAUCCCCAAGCCCCAGCCAGCUCAUUCAACAGCCCAUCGUCAAGAUUAAUGCCAACUAGAGAACAUUUUGAUUUGUUAAUUUUCAUAACCGACACAAAACAGAACAGUUCCAGAAUUUGAAGGAGAUUAUUCCAGUACUCUUCUUUAUCCUCUAUGAAAAAAAUGGUAUCGUCAGCGAACUGAAGGUGGGAUACCUCCACCAUCCCGAGCCCUGGGGAAAGUCCAUGAAACUUAUCAGCAUCUUGAGCUUUCUCCAUAAUUCUGCUUAACACAACCAUCACCAAAGUGAACAGGAACGGGGAGAGCGGGUCUCCUUGUCUCAGACCCCUAGAGGCACGAAAUUUACCCCUUGGUCUUCCAUUAAUCAUCACAGAAAAAUUAGCCGUCUCGAGGCAACCACGAAUCCAGCUUCUCCUCCUGUCCCCAAAUUCUUUUCUAAUCAAAACCACAUCAACAAAUCUCCAUUCCACGUGAUCGUAGGCUUUCUCUAAGUCAAUUUUGAACACCAUUCCAGACUUGUUAAGCCUUCGACUUUCCUCCACCACCUCAUUGGCAAUCAAGGCCGCAUCCAAAAUUUGCCUACCCUGCACAAAAGCACCCUGAUAACUAGAUAUAGUGCUGCCCAAGACUUCCCGCAAUCUAGAAGCCAAAACUUUCGACACCAUUUUGUACAAACUUGUCACCAAGCUGAUAGGCCAGAAAUCACUAACUUUAAUGGAUUCCUUCAUUUUGGGAAUGAGGCAAAUAAACGUCUCAUUCGUGAUUGCAUUGAUUAUACCACCAUUGAAGAAGUCCGCCAUAACUUUCAUAAGAUCCUCUUUCACAAUAUCCUAGCAAGACUGAAAAAGAAGCAUGGAAAACCCAUCUGGACCUAGCGAUUUAUCUAUCCCACAGUCGAAAACCGCCCUUUUAACCUCCUCCUCUUCAAAGGGUCUUUCCAGCCAUUCAGCCUCCUCAACACUAAUUGCAUUCCAAUUCAGACCUUCCAAGCACCACCCCGCCUCUGCGUUGCUGCUAUAUAGAUUUUUGAAGAAGUUAAUUAUCUCCAUUUCUAUUUCCCCUUCACUGACAACCACACCAGCGCCCGCUACUUCCAGCUUUUGAAUAAAAUUCCUUUUCCUUCUGCCACUUGCUAUACGAUGAAAAAACUUGGUGUUGCUGUCCCCAUCUCUUGCCCACUGGAUUUUCCCCCUUUGUCUCCAUUUCACCUCUUCUUUGUGGACUAAAUCACUCACCAUAAAGUAUAAAUCUUCCCUUUCUUUUCUCAGAAUAUUAUCUAACCCUCCCUGCCCUUCCAUCAAAUCAAGAGCAGCAAUUCUAGCCUCUGCCUCUUUCUUUGCAGAGACCAAAUCCCCAAAUACUUCUUUAUUCCAGUCCUUUAUUUUCUGUUUUAUAGUCCUCAGCCUUCUAGGGAACUUGUAACCCUCCCAUCCGUUAAUCUGAUCUUCCCCCCACCACUGUUUGAAUUUCUUCUUAAACUCCGGGUGUUCUAUCCACAUAUUUUCAAAACGAAAAGGGCCCGGACCCCAUUUCAAAUUAGAGGUGUCCAACUGAAUUGGAUAGUGAUCAGAAGUAACUCUUGCCAACGCCGUAUGUUUAACAUGGGGGAAGGAAUCUUCCCAAGCUUCAGAAAAGAGGAAUCUGUCAAGUCUUCUGCACGCUGCGUUUCCCUAAAAUUAGACCAUGUAAAGGAAGCAUUCAAGAUGUUUGGGUCUCGCAGGUUUGUGUCAUCGAUAAAGUCAUUGAAGUUUUUCAUACUACUUGUCAUCCUACCUCCGUUAGAUUUCUCAGAUACAAACCUAACCACGUUAAAAUCUCCCCCAAUACACCACUUGUUACCACACAAGCCGAACAACCCCGCUAAUUCCUCCCAAAAUCUUCUUCUAUCCCUAGGAUGACAAGGGCCAUAAAUACAUGAUAGCCACCAAUCCCCCUCAGAAGCGUCCAAAAUUCUUAUAGAAACAGAGAAUUCCCCAAUUUCAAAGUCAGAAAUGGAGAUAGUUUGAGAAUUCCACAUCACCACAAUCCCACCAGACCUACCCCUUGAAGGGGCAUACACCCACUCUUUGAAUCUAUACCCUCAAACACCAGCUGCAAGUCUUCUAUCAAAAACUUCUUUCUUAGUCUCAUGCAAAAUAACAAUAUCUGGAUUUACUCGUAACAACUGCUCCUUCACCACCACCCUUUUCCUUUUGCUCCCGAGACCUCUCACAUUCCAAGAUAUGAUAUUCAUUAAUUUAACUUGACCUCCCUCUUAAGCAAAGUAGACUGCACACUAUCCACUUCCGGUUCGACCCUAGUCAAACUCCGUUUCCCCUUCCUGCCAGAUUCACCAUUUGAUCGGCUAGAUUUCGAGAGGCACCCAAGUAAUAACUGCUUCCUAAUGGGAACCAUCGUGAGAUUCAGCUUGGCCAUAAUCCGGGAAUGUUUCUCCUCCCCCAACCUCUUUCUUUUGCUGUAACUCACAAAUUCAGUUUCUUUAGUCUUCUCUCUUACCAUCCCACCACCAUUGCUCCCCUCAAUGUCUUGUGAAUUCAAAGGCACAGCAUCUCCGCCCCUUUUCUUACCUGGCACCUUAUCGUCGCCAUCCUCGUUGCCUUCCGCACAAUUUUUAUCCUCCAGCCCACCAUGACCCUUCAAAACCAUCCCAUCAGUCAGCCCAGUCAGAAUUCUAGCAACAGACCCGUCGUCGCAUUCAAUUACAUCAAUUGUCUCCUCUACCUCAGAUGGGAGAUUGUCCUCCUCAAUCCCGACUGAAGCGAUUGAUCUGCCAUCCACAGAAUCACACAAUUCAUCCCCCUGUCUCUCUUCAGCCAUAGUUGCAAACUCCCCUCCGUGUCCAGGUCGCACAUCGUGAGUGAAGGAGACGCACCGUCUUCUAGAUAGAUUCCUUCUUCCACUUAAAAUACAGAACUUGGAUCUAAAUCUGGUUUCAUGUUGAGCGGGUCCGGCCCAACUCCCAUUACCCUAAAAGUUUGUUAUUGGAUCGCAAUUACCUCCAGGUCCAGAGUUAGAUAAGGAAUUAAUUGCAGGAUUGGGCUCAGAAAUGGCUUCCGAAAUAGGCCCAAUUUUUGGGCCUGAAUUAAUAGCCCAUGUGCCGGAUUUUUUAACAACCAACUUGGUUGACCUUCUGACGAGAUCUACUGGAAAUUGACAAGGCUUCGUAGUUGGCUCCAGCUGUGGAGCCUGCGACCCAGGUAAUCUGCCGAUCCCACAGAUCCCACUUCCGCAUUCUAAUGUUCCAGCCGCCAAUCUAUCGAGAUCCUUCUCUGUACCUUCGAAGUUCCGCUUCUCGAUGUGAUUGCCCCUUUCCCCCUCCACAUGGGUUGAAAAAAUAUCCCCAGGAUUGAAAAGACCGCCACCGUCGCUUGGUUCCACUAGUUUCCGGCCACCCGCCAUUUUAGGCGGAGGGAUCCAGGAGUUUGUGGGCCUAAUCGCAGGAAAUAAAGGUCUAAUCUUCACAAAUAGCUCUCUAAUCCUUCAUUAAGAAUCACAAUCUCGGGAAGAAAUCCGACUUGAUUUUUUCGGGUUUUGAUUCUUGCUUCGAACAUAAACUUGAAGUUUUCCGUCCUCUUGUCCAAUUCAAUCAACCCCCCACAUUCAUUCCCAAUAUGUUCGAAGAAAUCUUUUCUCCACCAGUGCAUAGGAAGACCAGAGACCCCAAGCCAGCCUCCAAAGCUAACAAUUUUAGGGAUAUUAUUUUCUAGACCACGUUCCCAACUAUAUAAAAGUACGUCUGUUUGUCCCUCCACCCCCAGCUUACUAGUGCUACUAACUCUCAUAGCCUCCUCUUUACUAUCACAAACAAAAAAGGCCCUGUUAAUCUGGUAUGGAAAUAGUUCAACCUCUUUAUCUAACCAACUUGUUAGGGCCAUCCUGAUAUCACUCCAAGAUUGAUGUAGAACUUGCCUCUCACAGGCCACCACCCAACUCCAGUUCGAAUUCCCAACCGUAGUGUUGUUCUCAGUAACUGUCCUUUCUAGCCCCCUCUCACUUUCUACCGCCUCCUUGUAAGUUUUCCCACUGAUCUACCUUUGCCACUCGAAGCGAAACAAUCAGCUUCGGCCGCUGGGUUGACCUUGUUCGAGUUGAUUCUCCCUGCCAAUAUGAUCUCUAAGUUUUCUUUCAAUAAAAGCCAUCCGAAGUUGUUUCGACCCUGAGGAACAACCACAGACCUAACUACUCUAUGUACGCAUUUCGUCAGUCGCAUAUGAAGACCCUUUCCAUUAUUAAGCUUUUCCAUCCAUACUUGAUAAGAAUCUCCCUUAUACUGUCGGAAAAAUCUCUGUUAUUUAUUUUCCAAAAGCUUCUGCAGCUCUCUGACCAGCCAAUUCACACAUCUAAGCUCAAGAGAAACAUGGAACACACGCGCUCUAACCUUCUCUGUAAUCAAGAUUGAUCCUCCAUAGGAGAGGUCAUCAACCUUGAUUCUGAAUUCCUUAGCUUCAAUAUUAAAAAACCUAGGCAAGUGUCUAACACUCACCGCACCCCCUCCCACUUUCUCUCUCUCGCAGGCCGCUCAUGUCUCUCCAAUCCACACACCUUUGAUAUAUCAUAUGGUUAUUGUAGUGAAGCAUGUAUAUAUGAUGCCUACAUGUAGCAUAUUAUUUGAUAUCUUACCAAAUUAUCCUCGAGUACAGUGUUGACGUCAUCCCACGACCUGCUAUCUUUAUACUCCGAGACAUUCUCACUAACCCACAAUCUGCUGCAUUUGCCUGGCUCAAAAGAUUCUCCAUGAACAAUUCUCCAACCCAUUUGUUGUAGUAAAUCAUGCAUCCAUAGUCUGUUUCCUUUAUUAAUUUUAACUAGACAUUUAUCCUGGAGGACCCUAAUACCGAUUGUUGGAUGAAAGUGACAAGCAUCCACAAUUUUACCUACACGAUUGUGAUCCUCUCCUUUGAAGAAACAUGCAAUGUCCAAGAAGAUUUGCUUCUCUAUUUCCUCUAAUCCAUCGUAACUUAUUUGAAGUGCAGGAAAAAUGUCUUUGUCAUCAGGAUAUUCUUUCAGUUUAGCAAAUUUACUCUCCCAUUGAGCUACCGUUUCCCACACAAGGCGCCACCCAGAACUUCAAGAGCCAAAGGGAGGCCAUUGCUAUAUUUGGCAAAACCCUUGGACAGCUUUGUGUAGUCAUCAGCCAUCUCAUGGCCUUUCUUGAAGGCUUUCUUACUGAAGAGCUGAAAGGCUUCUUCAUCGUUCAGUUUCUCAACCUCAAAUAUAUGGUGCGCUCCAUAUACCUUCAACAAUUGCUCAUUUCUAGUCGUUAUAAUGACUCUACUUCCUCGACCCAACCAAUCAUUUCCAACUAAAGCUUGUAUUUGUUUCUGAUGAUCAACAUCGUCCAGAACGAUAAGCACCUUUUUAGUAUGCAGUUGUCUCUUCAAUGAACUCAUUCCCAUAUGGACAUUAUGUAUGUCAUCCCCGGAGCCACGGAGGAGUUUUUCAAAAAGAACGUUCUGUAAGGAAAUUAGACCCUGUUUUUCAGAUUCCUUUCUGACAUCGGGAAGAAAGUGGCUAGUUUGAAACUGGUUGCGGAUCUUGUUAUACACUAGUUCCGCCAGAGUUGUCUUGCCAAUGCCCCUCAUCCCCCAAAUCCCUAUGGUACGAACAUCAUCACGCUCUUUUAGAUCCAACAACGACUCCAUUUUCUCUAUACGAGGACCCAUUCCAAUUAAAUCUUCACUAAAUGACGGUAUGCAGUGUAAUAUAGUUGAAAUCUUCUCGGCUAUUGCUUGAGUAACUUCUGCUUCCUUACUAAAAACAGAAUACAGAUUGGAUAUUUUAUAAAGCCUAGAUAAGCCAAUGAUUAAGAAAACUAUAUAUAAACCAAGGUGGUUGGUGUGAGUGGUUCGGCACUCUUAUUCCUUAAGAGAAGGUCAGGGGUUCGACCCCUGCUCUCGUAUGGAGUCACCACUUCGGCCAGCACUUUACCCUUUACGGGCCGACCUGGUGUGAGCGGGGAUUAGUCUGGGUUGUGGUUAAGGCUUAAAGGUGCCAUCCAUAGUUGGGGCACAUCCAGGACCACCUCAUGGUUCAUACCAAAAAAAAAAAAGAAAACUAUAUAUAAAUCCAAAAGCAUCAGUGCUAAUUUUUUUUUUUAUCAUAGUAAUUUUUAUAUAUAAUCUACACAAAGAAAUCAUGAAAUCAUUAGAUCAACAAUGCAACAAAAGUGCAAUAGUCGAAAGAAAAUGAACCUAAUGCUCUGAUACCAAGCUGACAGGACCCGCCCAGGAAUUUCCCGAAAACUGAAGCAGACCUCGUCUUAAUUCCGACAUCUUCCCGAUGUCGGGCCCACUUACUAAGAAAUCGAGACUUUCUACCAAAAUUUUGGCAAAGUCUCCCCUGUAAUUUAAGCAAUCCCAACAAAAAUUACUCAACCUGCAACAUACAUAAAAUAAAAAUCUCAACCAACAGCAUGCUUUCAUAACUCUAGAAGUCAUACUAGAAUGGCCUCCGGCCUCACAAGUAAAAUCUACCAUGGGCGAUACAGAGCAUCUACUAAAAUUUAGAUUAUAAGAACAGUUGAGUAGAAGAAAUUACUCAAUUCCUAACUAGAAAGAUUCACAGUUCGAGCCUCAUACACCACUUGCACGCUUCCUGGAGCAACUACUGGCUGGGGGCGCAAAACAGAAAACAUGUGAGUGGACAAAAACCAGAUUGGCAGUUAAAAACAAUAUAAUAACCCCACCAUGUAAAAAUAAUGCUCAAGUCAUGUAGGUUCACAAUUCAAUAUUUAAUUACUCAAAACAUUAUUCAUUAACAACUCUUCAAAAUACAAAUUAUCUCCUUCAUAAACCACAUUCUCUCAAUCUUACAACUCCUGUCAACCCACUGAAAAACUCAAAUUCUUCACUCACUCAACUAUACGUAUACAUAUAAAUAUAUAUACAUAUAUAUAAAUAUAACUAUAAAUAGCUAUACGAUAUACUCAUCACACCACCUAGGUACCGGGGAAACAAUCCAACUGGGGGACUGUUUGACUAGUCCGCAGGAUUUCUAGGUGCUAUCCUGCGUCUAGGGUUGAGCGGUCCAACCGACGAAACUCCAAAGCUCCCACACCGGAACAUCCAACGCCAUGUGUAGCUCCCAAACUAUGUCCUACGCGUGCAGACUGGAUCAUCACACACCGGAACAUCCAACGCCAUGGUGAUGACCCUAAACACUAUACAAGGUCUUUCCAUACGCCGGAACAUCCAAUGCCGCGAGUGAGACUGAUAACUGGGGAAGGUACUUACAUAGUGUAAUCAUACAACUUCUCUCAAAAUCAAAUUCUUCCACAACACCCUUCAACAACCCAAGUAUCUCGUCUAUAGAGAAUAUAUAAAUAUACUUCCCCACAACCCAUAUAAAAUGCACUCUCAAAACCCACAAUGCCAAACUCACAAUAUAUUGCCAAGCGCUAUACAACCAUCAUAAUCAACUCAUGAAUAUAAUAUAUAUUCAAUAAUCCAUUAAAACAUUAUGCAAAAAUCUUUCAUCAAUUAAAACCAUGCAUAUGAUUGAAAACAAAGUCCACUCACAAAUAUUCCCACGCUGCCUGACCACGUGAAGGUCCUGCCGACUGAGUACGUUCAGUCGAAACACCUAUUUCAAGAUACGAACCGUUAAUUAAUAUAAAAUUACGCCGAAGCGGAAAUCACAAAUUAAAUGCUUAAAUCCCCAAAAUCCCAAUACGUGCACGUUGAAGAAGGUAUCCUAAAGUCCGAUUACAGGUUUAGGAAUCGUUCACGAUUUUACGGUUAUCGCUAACCUGCAAACUUUGCAUUAAUGAAUCGGAACAUCCGGGGCUCCGAUUCAUAAUUCGUGAAGUCUCAUACGAUCCUAGGAAUACCUAGAACAACAUAUUUUAAUUCGGAAAAGAUCUAACGGUUGGAACCUAUCGAACCCAGAUAACGCACAAUAUGCAAAAAUCCGUUUGAUAGUCAAACGACAUCCGAAUUGAGAUCCGCGAAUUCCUAUGCGCUCGUGACAACCUAAGGAUCUCAUCGGGUUAAAUUGCAGCUUCACCAGCCUCGCCCACGCGCCGCCACACGCGCCGGCAGCGCGUGGGUGUGUAGAGUAAUUCCGGUGACUGAAAAACUCCACACCCGAGCUCACCCUUCCUACCCUAGCUUCUACUUAAGGUCAGGAUCACUUCAUUCAACUACGGGAAGGUCCAAUUCGGGCAGCAACUGGCCAGAAUUUCACUUUGAAAUCCGGCCAAAACCUAGGUUUUCAAAAUCAAAUCCUACCCAGCAAAUCGAUCCAAACUUAUACAACAGUCAGCUAGAACUCGAAAAAUGGAUGAGAAAUCAUACCUCACUCACCGGGUUUGGGUGGCGGAGGCGGCGGCGCGACGGCGGGAAAACUCCGAUUCAAAUCAGUCGAGCUUGCAGCCGGAGUUCGUUGUUUCCGACUGGGAAAACGAGCUAGACUUGAUCGCGACGUCAAGGUGGAUCGAUCGGGACCGGUCUCGUGUCCUGCCGUGGCCGGAGCUGAGAGAACCGAGGAGAGAGAGAGUCGAUGUCGGGGAGAGAGAGAGACUGAGAAGAGAGAGAGUGUCGAGCGCGUGGGAGGAGAGAGAAAGAGCUGAGGUGAAAAAUGGAAAUCUGAUUUUUGCUCUAAUCCUUUUCGAAAUAUUUACAAGUUUGCCACUGAUAAUAUUUUGCUCGUAACUUUUUCGUUACAACUCCGAUUCAAGCCUACCGCGUGUCUACGAAUUCGUCUCAGUACCACCUACCCAGAAAUACCAUUUGUGGUCCCAAAAUCCUUCCGGAUAAGAAAGUGACCAAUUUACCCCUACCCAAAGGGUAAAUUCGUAACUUAUUUUAAAUCAAUUAAAAUAGACACUUAAUUUGGAGUCGGGGUGUUACAAAUGAAACGGAGUUUUGUGAAAACAAUUUAAAACCUCAGGGAGUGUUCAUGUAAUUUCAAAAAUCUCAAGGAGUUUUGUGAAAAAGCCGAAAACCUAAGGGGGUAUUAGUGUAAAUAACUCUUAAGAAUUUGCCGUAUAUAAAUAAUUUUGUGUUUGUCGCAAAUAUGUAGUGUGUUAAAUCUUUGUUGUAGGUAGAUAUUAGUGAUCUAAGAAGUAAAUAGUUCUCUAACAAAAAAAAGAAGAGUAAAUAGUUGGAAAAUGUGGAUAAUAUACUUUGUGUCAUAAUCUUCACAAAUUUGUGAUUGCUUUUAUAAUUACGUUAAAUUUCUUUCUAAUCUUUGUUAUAGAGGUUGGUUAAUUCGCACCUGUUGGUAAGGUGAUUUCAUAUGUCUGUUAGUGCUGACCCUUUUUUUUUGGGUAUGUGAAGUGCAUCCAGCAACCAUUAAAGCAUUGAACAUUCGAAAUUCAAACUUCAGUAUACAAAAUGCCUUAAAUCUAGAAUUUAAAAUUAAUUUUUCUUAUACCUCAAAGGGAAAAAUCGACAUAAAAAACUUAUGUAAUAAAGUAUUUGGACUGAAAUUAAAAAAUUAAAAAAUUUCGGGUUAAGAUAUAUCUAAAAGCUAAUUAAUGUGCCAUGCAUCAAGUUCAAGUUUGAAUUUUCUGUUAAUUGAAGGUGAUAUAAUAUAUUUUUGUUAAUAGGCAUAUAUAAGAUUACUUUAAAUUUUCAAGUAAUUGAAGAAGUUAACUAGGUACCUGUCUUUAUCCAGAACCCAUCCCCGGAUAUCGGCUAUUUCCCCUAAAGCUUUCCUCCACUUGUCCACCUUCUCCAUAUUGCCCUUGAAAUUUUCUUCAUGUUUAGCAAAGGCCUGGCUAAAGUUUCCAGUUUGAUUUCUCACCUCGGAUGGUUUGAUGUGGUAGAAAACCGGGAAAAUUUCGCGUUCCUUCUCUUUCUUGCACUCAACAAUAAUAUGCGCAAGUUCAUCUAAACACCAUCCUGAAGAAGCAUAGUCCUCUGAAAGAAUGACCACGGCAAAUCUAGAUUCUUCAAUUGCUUUCAACAGUACUGGGCCAAUGGAUUUUCCCCUCUUCAGGUUUUCCUCAUCCCUAAAGGUACGAAUUCCUUUCUGGAUCAAAGCAAGGUACAAAUGGUCCGUAAAACUAGUUCGGGUGUCUUCACCCCUAAAACUGAGAAACGCAUCAUGCGUCCAUAUAGUAGGGGUUGAAGAAGCAGAGGAAGCCAUUUAGGUGCUGAUGAAUGGGUCACAGAAGAAACGUAAGAAGACGAAGAAGAAGAAGAUCGAGCAGGAAGGAGAUGGAAGGGGAAACUUUUUUUUUUUUUUUUUUGGAGCAGAUGCUUCUAUAAAAGGGGAACUUCAUUGAUAGCUAAAAGGCAGCUGAAUAAUUAAGUUGCUCAAGUGAUACUUACGAGUUGCUUUGAGCGAACAAGGCUUGAAUUAGGGUUUGGGAUUGCUGUGCUUAAAUACAAAGCAGCUUUAAAAAAAAAUUCUGCCGGCAAAAGUGUUUGGUAAAGUUGUGGGAGCCGGCUUAUUUAAAAAGUUGAGGUCAUCGACGGCAGUAUUUCGAACCAGGUGAGAACUUGAUUUUGAAAGCUGAUUGUUUGUCUUUUCUGUCAAAUUCAAGAGUUAAUUCGGAAAAUUUUCACAUAAUUUUUAAAAAGAUUUUUAUCACAAAUAAUCUCUGAAGUUUGUCAAAUUAUCACUUUUGAUUUUUUAUAUAUUUUUUUGGGCAUUAUUGGUCCAUUAUGUUACGCUUCACACAUCAAUUUAGUCCCGCCAUUUUCAUUAUAUUGCUGACGUGGAUGCCACGUAGAGUAAACAAUGUUUUAAAUAUUUUGUGUUUGAUCACAAAUGGUUCUUGAGGUUUACGAAAUUAUCAUUUUGGUCUUUUAUAUUUUUUAAAAGAAAAUUGUUUAACAUUUAAAAUCUUUUAGAAAAAAUUUAAUUUAAAAUUUAAAAAAUUUCUAGACAUAAUUUGUUUUUUAUUCAAAUGCACUUGGUAUGUUAUUAUUGAACAUGCAGGGUUCAUAUACAUGUUACGUCAAAUUCGUUACGUUCUGUUGAAAUUGCUAUUAAAUUGAUGAAAAUUUCAACAAAAUCUAACGAAUUUGACGUGAUAUAUGUGUGGAGCUUACAUGUCCAAUAAUAAAAUGCCAAGGAAAUUUGAAUUUUUAAAAAAUUUAUGUUCUGAAAUUUUUAUCUCUUUUUAAACCCUAAAUUUUUAAAAAAUAUAUAUUUUAAAUGUUAAAUUAUUUUUUAAAAGGAUUAGAGCUUUUCAACAAAACCUAAUGGAUUUGACGCAACAUGUGUGUGGAGCAUACAUGUCCAUUAAUGACAUGCCAAGUGGAUUUGAAUUAAAAAAAUGGAUUAACAUCAAAAGACUCCCUAAAAGUUUGGGGUCAUUCUCAAUAUAGGCCCCCGAGUUUCAAUUUCAUUAAUUUACACUCCAUGAUUUCAAAUCUAACCAAUUUAAGCCUUUAAUUAAGUUGAUUAUUUAAUCAGACGUUAACUGAUGACAUGUCCACUGUAGGACUCACUAAUUUCUUUAAAAAAAUUAAUAAAUCAAUUAUAUAAUAUAAUAAAAUAACAUUAAAAAAAUUUAUAAAAUAAACCUUCCUCUCUUUGUCCCUCCCUUUCUCUUCUUCCCACUUCUCCUCCCAGCUCUCCCACCCCAUCCCCCCUCCCCGUCCGACGAAUCCAGCCACCCGCACCUCCUCUUCAAAGCGCUGCUCCGCCAUAUACUACUCCUUCGAGCUCGUACAACUCGGAGGCUGAGGACGAAUGAUGGUGUAUCCCGCUCUUCGAAGAAGAACUUCUUCAAUGGCGGCUGCAAAGAGGAAGACGACGCGGCAGACUUCCGUCCUCGGCAGAAUUGCCGUUUUUGGCGUCGGCAAAGAGGAGAUGCCGGUUGAAAAUCGAAGGCGGAUCCUUCUUGAUUGCUAGCAACCAACAAAAGAAGCCAAAAAAAAAAGAAUUAAUAGCCCAUGUCAAAAGAAAAACAUGAACAGAUCAGAGAAAAAACUGUCAGGCCGUUAUCUUAAUUAUGACUGCAUAUAAUUGCUUGCAGCUGUUAUGCUAUUAUUAUUAUAUUGUAGUAACUGAUAUGGCAGCUGUUAUGCUAUUAUUAUUAUAUUGUAGUAACUGAUAAGUUUACGUUUAUGUUCCUGUGUAUAAAGAGAUUGUAAUAUUAGUUUUGAUUAUAUAGAAAACUCAGUUUCUACAUGGUAUCCAGAGCCUAAAGUUUUCCUUUCUUUUUUUUUUUCUCCUUUUCUUUUUCUUUCUGUCGAUGGCUUCAAGCAGUGUUCCCACUAUCUCCAUUCCCAAUAUCUCUCACCUUGUCUCUGUCAAACUAUCUGAUACCAACUAUCUUGUAUGGGAAAGCCAGGUCAAACCUUUCUUACUUGGCCAGAAUCUUUGGCGCUUUGUUGAUGGCUCUCAUCCUUGCCCCUCCCCUACGCUAGCUCCUUCUGAUAAGUCUGAAUCCUCUACUCCGUCGUUGGCCAAUCCUGACUAUGUCUCUUGGUUUCAAACUGACCAAAGCCUAAUUAGUAUUCUUCGUGCUACGCUGUCUGAGAGUGUUCUUCCCCAAGUUAUUGGGUUCUCCACCUCGAAGGAAAUUUGGGAUUGUCUCAAACAAAAUUUCUCCCAACAAUCUCUUGCCAAUUCUGCCCAGCUCAAAUUUCGCCUCUUCUCUAUUACCAAAGGUUCCAAAUCCAUCUCUGACUACCUUGCUCAGGCCAAGAGUUUGGCUGAUGAACUCACUGCCAUCCAGGAACCUGUCUCCAACUCUGAUCUGGUUACUUAUGUGCUUCGUGGUCUGGGUAUUGACUACCAAAUGAUUGUGACGGCAAUUUUGAAUUUCCCACCCCUUCCAUCCUUCUCGGACCUCCGCACUCGCCUUCUUGCCUUUGAAGGGCAACAGGCCUUAGCAGCUCAGAUGGCUCCUGUGGCUUCCCCUGCUGCUUUUGUAGCUGCUCGCUUCCCCCGUGGCCCUCGCCACCCUAGUCCGCGUGGCCACUCCUCUCGUCCCUUUGGUGGCCCGUCUUCAGCCCGUCUUUUCUCUGGCCUGGGCCAGCCUUCUCCCCGUGCUCCCCGUCCUUCCUCCUUCUCUCAAGGUCAUUUGGGUCCUCCACCCUCUCGCCAGUCAAUUCAAUGCUGGAAUUGCCAGCAACUUGGUCAUGUUCAAGCCAAGUGCCCUUAUCCUCGUGCUUUCGCUGGCAUGCAUGUUGCGUCCACUUCUGAUCCUAACUGGUAUUUGGACUCUGGUGCCACCAAUCAUAUGACCCAUGAUGCGCGGACAUUCCCCUCCGGCACUCCGUAUGCUGCUUCGGAUCAGGUUGUUGUUGGUAAUGGUGACACCCUCCCCAUCACUCAUUCUGGUAACCUCUCCUUUUCUUCUGGUUCCUUUGUCUUUCGUCUCUCUGAUGUUCUCCGUGUUCCUUCCCUUCGUAAAAAUCUUUUAUCUGUCGCUCAAUUUACUCGUGAUUUGAAUGUUAGUAUUACCUUCUUUCCUUGGGGAUACCAAAUUCGUGACUUACCACGUGGUGUUGUUCUCUUUCAGGGCCUAUGUAAGGAUGGUCUUUAUCCUAUCUUUCCAACGCUGUUGUCCAGUUCCAAGCAAGCUUUUUCUUCUAUCGUCGCGUCGUCCUCUUUGUGGCAUCGUCGUCUUGGUCAUCCCUCCAAUAAAGUUCUUCGCACACUUGUUUCUCGGUCCUUAUUAGGUUCUCUUUCUCGUUUAUCAUCUUCCCCUUGUAGUCACUGUGCAUUAUCUAAAUCAAUAAAACUUUCCUUUUCGUCUCAUGACCAUUGCUCUACUAAGCCAUUUGCUUUAAUCCAUUCAGAUGUGUGGAUGUCUCCUGUUGUUUCUGUUUCUGGAUAUCGAUAUUAUGUCUUGUUUACGGAUGAUUACACUCGUUAUUCAUGGAUUUUCCCUAUGCGUCUUAAAUCUGAAGUUUUUGGUCUUUUUUCUACUUUUGCUAUGUAUGUUAAAACUCAAUUCUCCUUGUCUAUCCAACAGUUUCAGAGUGAUGGGGGGAAGGAAUAUGACAACCUGCACUUUAAACAGUUUUGUGCUACUAAUGGCAUUGUGCAUCGUUUUUCUUGUCCUCAUACACCCCAACAAAAUGGGUUAGCAGAGCGAAAACAUCGUCAUAUUGCUGAUAUGGGUCGUACUCUCUUACACACUGCUCAUAUGCCUCACAAUCUUUGGGUCGAAGCAUUUUGUACGGCAGUUUCUUUGAUUAAUCGACUUCCAACCCCUAUCCUUAAAGGGACUUCUCCCUAUCAGUUAUUAUUUGGCAUUUCCCCGGAUUACGCGUUCCUUCGUGUUUUUGGAUGUAUUUGUUACACAUAUCUUGGAGAUUAUGUAACUAACAAAUUACAACCUCGUUCUCUUCAGUGUGUUUUUGUUGGCUACAGUGAUCGCCAUCAUGGUUACCGCUGUCUCCAUCCUCCUACAGGUCGGCUCUAUGUUUCUCGCCAUGUCAUUUUUCAUGAAGAUCAACUCUAUUAUGCUGCUGUUUCUAAGCCUGUUCAGCUCUCAGACCUUGCUGUGGUCCCCGUGGGCCUUCUUCCUAGUCCACCAGCUCGGCCCAUUCCUGCUGUCAAUUCUCAAGACACAGCCCAGUUCUCUAACACCACAUCUGGGUCAACUUCCUCUCAAUCUUUUCACGUUCACCCUAGCUCUCCACAACCAGCUGAAAUCUCUUCUCCCCACUCAGCCGUCUUGCCCCCAUCAUCAGCCCCAUAUUCUCCAACACCACCAGACUGCCGUUCUCUUCUCCAGCCUACUGUUGUCCCCACCUCUUCUCCACCAACAGCCGUCUCAUCCCCAUUAUCGGACCCAAGUUCUCAAACACCACCUGACUGCCUUUCUCUUCCUUCACAGCCAGCCGUAUCCGCCUCUUCUCCACCAACUUUGUCGUUGUCUCCUCUUGUUCCUUCUCAUGUACCUGUCAUCGCUCCUCCACCACCAAGUGCCCGUCUCAGUCCUGUGCACACCCGAUCCAUGUCUGGAAUUGUCAAGCCAAAUCCCAAAUAUCAUGCCAAUUUUUCUACUCGGUACCCCGUUCCUCAUGCUUUCUCUGCUUUGGUCACCACAGACGUUGAACCCACCUGCUACACACAAGCCUCUCGCUAUCCCGAAUGGAAACAGGCCAUGCUCGAUGAGUACCAUGCCCUCCUUCAGCAGGGCACCUGGUCUUUGGUGCCGUCAUCCCUUCGCUCAAUACAGUUGGUUGCAAAUGGGUCUUCCGGAUAAAACGGCGCUCCGAUGGCACGAUUGAACGUUAUAAGUCACGCCUUGUUGCCAAAGGCUUCCAUCAACAAUCUGGUAUUGACUAUUUUGAUACAUUCAGUCCUGUGGUUAAGCCCACAACCGUUCGCACUGUUCUCUGUCUGGCUAUUUCUUUUGGAUGGCCUCUUCGGCAACUCGAUGUCAAAAACGCGUUCUUGCACGGCUCUCUAUCCGAAGAUGUUUAUAUGCGGCAACCACCUGGCUUUGCUGACCCUGACCGGCCCAGUCAUGUGUGUAAACUUCAUAAGGCCAUUUACGGUCUUAAGCAGGCUCCCCGGGCAUGGUUUCAGCGGUUUAGUUCUUUCCUCCUGAGUGUUGGCUUUACUCAAAGUCAGGCUGACACUUCUAUGUUCGUUUAUCAUGAUCACUGUUCUGUUAUGAUCUUGUUGCUCUAUGUAGAUGACAUCAUUCUCACUGGCAGUAAUUCUUCUCAUCUCCUUGCCUUUCUCCGCAAAUUGGGUGCUGAGUUUGACAUAAAAGAUUUAGGGCGUUUGCAUUAUUUUCUUGGUGUGGAGGUCCAUUAUCACCCUACUUUCAUCCAUCUUACUCAAAACAAGUACACUGUUGAUCUUCUCAAACGUAGCAAUCUCUUGGACUGCAAACCUGUUUCUACACCCAUGACUUCCAAAGGUACUCUUUCUCGGACCCAUGGUACUGUCCUUGCGGAUCCUACCCCUUAUCGACAGAUGGUUGGCGCCUUACAAUAUCUCACCAUGACUCGUCCUGAUAUCUCAUACGCUGUUCAACAUGUCUCUCAAUUUAUGGGAUCACCCAGUGAUGUUCAUUUUGAAGCUGUCAAACGGAUUUUACGUUAUCUCAAAGGCACCGUUGGAGUUGGCCUUCCUGUUCGCAGGUCUUCUGACUGUUCCUUCUUAGUCGCCUAUUCCGAUGCAGAUUGGGCUGGCUGUCCUGACACUCGUAGGUCCACAACCGGGUAUUGUGUAUUCUUGGGACCCAACCUCAUUUCGUGGAGUGCCAAGAAGCAGCCCACCGUUUCCCGUUCUAGUGCCGAAGCCGAAUAUCGAGCUCUUGCUUAUGCCUGUGCAGAUACUUUGUGGAUUCAAGGUCUCUUAACUGAACUUCGUUGUCCGCUUACUCGUCUGGUUUUACUUAACUGUGACAACCUGUCUGCCACAUACUUAGCCGCUAAUCCUGUCUUCCAUGCUCGUACCAAACACAUUGCUAUUGAUUAUCACUUUGUCCGUGAACGGGUCGCCUCUGGCAGUCAUGAAGUUCAGUUUGUUCCUUCUCAACUUCAGCUUGCAGAUGUCUUCACAAAAGGGUUACCAGCUGACCGUUUUGAACAUCUUGUUUCCAAACUUGUCACCUAUCCGGUGUCCAGUUUGCGGGGGAAUGUCAGGCCGUUAUCUUAAUUAUGACUGCAUAUAAUUGCUUGCAGCUGUUAUGCUAUUAUUAUUAUAUUGUAGUAACUAAUCAAAUUGAAAAAGUAAAAGAAACCCAAGUGGAAAUUAGUCUUCUUUUUUGGAAACUGAAUAUUUCAUUAGGCAGAAGCCAAGGCAAACAGCCAAAGAGAGAAACAGAGCAGAGCAAAAUAAGCCAAGACACAACAGCCUACACUAAACCAAGAACCAAGAGCAACCAAAAAAACAUGCCGACCCAGAAUUACAGAAAAACUAGGACAGAAGACCAGACACAUUGCAGAUGGCAACAGGUGUCAGCGGUCAAGAAAUUCAUCACCAAACCAAAACCUACGGUGGGCAAGGAAGCCCAUCACGAGACAGAACAUGAACAAAGGAGGAUGGGGCCGAUCGACCCAAACUUCUGUACCCAUCCCCCCAAAAGCAAUCGCCGACGCAGCAUCUGCAACCGCAUUGGCUUCUCUUGGGAUCCAAGUCCAACGAACAGCAGAAAACUUGGACUUCAAAUCCUGUAUCCGACAUAGAGAAGGAUAGAAACCCCAGUCCCCUCUGGCAAUUUUUCCCUCACAAUUAUCAAUAACCUUCUUUGAAUCAGACUCCACACACACAUAAGUGAUGCCAUUUUCCAGUGCAAAGGAAAGUCUCUCAAUAAUCGCCUGCGCUUCAGGAAUCUCAACAGACCCAGUUGUGGUCUUUAAAACUUUUCCAUACUUGAAAUUGGAAAAUUUGAAAGAAAGUUUGGAAAUUGAUGUGAUAUGAACGCAUAGCUUCGCUGUUUCUCUAACCUCCAUGGAUUUCUUAAGCACCUCACAGGUUUCAUGGCCAUCCAUGAACAUCAAUGUCCAAAGAGUUCCAUUAAAUCCAUCCAUUCGCUCCACCGAAUCAAACAAAGAAAACACAGUAAGCAAAAUACCAAAAAACCCACCAAGAAGCACUUCGAAUCCAAUAAAAAGCAAGAAGAGGUAGACCCAAAGAUUUACAUGAGAGAAAAUUGGAAACAUAUACUAGAUUCUCAAAUAUUCAACAUGUGGGAUUUUGCUCAAGACCAAUUCCAGAGGCUAAAUUGCAGAUAAAUUCAUUUUGUAUGUUUUUUUCCUCUUCUUCAUCGCACAUCGUCGGCGUCUUCCCUGGCUCUUCCCGCUCCUAUGAUGAUCGUGACUCCAUCGUCGGCGGGUUCACGACGGACCCGAAGAGGCCGGAGCAGGAGUUCCACCUGAAGGGGUCGAAAUCGGAGUUGAAGAUGAUGGAAGCCAAUGAUCUUCUCUGCAACUCUGAUGUUUUUUUUAAGCCUUUUUUUUUUUUUUGGAUUGAUUAGUGGGUGGCCCAUAAUGGACACGUCAUCAAUUAACAUGUGACUAAAUGGUCAACUUAACAGAAGGUUUAAAUUAGUCAAAUUUGAAAAUCAUAAGGUGUUAAUUGAUGAAAUUGAAACUUGAGAGCCUAUAUUGAGAAUGACACUAAACCUUCAGGGAGUUCUUUGGUGUUAAUCCUAAAAAAAUGUAUGUGUUUGAAAUUUUUCUCCCUUUUUAAAAAUCUUUUAAAUGUUUAACUUUUUUUUUAUUAUUUAAAUUUCUUCAUUUAGAUCCACUUGACAUUUUU
rnacentral:lncRNA from 1 species